rnacentral:lncRNA from 1 species
UUUCAAACAACCACUUCCAGAUCCCAAUUUCACUUGAACCACUUUUCAAUCAUUCAAGACUCAAGAUUUUUUAUGCUGACAACAACGAACUAAAUGCAGAAAUAACUGAGUCACAUUCUUUGACCGCCCCAAACUUCCAAUUAAAUAGACUCUUGUUGUCUUCCAGUUACGGAGACAGUUUCAUAUUCCCCAAAUUUCUUUACCAUCAACAUGACCUGGAGCUUGUUGAUCUCUCACACAUAAAGAUGAAUGGAGAAUUUCCAACUUGGUUGUUGGAAAACAACACAAAAUUAGAAACUCUUUCUCUCGUCAAUGAUUCUCUUGGAGGAACUUUUCGGUUGCCAAUUCAUUCACACAAGCGGUUAGGAAUAUUGGAUAUAUCCAACAACAACUUCCGAGGCCACAUUCCAUUAGAAAUUGGGGAUAUUUUACCAAGUUUAUACGUUUUCAACAAUUCCAUGAAUGCUUUAGAUGGUAGCAUUCCCUCUUCAUUUGGUAAUAUGAAAUUCCUCCAAUUUCUGGACUUAUCCAACAAUCACUUGACUGGUGAAAUCCCCGAGCACUUGGCCGUCGGUUGCGUCAACUUGGAGUCUCUUGCAUUAUCAAAUAACAACCUACAAGGUCACAUGUUCUCUAGAAAUUUUAACUUGACAAACUUGAAAUGGUUACAAUUGGAGGGCAAUCGCUUCGUAGGUGAGAUCCCACGAAGUUUGUCUAAAUGCUCCUCAUUAGAAGGAUUGUAUCUUAACAAUAAUAGUCUUUCGGGUAAGAUUCCACGAUGGUUGGGUAAUCUCACAAGGUUACAAUAUAUUAUAAUGCCCAAUAAUCAUCUUGAAGGCCCUAUUCCAGUGGAGUUUUGUCAGCUGGAUUUGCUUCAGAUUUUGGACAUUUCAGGCAACAACAUAUCUGGAAGUCUACCAUCUUGUUUCCAUCCUCUCAAUAUCAAACAAGUUCAUCUUUCAAAAAAUAUGUUACAUGGACAGCUAAAAAGAGGUACAUUCUUUAAUUGCGCUUCCCUUGUGACAUUAGAUCUUAGCUAUAACCGCUUGAAUGGCAGCAUUCCGGAUUGGGUUGAUGGGCUUUCUCAGUUAAGUCACCUUAUCUUAGGUCACAAUAAUCUUGAAGGUGAAGUGCCAGUUCAAUUGUGCGAAUUGAACCAACUACAAUUGUUAGAUCUUUCUAAUAAUAAUCUUCACGGUCCUAUUCCUCCUUGCUUUGAUAACACCACACUUCAUGAAAGUUACAGCAAUAGUUCUAGUCCUGAUGAGCAAUUUGAAAUAUUUUUUUCCAUCGAAGGCCAUCAGGGAUUUUUAGAAAAGCAAAACCAUGAAAUUUUUGAGUUCACAACAAAGAACAUUGCGUACAUUUACCAAGGAAAAGUGCUUAGCCUCCUAUCAGGACUUGAUCUUUCUUGCAACAAGCUAAUUGGUCAUAUUCCUCCUCAAAUUGGAAAUUUGACAAGGAUUCAAACAUUGAAUCUAUCACACAACAACUUGACAGGAUUGAUCCCAUCAACAUUUUCAAACUUGAAGCAUGUCGAAAGUUUGGAUCUUUCCAACAACAAAUUGAAUGGGAAAAUCCCUCAUCAACUAGUGGAGUUAAAGACAUUGGAGGUUUUCAGUGUGGCAUACAAUAACUUAUCAGGAGAAAUUCCAGAAUGGACUGCACAAUUUGCAACCUUCAAUGAGAGUAGCUAUAAGGGAAAUACUUUUCUUUGUGGAUUGCCAUUGCCCAUUUGCAGAUCACCAGCAACUAUGUCGGAGGCAUCAAUUGGCAAUGAACGAGAUGAUAAUUUAAUUGACAUGGACAGUUUCUUUAUCACAUUUACAACAUCGUACGUAAUUGUGAUAUUCGCAAUUGUUAUUAUUUUACAUGUAAAUUCUUAUUGGCGACGUAGAUGGUUUUACUUUGUUGAAAUGUGGAUAACUUCAUCUUACUAUUUUGUUGUAGACAAUCUUAUUCCAACAAGAUUUUGUCAUUGAAAUUAAUUAGUAGCUUAAUUACGAUUCUUUAAGUACUAAUCAAGUUUGCUUAGGAAAUAUUUUUUUAUUAAAAUUGUAGUAGUAUUUAGCAUUAUAUAGCUUCCAACUUCCAAGCACUUCACAUUUGUCUCUACACUUAAAAAACUGAGUGAUCAUGUUUUGCAGAUCUGGAUUUGGAGCAGGAUGGAUCCAAACCCAUAUCUGUCCACCACAACUUAUAGCUUCCCUAUACUGUGCAGCAUACUUAAAUAAGAGAACCAUCUCCAAUGUUAAAAGCAUUCACUCUAUAACAUUCAUUUAGAAACUAUACUCAGAAUAAUUUUAUAAUUAAACACAAGAAAUGAAACACACAGAUACACUUGAUCGCCUAUUUUACUCUAAAAAAGAACGAUUAUUGUGCUAUCAUCAUCUUCUUCACUAGCAACAUUAACACCAAAUCGAUGGACCCAUACAUUUCAUCAAGAAAGGUAUAUAUCCAAUAAAGUUGAAGCCUAACAAAAAAUUCAAGAAGAUUAAUGCCUCGCCACAACAAGGGGCACAACAACAUCAAAGUAGAGAUUAAGCAGUAUUCUCAAAACUAAAACUCUCAAAUCCACCCACCAGAAUUUCAUAUCUCCUCAACAAUUUUAAGAACUAAAGAUAAUUAGGAUUUAACAUUAGUUUUUUAUAUAUUAGUUUCAUAAUUUACAAAUCAAUGAAGAUGAAGAUUAUGCUAAUAAAUUCAAAUUAUACCAUACAUUCUCUAGAUGUUACAAAAAAUUUCUAAGUCAAUCCCACAUAUUUCAUAAUUUUAAGACUAGAAAAUUUCACUAGUUAGAAGUUUCAUUACCUUCAAGUGGAAGAUAAAGAACAUUAUACAAGUGAUUCAGAUUAUAUCAUACAUACUCCAAAUGCAACUAGAAAUUAACAAGUUCAUGCGCACAUAUUUCAUAACAUUAUGAUUGAAAAGUUUCACAAAGAGAAAUUCUAAAUUCAAUAUCUUGCAUGAAGGCAGUUUGAUUGAUUUGAGUUACUUUCUUAUCAAGCUACUAAUAUAACAUUCAAGUCAGGGAGAAAAUAAAUUAAAGCAGGGAAGAAAUAACAGUAAAAAUUUGUUGCUCAACAUGAUGUGUAUUUUUUUUCAAGGCAAUUUGGAAACACAAUUGUUACUACAGAUAUUCUUCUCAACUUGGAGAUAAAUACAAAUAUUAAAAUGCAUAUGAUCGCACAUAUUACUUCGAGUUUAGUAAGAUUUCAUUAAAAGAAGCAAUCAAACCACUUAUCAAUUGUCGCAGUCGUUCUAUAAACUAAAAUAGCAAUAUAAUACAAGAAAAAGAACAUAUAGAUACUUGGCAAGAGUUCAUUAAGAAGUCGCAUCACAUUCGGGUGAGGAGUUUGCUUAUGAUAUCUUGCUAGCUGGGGCUUUUUCCUGUCUUUCUACGUAUGCCGAGGGAAACCAACCAGCUUGGCCCUUGCAUUCACCUUCCGACCAUCCAAUAGGAGCCACCUUGAGAAGUUAUAACUAAAACGGUGAAUUAAACAAAAGUUGACCGUUCAAAGACCUAAGGGGAAAACUAAUUCUUUUACGUAGGAGGAGUGAAUUAGUUGUGAUCACUGAAAUAACAGCAUAACUAUGGAAGCAUAACAAGAUAUAAAUUCACACGUCUAUAAGGGUAAACUGGGUGGUUUAGAACUGAGCUAGCAACCCUACUAUAUUCUGAUUUGCACUUCAAUGUAAAAGGGAAUAUAUGGUAGGAAGAAAGAAAACCAACCAUCAUUUGUUAACUCAUUGCUUUUCAAUCACAAUUUUAAGAAAAAAAUGCCAUGUGCUUUGAACAUCAAAUAAGUAUAAGCAUUAGUUCUAAAUUCCACAUAUCAUAAGUUGUUAGAAGGAUAAGUUAAUAGCAGAGUAGAAAAAUCUAUGUGUUGGUAUUUAGAGGGGAAAGUACCACAACAUAAUCAUCAAUUGAAAGACUUAGCUCUCCAUUUGCUUGAGCAUCAAAUGGAUGUAUAACCUGCAAGAUAAUCGGAUAAAUAGAACUUAAUCUUAAAAAAAGCAUAACAAAAGCAGCAACAGUAGCAGCAACGUUCAUUGUAACCACUAUGAUCAUGGCCAACAAAGAUAUAUUAGAAACAAAAUUCCAUUUUUACUACGACAUUAAUAUGUACUAUACGAUAUCAUGACGAUUGGGUUACUAAGAGCUAUCAAAGUCUAAUAAGUUCUGUAUAACUUUAUGUAGUUAUUUAAAUUAUGGAUCAGAUUUUAAAUUUGAAAUUUUGACUGCUCUCCACAAAACAUGGCCUAUGCACAAGAAAGUCAUAGAUAAUGAGGAUUACAAGUGUCCGACAUCUUUUGAGUGAUGGAUUUAACAUGAGAGCUUAUGGUCAGUCAAUUUCCUCUGCCUAGCAAUAUAAGCUUUCUCGGCCAGAUUUAUCAUCAAAUACAUAGAUUUCCCCCAAGUCACAUCCAUAUAAACAUAGUUUUUCUAGGUAAACCAAGUAAGGAGUAUCAUAAUUCAGACAUAAUCAUAAAAAGGCCCAUCUAACUUAAGAGAAAAUCUCAAAAAGAGGGAUGCUGAGCUAUCAGUCUUGUAUCUAUAAGCAAUAUCAAGACUUUACAUCACCUGCUACAUCGUGAGUGGCUACACAACUUUCAGUGGUUUGUCUUUCUUUGGCAUGCCUAACUCAGCUUUGAUGUUGCUGAGAUAUUGAUAGUAGAGACACUCAGACACAUGAUACUUCUAGCUCAUGCAUUCUAUCUAACUCAUCCAACAACUAUCUCUUUUUUAAUUCAUUAGUGUUUGCUAAACCUCAUGCUUAAAAGUCCUGUUCUCCUAAACAAAGUUUCCUAAGAAUGACUUCCUUAGCACCACAGUUGGACACUUUUAGAGCAAUUUUAUUUGGGGGGAAAGAAUUUUCAAGGUGUUAACCAAUAAAUUUUAAAAAAUAAUUACAAUUUGUCCUACGAUCAUAUGACAAUUUAUCUGGGAUGAAAGGAUACAGAUAGACAUCUUCCACUUUCAAGACUAAUCACUACUUCCGUAGAUGUUGUCCAAUAAUACAAAUACUUGACCAGAUGGUAGUGAUGGUAGAAAAAAAUUUUAUUGCUCCAAAAUUAAAAUAAGAAUGCAAUAUGUUAAGCAAAAUGCUGUUCAACAUCAAAUUAAUUGAUAAGUUUGUAAUUCAGUAAAUUAACAACUUUCAUGGUAAAAUACAACAAAUUUCUUUUGAAAAAAAUAAAAAAAAUAAAUCUUAAAAGACAGCAUUCAAUUUUGUGCGCAUCUUAUUUCUUAAGAUUUUUCAGGAGGAGGGCAAUAGAGGGACUUUCACCUAUGCAAGAGAGCAGAAGCCUUACUUUCGCUAUAAAGUAGACGUCAUUCUGAUUAAUAUGCGUUUGCAAAUCAGCUACGUUUGAAUCAGUAUUCUGAUAGACACACGAGGCAUUUACAUCCAUUUCCAAAGUCACAUGUUGCGAGGAGGACUCAUUUGAUUGCUCCUAUACGAUCAUCUAAUUCAAGUAGCAAGGGUUGGAAGAGAAUAAAAAGUCACAAUUAUUCUUUUGCAUAAGUGAGACGAAAAUGAUAAAUGCAAUAUUAUCAGCAGUAAACAAGAAGAGAACGCUCCAAGAAAUAGAUAGAUGCAGACAAGCAAGUUAAAAUGCAUAGUCCCAAACCUCCGCAUACAACUUCUCUAAAGUAGCAAUAACGUGUUGAUGCUAUGUUUUCUCAGCAUCUACCUGCAAAGGCCCGAGACCAGGAAAACAACAAUAAAACCACUAGCUGAAGGAGAAAGCAAAGAAAGAAAUACACUUGACAUAAAUCUUGACAAGAAGCACAAUUUAAGACAUAACAAACCCCAAUCAUAUUGUUUAGAACUACCAUUCGUUAUUUCGUUAUUGUAACAUUUCGAACAAGUGUUGACUUAAUUCAACAUUGUUGGAAAGAUAGGCUUUUAGAAGCAGAAGAAAGCCUCUCAAACCAAAGUGCUUGUCCUUGUAUUGAUCAAGGGAUGUAAACAUAUUACAUUUGCAGGAUGAGAUUUAAUCACUCCCCUGAUUUAUUUGGGUUGCAGUAAAACUAAGCGACCAACUGUUUGACUUUCAAGCAACAGCUAAAUCAGCUAUUAAAAUUCAAAUAAAAUCAUAAUAGAAUAAUAACAGGCCAUCUUGCAUAAAAUAUUAAGUUUAAUUUGUGAAUUUUUUUCUAUAGACAUGUCAGUUUCUGCUAUUGAAAUGUUAAAAGCUUUGAAAAAUUAUUCAAUAAAUUAUGCAAGCAUUAAAAUAGAGGACAUAUUAAAAAGUUUCUAAUUACAAUGUUAAUAUUUCCUAUAUUUUAGCAUUUGCAUAUUUUAAUUUAUUUAAAAGCUACGUCGAUCAACUUUGGGCAUGAAGAUUUUAGCUUCUACGAGACUUGAUUGGAAUAUGCAUAAGAGUGUUAAAAUAUGAUGCAUCCAACGAAAGACAAACCACGUGUAGUCUUUUAAUUAAUCCAAAGUAGCAGCUCAAACAAAUGACACUUGGACCAACAUGCAAUCAUGAAGUAGCCGGAAAAAGGACAAAUGCUACUUUGGCUUAAAUAAAAAAUAACAUGUGACUUGACUUUUGCUGGACAUGCAUCAUGUUAUUACAAGACAACAGAAAUCAGUAUGAUAGUAAUAAAAGUUGACAAUAACAUGAAGAUAAGAGGCAGAAUGUCAACACAUGCAUAGGCACACACAAGAAAGUAUUAACAUAUAUACCAUGGCAAAAACUCUUUUAUAUGUCAUCUGUUGCUGCUGUGAUUCAACUGACAGCAUGGCAGCUGUCGCUUUUCUACCAAGAGCCAUUAUUGUAGAUUUAAGCUCGGUCAAUCUUGCUUCUGCAUUUCGAAGCUUCACAGCACUCUCUGCUGAUAUAUCAGAUUCCCUAAUCUUUGAUCGGUGCCUAAAUACUUCAGCUGCCUGGUGAAAAUAUUCAAUAUAAAUCUAAUAUAAUUCUCAUCUUGCCUUAUACAUGCAUAUGUUACGUCAAAGCUUACCUGGGCUUCAACUUCAUGUCGAAGUUUGUCAUAACAAUGAGUCAGGUGUCGAGCAUCUUCCAAAGGUGCUCCGUUGAUUAACGCCCGUAGUGGCUCAGAUACCUACAUGUCCAAAAACCUGUAACAUAGUUAGAAAAAUGAAAAGAAAGAGCGAAACCUCAAUUAAAAAGUUCAUCCAACAUAAUCAUGGAAUUUGGGCCUACUUUAAGAAUAUAUAUAAGGAUAAUUUAUGCAAUUUUGGGUCUUAGGAUGAUUGGCAUUAGGUUAGUGUUCUUCUCUUCUGUAUUUAAGGUUAAAAUAGAAAUAAACCUAUGCAAGUAUCUAAAUUAGGCCUGUAAGACAUCCACAUGCAUCCUUCAGUCUCAUGGAUUUGAUUUUACUAUAGAUGCAAGUGUCUUUAUUGAAAAUGCUUGGAGUCAAUUGAGAGAACUCAUGGCCAAUAACUUGUCACACGCUAGUCUUUGCUAGUGAUGUAAGAAGUCACAAGGUCUCUUCAACAUUUGAACCAAUAAAAUUAUUAAGUCAUGGAUGUCACUAGCAAUGAUUUUAAUAUAAAACAUUAAGUGCCUGUUUGGUAUGGCUUAUUUAAGAGGCAUAAGUGCUUAUUUAAUCGUAUAAGCACUUUUUAAAAAUUUUUAUGGUGUUUGGUUAUUUUUUUAGUAGAGCUUUUUUAGCUUAAAUAAGCUAAUUUACCUCUACUAGCAAAAGCCCAAAAUUUGAGCUUUUGGGAGUAGAGGUUAUAGAGCUUUUCUAAAAAUAUAUAAUAUAAAAAAUAUUACAUAGUUUAAUGGUUCAAAAGUACUUUUUUUAUUGCAACCAAACACCCAAUGACUUUUUGUCUAAAAGCUCUAUUGGUAUAAGCUCUACUACUAUAAGCUCUAUUGUUAUAAGCUCUAUUUAAUAAGCUGUACCAAACGGAGCCUAAAUAUUUCAGAGUUGUAACUUUAAAAUGGAUUCUUUUAUUCAAUAUCAUAGAACUAAGUUUCCUUAUGAGAAGAUAAUAGUUUCGAUAAUAAUUUUACAUAUAAUUUUCUAUAUUUGAAUUAUUUUCUAGUUCGUGAUGAACUAACCUGAUCACGAAGAAUCCCGAGCAAAGUUUCCCUCUCAUUUUCCAUCAAAUCAUGUGAAGUGCCAAAUUGAAGAGCAGCUCUUGCAACGCAAGAAUUGUCACUUUGAUUCUAUGCUCCAUACUUGCAACAAUCUUCAGCCAACUUUCUCGCUACAAUAUUUGAAUACAAAAAUAUUGUACACAAGAACUAUAAAAAAAACUAAUGAAAAAUGCCAAGAUGGAGCAGAUGCUUCAAUACUGCCUGUACAAACCAUAAAAAACUAAUGAAAAAUAAAUAAAAUCGAGAAAUUUUACUAAUUAAAAGUCUAAAUAUAAUUUUGAAAAAAGAAAAGAAACGGACUUGCUGCUGCUUGGCGACUUGUUCUCGGAGCUUGAUUGCCUGUUUCUUGAUAGCUUCCAUACUGUUUCUUUCAAAAAGCGACGACGGCUCUGCUCAUGGAAGUGGAAAAAAAAAGUGUGAUCGAGAAAAAUGUAAAGGCGUGAAUAAUUUUGGCAAAAAGCGAAAAUCAAGGAAAGCCGGCUAUUUCCAGAAAAUAAAAAAAAAAGAAAAUCAUAAGUUUGAAAGGAGAAGAUGAUAGUGGAAGUAUGCAGUGUGGCUGCCAGGUACUUGGAUUGUAUUGUCGGGUAAGAUAAAAGUGGAGAAUUAUAAGUUUGAACAGAGCAUGUUGGACUUUUGUUGACCAAACUCAAAAGCCCAAUGGGACGGCCCAGAAGCUUUUGAAUAGAAAAACUUGCAAGAAAGCAUCAGUUUAAAUCACUACUUAAACGCUUGCUUUAACUGCACCGCUUUGUACUGUUUUAUGUAUGUAGCGGUUGUGCGGUUGUAAUUCACGGCUGACGCUACGUGUUUGUUUGUACUGUUCUAUUCGGUGACAGAGUAUUAUUAGUUAGGCCAAAACUAUGUUGCAACAGUGAUACAGUAACACUGUUGCUUUUAGUCAUUAGAUCUAUAGUUAUACAGUUGCAUUAACAAGAUUUAAUGGCUGAAAGCAACAGUGGUACCGAACUACUGUUGCAACAUAGCUGGAGCCUAUUAGUUAUUUCAAAGGGAUAAAUAAGAUUGGUUACAACAAACCUACUAAUUUUAUAAAAUUCAAGUAACAUAGAAUAAAAUAAAAAAAUAAAUACAAAAUUGACUUUUAUUUUUUAUGGUUGACUAUAUUUUGUGUUCUCUUCGGGCACUGCUACAAUUGCUACAAUUGUUCCCUAUAUAUCAAUUACACCACAUACUAUCGACACAAGAAAUGAAAUCUAAUAUCACCUAUUUAGUUAAAAAAUCACUCAUGAAAAAAUUUUACCAUUUUGAUUUGAGGAUCCAUAUUUUGAACUACAAGCUAAUGUUCAUCAAGAAUCACUGAUAGCCGUUGAGUAGAAAAAUUAUUUUUGGACAAAUUAUUUUUGUUGAUAGAAGAAUUUCUUUAGGGACUACUAAAUUAUUAAUAAAAAUGUCGAACACACCCAAAUAUCAUCGACACAAUUGAUUUUGAGGAUCCAUGGUUUGAACUGCCGGCUAAUGUUCAUCAAGAAUAGAGUAUGGCUUGUGAGUAGAAAAUUUUCUUAUUUUGGCCCGAAAUAAAAAGAAAUUAAAUUGGAUGAGAAUCUGCCACUUUCUCAUGAAGAAAGGCAUACGGAGCAUACCAUGGUACCAUAAAAUAUAAGGAGCCUCCGUUCUUUGGUUUUUCAAACUCUGAAGGGGCCAAUAUUGCCAAAUUCCCCCUUGAAAAUUCUGAUUACGAAAUUAUUCAUCGCUUGAUGCAAUCAAAGUAGUGACAAAGUAAUUGCUAGGCAAGGUUGCUGAGAGCAAAAUUGUCCUAAGCAUUAUAUGCAUACAUGGUGCGGUACAUAGAGCACGUUGAAUUCCCCACUAUAACACAAAUCUAGAAAGACAAGUAAUAACUCAACUGAUAUAAAGACAAAAAGAAGAUAAAAUGAUAUAGAAAAAAGAAUUUCAAAGAGAGAGCAACAUACGAUAGACUGAAGCCACUUGAUCUGCUCAUUGAUUGCAGCCUUAAACUUGCAAAUAGUUACUGUACGCUAGUGCUCUAAGAAGUGAAAAUGAUGCAAGCCCUGAUUCCCUUUUGACUUCCAUUUACUGUCAAACAUUCUAGUAAUACAAAAAAUUAUUUAGAUAUCUUGCUAUAAAUAUAGCCGUUUGACUGUCAUAAUAAAGUCACAAAUAACCAUUCAUAUUGAUCUACUAUCACACAGCAUGCUUUAUGCAUACAACAGCUGUAUGUAUACCAACUCCUAACCUUAUCAAUACAUUUGGCAAAAACUUAAGAAGAAAACUAUUUCUCCAUCUCUUUUUUGAAAUUUCACAAUAACCAGCACAAUGUGAAAGCUAUGUUCUAACCUUAUGAUAAAUGCUCUAGACUCCAAAAGGAUUUUAUAUAUGAGACUUUGUUGCAGCAGAUAUAUUGACUUAUCAAGUAUGAAUCAUUGUCUGGAUGAACUAUCUUUAGAUAAAAGAAUAUUAGAACCACUGUAGAAUAUCUUUACGCUGCUGGUUCUAACAGGAAUCUGCAUGUGGCAACAAUUGCUAGAUCCACAAUUCCCCAACUUGAAAUACAUAGUUGCACACCAUGAGAUAGUGCUACAAUCUACUGAGAUCUAACUUAUAUGGUACUUUAAGCUACUAAUGUUUGCAUAUUUCUACAUGUUAAAUUAACACUAUCAUCUAUAAUCACUCCAAAACAACAAAUGAUAAGCAGCUUUUGGCCACUUAUUACUAGCAUCCACAAUUAUAAAUAAGAGAUCAUGGGUUUACUUGUUGCACCUACUUAAUUAUCUGCAGUUGACAUCCUGACGCAAGGUUUAAAUAGUGACUGCUUAGAACCCUUGUAGUUGGAUCUUGACCUCUCCCAUUGUAGCCAAGAUUGGUUACUCUGGUAAUGAAUCAACACUCUCCUGCUCAGGGCCAUGAAGAUCUGAAAGCUCAGCUCUAGUGGAGAACUUCAUCAAUCUCUUCUUCUCAGCAUACUUGAGACAAGGUUGCCUUACGAGACCAAUCACCACAGCACCAACGCUUAAAACUGCAACUUUUAAAGAAGAAAGAGCCAACACAACACAACACAAAUCAAUAUGGUUGGAGGAAUACACAUGAUAAUGGCUCCAACAGUGACAGUGGGUAUCUUGUAGGGACGAGAUGCAGCAGGAUAUUGCAUCCUUAACCAUACAAAUGCUAUGAACUCCAUAAUCAUUCCAAAACAGUACAGGAAGUUCUCUGCAGCUACAAUAUCUCAAAAGCUCAGCCAUGAUAGCAAAACCACACCAGAUGCUGAGAAUAUGAUUCCAAUCAAAGGAGUCCCAUAUCAAGACCUCUUAGCAAAAAACUCAGGUAGCAUUCCACGCUCAGCCAUCCCCAAAAGUUGGAAGAGUCGCUGCUCAUCUCAGCCACAAACAUGCCCAUAUUGGACAUUGCUGCAGCCCCCUGGAUGCACCAUCUCAACCAAACUCCUCCAAGCACUUUAGCGAUAUCUGAAAAGUAACCAUCGGUCCACAAGUCGCGAUCUAAUGGAAUAGCUCCAGUUCCAACUAGAAGGGGAAAGAAAUAUCCAAAAACGACCAAGAUCAAAGCAUAAAACAAAGCCUUUGGAAGAGUCUUCUUUGGGUUAUCCACCUCUCCAGCUAGUGUACUUAUUGAGUCCCAGUAGUUGGAGAUUCCAAAACAGGGUGUUCAAAUACAAAUUCCAGUCCACUUCACCUAAAUUUACUACAAGCCAUCUUGAAGGCUCUAACUUGGGAAGGGACACAAGUCCCAUAACCGCAAAAGGAAGGAAUGAGAAAAUCCCUAAAAGAACAGCAGCCCAUCCCACAAUGGUUAGACCCCUAUAGUUCAUGAAAGUGAGAACAAAAGUCAAAGCUAACGCCGCAAAGGCUCUAGGUAACCCAUCGCCCAAAGCAGGGAUACCAGACUUCAAGUAGUCAAGAAACAGAACUGGGUAUAAAGCAUUAUCAAUAACCCCACUAAGCCAUUUCAUCCAAACUUGCUGAAAACCCCAAUAUGGGCCUAAGGCAGAUGAAACCCAAACCACAUAACCACAAUUUUCAGGAAACACGGUACCCAUCUCGGCAGUAAUUAAAGCUUCAGGGACACUCCAUAUAAUCGGAAACACCAAGAAACCAAGAAGUGCUAAAAGAGGACCAGCUGCCUUUACACUAUCCUCAACACCAAACGGCCCCCCAGAAACCUCAUAGAAUAUAAGGAAAAUAAGUGGCAAGAUUGAUACUUUUUUAGCGCCAUGGACUCUAGGAGAAGAUGGUUGGUCAUUGAUAUUAACAUAUUCAACAGCAUCAGACUGCCCCAUUUCUACUGAAAGUUGCCUAUUCACAGUGUUCCUCAAUUUCUGCAUCAAGUUUAAGCAUAACUAUCAAAAGGGUAUCGGCAUCUAAAUUAUGAAACAAAAUGAGCAUUUACUUAUUAAAAAAAAUCAAAAAAACAGAAAUGGAUUUCACAGAACACAUGAAUUUAAGUUCAACAUUAAACAGGCGCUUAAGAAAACAAAAGGGUCUGGUCGUAAAGCCAUCAGAUUGCAAGAUUGAACAACAUUAACGGAAUCAAUAGAAUCGAUGUAAAGAGAUCUGAAAAGAAAAUAAAAUAAAAGAUGAAGAGAGAUAAAACGACCCAUCAAAUAAGUGCAUGCAGAGCAGAGAGGCAGAUACUAGAGAAGCUCCGUCAUGUUAGAGAGAGCCUAAAUCAAUCAGAGCUCACUGAGUUUCUUUUCAACUGACCGGCAAAUUUGGAGUAGCAUGACAUAAUAUUUUUGCUUUUAAUUUUCGGAACACUUUUGAAUGGAAUUUUUUGUUUUUCAAAACUAACGAAAUCGUAAAAAUAAAUAAACACGUGUUUGGUUUUGGGCUUCUUCUUUUGUUCAUUUAAUAUCAUUUGGUUCCCUGAUUUUUGACUAAUUAUCAACGGUAUCCUGUUAGUUUCCAAAUUGAAAUAAUAUUAGGUCAUGAGAUUAUUUACUCCAUUUAGCACUGUAGACUUAAUAGUAUAUUGAAAAAGCUUUGUCAAAUAGUAGUAAUAGGGGCAUAAGAAAUAAGUUCUUCAGAAUUUAGAUAAUAUACUUGGCUCUAGGAAGAUUCCCCUCUUAUCGCUCAAGUUAGGCUUUUACCUUAGAGUUGAGUAAAUCAUUAAAAUAAAUUAUAGCUAUCACAAAUUCGUCAGGGGACUUUCAAUUUUUUUCCAUCAAAUGGAAAUGAGGCAAAAUUACCUCAGCUUAUAUUGCAAAACUAAUACUUCAAAUUCUGACAAUAAAUUUGAUGACAGUCGAUUUUAUGUAUAGUAAUUUUGACUCUUUUGUUUGGUCUAAAAGUAGUUAUUUAAAAUGGCAAUGAUGACUUAUUUAGAAGAAAUGAUAAACUUAUAGUUCGUAAUAUUAUUUACGCAACUAAUAAAGACUAAUUUGAUAAUAAUCUUUCAAAUAAUAAUGAAGUGUUAAUUACUAUUUAAUAUUUUUUAUUAAUUUCUAAAUUUAAAACAAAUAUGAAAGUUGAUUGCUUCGAAGGUUGGAUCGUGACAAAUUGACAAAUGAAAAGAGAAGUAGAGAAUAUAUAUUCUGAUGAAAGGGACAAGAUUAAGCAAGGGGACAAUAUUCUCUAUUGGACCGACAAAUGGGGGAAAAGAAUAUAUAUAUAUAUAAUUUCUUAUUUGUGGAUUGGCCAACACGUGUAACAAAUAUGAAAAGAUAAAAUUUGGCGUGGUUUUAACCGAUAUAAGACAAGAAGAACAAAGCAAAGCCCAUGAAAAUUCACCUUUCAUGUGGGUUGGAUCGGAUAAAAUCAAUAUCUUGAAUCAAACAAAAUGUUUGGUACAUAAAGUUUUUUUUUUUUUUUUUACAUGAUAUUCGAUUUUUAUCCCUCGAAUUUUUACAUGAUAUUAGAUUUUUAACCCUCACUAAUAAUCGAGAGAUGUCUACUCCUCAUUUUUGGGUAAGGGAGAAAACUACAUUCACUUAAUUAUAAUUGAGGAAGGAAAUACCCCCCAUUACACUUGUGGGGGUUCAAACUGUUGCCCUCCAACUUGGAGUGCAGCAGCACUGACCACUCGGCCAAAGUCUGAGUGGCUGGUACAUGAAGGUUUUGAGUGUGUGUAAUGAGCAAGAAUUUACAUAACGAUAUUUUAGUAAAUAUAAGAAAAAAAGGCUCAGGGAAUGGCCUAUAGAUAGAAGCACGCAGCCCAUGAGUGAUGAGAAUACAAUUUAACUGUUCAAACUAAUUAGAAGCAAAUUCUUUCAUAUCUUUCUUUAAUUUUUCCGCUUAGUUCCUUAGCAUCCAAUCAAGUUCAAGUUAAAACACUGUUGAGACAACAAUAUGCAGGCAUCAAUAAGCAUAGUAGUUUUUUAUAUGUAUUCUAUACGAUAUUUGAGGGAUGUCAAUUGUAGAACAUUUUGCAGCAACUUUUUUACAUUAACUAAUGUUUGAAGAACUUGUUAAAAAAAAUGGUAAUUUUAUAAUUUUGAAAAAAAAAGAGUGAAAGUGACGUUACCUCAUUGUCAUUAGAGACUUGUUGCAAUGAUAGCUCAAAAUUAAAAUUUUUGAAGAAUUAGUAGACAACGAUGACGUAAUAUUUAUACAGUCACCAACAUGUUGAUUUUUGUUUAAUGUUUGAUCGAUAGAAAUGUUUGUCGUCGUUGCUGUUGUUGAAUUCAUACUUAGAACACAGAAGAGAAGAAGGGAAGAAAGGGAAGAGAAGAAGAGAGAAGUGGCAUAUAGCAAAUAUGAUAUGCUAGCUACAUACCAGCCUUAGAGAGAUUUUUUUUAAUAUUUAUUAUAUUUUUGUUUUUGUUAUUGGUUUGUCAUAUGCUUCCAGGGAAGCAAUACGUUACAUCAUAAAUUGCACCUUUUAGGGGAGGUGGUAAAAAACGUGAGAGCACUACGCUCCAGCGCAUACAUAUAGAAAGAGUUUCCGAAUUUUAAAAAGUUUCUUUAUUUCUUCCAUGUUUUUGUGCUUAAAAUAAAAUUUAAUUGUAUUUUGCAUUAACUUAGAAAAGAAAAGCCAAUUCUAUAUAUAAACUCAUGCAUUAAUUAGAAGAGUUGAACUAUUGGCACCCCUCUAUUAUCUUUAUAAAAUUCCUCUCCUAUUGUAAUUACAUUAAAGGACAAAAUAAAUCUAAUUAUAUCAUUAUAUUUCUCUUUUCAACUCUUUACACCCGUGCAACUACACCAAAGUCUUUUACAAUUUUUGUUUCCUCACAAACAUUAUUUAAAAGGUAGAAAGAUGGUUAGUGCACAAUCAAAUUUUAAGCCGCUACCUCCUCGGCCCAAAAUUCAAACUUAGAUGAUAAGCCAAAUAAAAUUAUUUGAAAAUCAUUCAAUCAGGUUCCCGGGGCAAAAAUACAAGAUCCUUAUUUGCAUGAUAUAUAUGAAUUAAUGUAAUUUAUUUGAAUUAUCCAAAUUCAUUAGAGAUAAAACUAUAAAAUAUACCAAAAAAGUUAGAAGGAAGGAUGUGUUGGGAUAUUUUACAAACUAUAGGAAUCUGGUGAGAUUUUGAGCCAAACUGUAGGGAGUUGAAGGCAUUUGCCCAAUAUGUUUAGACGUACACUAACCGUUAUUUGCUCUUGUUGUUGGUCCCGGAUGAGCUGUAGUCUUAUUUUAAUUUUAUUUAAACUCACCAUAAGAUUCGCGGAGCUCCUAACUAACUUAAAUGACUCUGCAGAGCAUGUCAACACAUAGCAUGUUUAACCGUUUUAUUUGUAGAAGAAUUUAUGAUUUCCCAUUAGCAUUAUUAUUAAAGAAGUGGGGCGGGUCAAAUCUCAAUUGCUUGAAAAUUUUAUUUAUUAUUAUUAGUCUUGAAGUGGGGUGGGUAACGGUUCGCUCAAUUUGAUUUGAGGGAAUCAAAUAUAUCAUCCAAGGUAGAAUUGUGGAAAAUUAAAGCAAAAUAAGAAAUAUGGAAAGAAAAGAAGAAAGUUAAUGCAUGAAAGACAUAUACAGUUGAAAUUGAUAAUCAUGUUUCUAUUUUGUUAACUAAUCAAAUGGAAAGCUGAACUGUAAACAAACAUUAAAACGUGUGGACCAAGCUAGCUGCCCUACAAGUUUACAAUAAUAAUUGAGUACUUUGAUUCAUCCUUCUAUGAAUUUCUACCCAUAUUGACUCCACCGAAAUUUCCACAAAAUAAAAAAAAAAAAAAACUGAAUUUCCACAAAAUGCAAAACCCGUAGAACUUAAUUUUUGGUCAUGUGAACUAAGAUGUAAAUUAAAGAAAAAGUAUAAAAUUAAAAAAGAUAAGAUUUCUAAAAUGUGUGGAAGGUGAUUCAUGAUUCACUGAAAUUACUUACCCCAGAUAUAAAUGUAAACCUAUCUAAUUUCAUUAAAAAUAGUUGGAAAAAAUUAACUAAUAGAAAGCUACGGAAAUUAACCCCCCACAAAAAUGACUUUUUAUAGAAGAAUUUAUGUUUUUUAAAAUAUGUUAUCAAAGUGUAUUUGAUCAAAUCUCAAUUGCUUAGUAUGGUUAGGAUUUUGUGAACAUCACUAAAAAGUGAAAACUAUGAAUGAUAGGGGUGAUGCUUGCAAUAUGAAUAAAUAAUGGACUGAUUCAAUUGAUGAUUACAUUUAUAUAUUAUUGAUUAUUUAUGAAUUUUCAGAUUUUCGAGUGAUCAACUUAAAUCUAUAUGAAUUUAUUGUCAAAGAUGGUGAUCAUGAUGGGCAUGUGAAUAUGUUAGAAAAAACUUGCACUUGUCGGGAAUUCCAACUUGAACAAUUACCAUGUGUACAUGUUGUGGCGGUGUGUAGGCAUCGAGAUUUUUCAAUCUAUGAUUACUGCUCCUAUUACUAUUCAAGUGAUGCAUGGGUGUUAGCAUAUUCUGAGACUAUUUAUCCUGUUGGUCCUCAAGAGGGGUGGGAUGUUUCUAGUGAUGUAUGUGCCCGCGAAGUACAUCCUCCUCUAGAAAAGCGGUCAAGUGGGCGUCCAAAAAAUAAUAGAAUACCAUCUAGGGGUAAGGAAAAGGUGCCUCGUAAAUGCAGUCGGUGUGGUGGUCGUGGACACAAUCGACUCAAAUGCAUGACGCCAAUGCCGUUACAUGAGUGAUACCUUGUUUUAAAUUUAUAUGCAAUGUAAGUGUCUCAAUUCUUGGUAUUCAUUUAUGUUUUAUUUAUUUCGUUAAUGCUGUUUAAAUAUGUACUAAAUUUAACACUAUGUGUACAAGGCUUGACGGAGGAUUUAGCUUGUAUGUUGUCUUUAAAUGGUGGCAUCGUAGAUUUUUGGGUUAUGGCUUGAGUUCUUGGAGCAAUUAAAGGACUAUGCUAAGUCAUUGUAUAAGGAUUUUCGUAUUGAAAUUGCAUAAGGAUGAAUUUACUAGUUGCUAUUUAAUGUUUCUUGGAUAAGGAUCAAUUUACUAGUUGCUAUUUACUAGUUGAAAUUAUAUAAGGAUGAAAUAGAAUUGUAUUUAAUGUUUCCUGGAUAAUUUAAAGUUGUUGCAUAAAAAAGUCGAGUGUUUCCUGUUAUUUACCCGACUGCACUGAAAAAAGUCGAGUAUUUCCCGUUAUUUACUCAACUUCGAUGAAAAUAAUCUACAUUUACCCAACUUCGAGGAGAUGAGAAUUUUUGUUCAAUAUUUUGCAAGGUCACAUCAAAGUCGAGUAUUCUCGACCUCAUACCCGACUUGGAUGAGUCGAGAAUUUUCAUUUAAUCUGACGCAAUGUUACAUUAAAGCCGAGUAUUCUCGACCUCAUACCCGACUUUGGUGAGAGGAGAAUUUUCGUUCAAUGUUAGAGAAGAUUGCAAUAUAAGUCGAGUUUUCUCAACUGUUUACCUGACUUCAAUGUGGAGAAAUUUUAUUUAAUGUUAGGCAAUAUUACAUUAAAAGUCGAGUUUUCUCGACUGUUUAAGUCGAGUUUUCUCGACUGUUUAAGUCGAGUUUUCUCGACUGUUUACCCGACUUCGAUGAGGAGAAAUUUUGUUCAGUGUUAGGCAAGAUUACAUUAAAAGUCGAGUAUUCCUGACUAUUUUCCUAACUUUGCUUAAGGAAGUCGAGAGUUAAGUCAAUCAGAGGAGAAUUUUUUAGGCAAGCGUACAUUGAAGUAUGGGAAUCAAAAUACCAGACUUUGAUGAAAUAAUAACAAAAACCAAAAUAUUUAACUUAUUCACACAUUUACAACAAUACAAGUCAGUUCAUAAGGUUUUGAUUAACAUUAUCCCAAAAGUUAAACUACAAACUAAUACGAAGUCGAGUAUUCUUGAUUAUCCAAAACAAUGAACUUCUUGUCAUCAUCAAUCGUACUCCUCUAUCAACUUCUUGUCAGAAAACAACCUUGUUGCCACUUGUUUUCGGUAUGAGUUAAUGCCUGCUUGUGUACGAACGUCAUAUGGAAUGUCUAGACCAUAUACAAGUGCCUCCAAAUAAAACAUAACAAAAACCCCACAAUCAUUGCUGCAAGAGAAAAAUAGAAAGUGAUAGUUAUUUGAUAUUACAUAACUCAAGGGAUAAUAUAAGAGAGGCAACACUAUUUCUUACUUGUUUUUUUGUUGUGGGAUGUCUGAAACUCGCACAGCCUUCCACUUACGAGUUAGAGAAUUAUCAUAAGAAUGUGAAGUAUACCAUGAUAUCCUAUCUAGAAUCAAUGGCAUCAUAACUACAAACGGCAACAAUUCCUUCUCAAAUGCACUGUCAUUCAUAUAAUCUAACAUGGAGUCAUACACAAAAAUUAUCUCCUUUUGAAGGUCAAACUGUGCUAGUGCCCAAUGAUCUUGCUUAGGAUGAAGCGGAAUAUAUACCUACAGAAAAAACCAUGUAAACCACUAAAUGGAGAAAAAAAAUUAUAGUCAACAUGUCAAAUAAAUAUAAGCAACUUACUUUGGAAACAUCUUUCCAAUGAACAACACAUUUAAGUUUUUCACCCUUGGCAUAAUCAACGACAUAAUUAGUAGCAUUAUUUGUCCAUACUUUUUCAGGGUUGAUCACGUAAACUGAAUACAGAUGCUCUAACUUUCGCUAUCAUUACAAAAAACAAAAGUGUAAGUGUCUUAUAUAUUUUAUAUUUUCCUAUAUGUUUUAUAAAUGUAAUAACAAACUUACUUGAUAUAUAGUGUCCAUUAUGGCACAUCGUUGCAUACUACAAGAUGGGGAGUUGACCAAGAUGUGUCGUACAACAUAAAAAAAAGAGUCCAAGUGUUGUAUAUAAUAAACAAUAGUUAUUAUAUGCAUUGUUUAACAUAUUCAUUAAAGUACCUAACAAAAAUUAUUACUAAACAAUAUGUUUAUAACAAAAUUCAAAACAAUAUAUAGAUUCUUACACUACAAUCCUUAAUUUCAUAAAUUUACAGAACAAUAUGUUUAUAACAAAAUUCAAAACAAUAAUCAAUAAAAGGCAAAUCCAAUGAACACAAUCAAAUAACCUUUAAAAUUGAAUCAUAAUGUUUCAAAACUAAACACAUCAUUUCUCCAACCGCAAAGCCAAAAUUGGGAAAACUAACCCACAUGAUUCUUUAAUCAACUUUUCUUUAACCACAUUGUUGCCAAAUCUUAAUUGUUGCACUCAAACAAAAAUAAGAAUACAAAAUCCAUAGAGGAAAUAAAAUAAAUUUGAAGUUCUUCAAAUAAAAAUAUGCUGUCUAACAUUUGUUUUUGUAUGUCUCUUCGUGAUAUAUUGUAUUACAUUGUUCAUGUUAUACUUCUAAUUCUUUUCAUUUUCAGUAAUCCCAUAAAUUAUACCCAAUUCACUAAAUCACUUACCAUUUUCAAGCAAAACCCUAAAAUUUUUCUUUGAAUAUUUGUAGGAGAAAGAAGAAAAUGAAAAUUACUUACCUAGUAACCAAUGACGGAGGCAAGACAAGGUGGUGGUGACACGGCUGAGGCAAUGGUGAUAGCUGAAGUGCAGAAUGGGCAGGGAGCCGCUUGUUCUUCAAGGAGUUUUCUCUCUUAUUUUGUUUACUCGACUUUGUGAUUUUGGGUGGGAAUCGAUUCUGUUUUGUUGGCUUUUAUUAAGGUUAUUUUUGUAUUUUCCAUGAUCUUUUUAAGUAUAUAUGUGUAAAGUUAGUAAUUUUAAUAUAUAGAGGUAUAUUUUAGGUAUUUUGAGGAAACCAGGUAUAUCCCACGCAAUUCGGGGUUUUUUUAUUUAAAUAUCCUCAAUUUACCCUUAAAUGCCAAAUUUAUACCCUAUUACAUACAUAUACCUUAUGAAGAUAGGAAAAGUCAAAAAUAACCUUAAAAAAACUAAGAAUUCACAUCUCUCUUCUCCCAUUGCUUCUCUUUUUCGGGCUUCUCUCACCAUUCUCUAUUUUUCUUAUAAGUGUAUUUCCUAAUGAUUUAUGAAUUUUAGUAGUACAUUAUUCAUUUUUUGUGCUUGCACACACACACACUAUUUCAAUGUAGGGAUUUAAGACUACAUUUAAGUUACGAGUGAUUGAAGAAUCAGUGCAGGAAGAAGUCGGGUACGAAGUCAGGUAAAUCGAGAAUUUAGUCGAGUAAGAAUUAGAGAUAAGUAAGUCGAGUAUAUGGUCGGGUAAGAAGUCGAGUAAGCAUAUUAAAUAAGUCGAGUAUAUGGUCGGGUAAGAAGUCGAGUAAGAAAAUUAAAUGAGUCGAGUAAGCAUAUUAAAGAAGUCGAGUAUAUGGUCGGGUAAGAAGUCGAGUAAGAAUAUUAAAUGAGUCGAGUAAGCAUAUUAAAUAAGUCGAGUAUAUGGUCGAGUAAGAAGUCGAGUAAGAAUAUUAAAUGAGUCGAGUAAGCAUAUUAAAUAAGUUGAGUAUAUGGUCGGGUUCAAGAAGUUGAGUAAGAAUAUUAAAUAAGUCGAGUAAGCAUAUUAAAUAAGUCGAGUAAGCAUAUUAACUAAGUCGAGUAUAUGGUCCGGUAAGAAGUCGAGUACGAAUAUUAAAUGAGUCGAGUAAGCAUAUUAAAUAAGUAGAAUAUAUGAUCGGGUAAGAAGUCGAGUAAAAAUAUUAAAUGAGUCGAGUAAGCAUAUUAAAUAAGUCGAGUAUAUGGUCGGGUAAGAAGUCGAGUAAGAAUAUUAAAUGAGUCGAGUAAGCAUAUUAAAUAAACCGAGUAUAUGGUCGGGUAAAAAGUCGAGUAAGAAUAUUAAAUAAGUCGAGUAAGCAUAUUAACUAAGUCGAGUAUAUGGUCCGGUAAGAAGUCGGGUAAGAAUAUUAAAUGAGUCGAGUAAGUAUAUUAAAUAAGUCGAGUAUUUUUAUUAAGGUUAUUUUUGUAUUUUCUCUGAUCUUUUUAAGUAUAUAUGUGUAAAGUUAGCAAUUUUAAUAUAUGGAGGUAUAUUUUGGGUAUUUUGAGGGAAAACAGGUAUAUCCCACGCAAUUCGCUCCGCAAUUCGCUCCCAUCUCAUCAUCUUCUUCAGUUGUACUAACAUUAAAUUCUUCUUAUUCCCUUUCUCAACUGUCAUACCCUAUCCCUAUUCCCUGUGUCCCCACUAAACCACGCUCAAUUCAGUCCAUCAGAUUCUCUCGGAACCACAUUAAUCCAACGGCUCACAAUGACCGACAGCCUCUGCAUCUCCAUUUCAAGCUCCCUCUUCAACUGGCCUCUGCUUCCGUUGUACUCUUUCUCGGAUUCUCGGUGGUCCCACACAGCUCCAUCUCGCUCCAAUUGUCACCCAACAAGACCAAUUGCUUAAUCAAGUCACAGAACAAAAAGAGGAUGAGAAAUUGGAACAAGAAUUUGAGAAUUGGAAAUCGAAAAUGUACAAAUUGACCGUGCCUUUGAGAGUUGUUUCUCUUCAGAAUUCAAUACCUCAAUCUUGGAUUAAGGAUUUUAUGCGAAGUCAAGGAAAGAUAUUGAAUUUUCAGAUGAAUUUGUGUGCUAGCAUUGAUGGGAUCUCAACAAUUUAUCUGUGCCUUUUAACAAAGUUAAGGCUAAAUCAGCUCUUAUAUGGGUGCUGAUUUGGUUAGUGUUGGUGAUUCAUGUCUCAGUUUUGCGAUUAAAAAGAGAUUGAUUGAACCAAUAGUUGGAGCUGAAGAUGAAGAUUGGUUCAAAUGCUUAAGUCACAAAUGGAAGGUAACAUCUUUAUCAUUGUCCAGAUAUUUUUUAAUCAUUGUCCCGAUAUGUUUUAUUGUCUUACAUUGAAGUUUGGUAAUGUAAUUUGUUCUCUAUCUGUGUUCCCUUUGUAGUCAUUUUAUUUAUUUUUUUGUUUGCAUUUAUUUGCACUUACGAAGUCUCAGGUAUAUCUAUGCAGGAAUGAUGCAGAAGAAAUUGAUCCUUGAGGUAAAAUAUGCGCAGCACCAUAUCAGUGGGGCACAGUGGUGAUAGCUUACAAGAAAAGUAAAUUUUGAAAGCAUAAUUUGGCUCCGAUUGAGGUAAUAAUUGUCUUUAAACUCAUUUAGUUUUAUAUCAAACAAAAUCAAGACUGCCCUUCUCUUCAAUAUUUUUUAUGAUAAUAUCUUUAGAAGCAGCUAAUUGACGGGUAAUCAAGGUAUUCCUUAAAGGGUCUACAAACUCAAUGAUAUUAUCUUCUGCAAAUGGUUCAUUAGACCUCUUAGUUGUAGUCAAAUGUCCACUAAGGACAGCAAGAAGCUAUGCCACUGUAGCAUGGUAAUGAUGGCCCUCAAUAAGUGAGUUGGUAGGAUGUGAAGCAGAAAAAUUAAUUAAUGUCUCCCUGGCUAUGCCAGCUCAUAAGUUAGGGUUAAUAUUAGAGCUUGAGUAACUAUAACCUUGAGAAGCUAUUGACUGCAAAUUAAAAUAUCCAUUAAAAUGUUUAGGGAGUUAUGAAGGUGGAAGUAUCUUCCAAUUUCUAAGGCCAUAUUGUAGACAUCAUCCAGGAUCCUAUUAAAGUGCAGUUAGCCUCCUGCUUGAUGCUAAUGUCAAACAAUUAAUAAAUUUGGUCAAUGUAACUGAAACUUGCUAACUGACAUCAGAUUGCAACUUAAAAUGGGAUAGAUGAUUAGUAGCACUGAAUUCUUCUUGCCUAAGAUUGAGCAAUUGUUCUAACUACUAUCUCCUAUUGUAGGUUGAUUAUUAUGUUCUAAUUAGGUCCAUUUUGACCCAAAAAAUUACAUAAUCUUGAUCUGCAUAUUGUCACUGAACAGUGUCAAUAUCGUUCACCAACUAACUUGAGUUUGAUAUAACAAACACACGGUGUGUCUCUCAUGUCUCACCAUGAUGGAGAAUUUUUCUAAUGCAUGAAGUAAGCUUCGAUAUGUGGGUUAGCUUGGAGAAGAUAUCUCAAAAUGAAGAAUAUGGGGAGUUAAUGGGAAGAAACAGUUCAUUAGUUGAUAAUUCUGUCAUCGAGCUGUAUCUCUAACAUGGUCAAAUUUUAUGUGAAUAAGGACAGGGAAUCUUCAUUCCUCUUUUCCUUUCUAUACCCAGAUAUCUCUCAACCUUUAUAUGUUGCCCACUGGAGAUCUGCUUCUAAUAACUAAAAUAAAAAUUUCAUCCACUCAAUAAAUGCUGACCAACCUUUCACAAGAAAAAGUAACAUCUUUAGUGAAGUAAUUUACAGUUCCUUAUCAUCUUCGUGUGAGUCUAUCAGUAUGAUCCAAAAACAUAAUACAUCUUGUUAGAUCUUGUUUAUUGAUGUUUAAAUGUUGUUCAUUGUGAAAUGUAGAAAUGAUGACGUGAAGUUUCUUUGGUCAUCAGUUAGUGAGAUCUUGUCUGAAGUUGUUUUCUGAAAUGAACUGCCAAAUGGUAGUUUUUUUUUUUGGGUGCAUUUGAUGGCUCUUUUCUCCUCAUUUUAAGUGGGUGCCUGCUUGGAAUGGGAAGGAAUAGGCUUCAGAGUUGUUAUAUAUGUUGACAUGCUCUAGUCUUUACACAAUAUGUUCAAAUUGGAAAUUAGAAUGAGAUAUUUGUCGAUGCUUUUUGAGAGAUCUGCAUUCUAAGCACCAUAACAUGAUUAAUGAAAACGGGUUUAAAGACUGGAAAGAUCUGUGGCGGCCCGAGCUUGCAGGAAGGAUUUCAAUGGUUAAUUCUCUCAGAGAGGUUAUUGGUACAGUUUUGAAGUAUAUGGGAGCAUCAUACAAUUGAAACGACAUUGAUUAGCAAGUUGCUGCUGGGAGGAUUGCUGUUCAGCAGAAUCUGGCAUUACUGGGAAACCAGGUACUCUUAACGAAACGAUAUCUGGUCAAUGCAUAUUAUUGCCUGACAGCUGAUUUUGUUUGUAAAGUCUGCCUUUUCAUACAUAUGAAUGCAUAUGUUAGUGUUUUACGAAUGCAUAUGUUGGUUUUAUUUUCUGAGAUGGAUGCAAAUAAAGGCUUUUUCUUCUAAAUUUAGCUGAAGAAAUGGCAAGGAAUGUGAGAUUAUAUCUCAUUAAAUUAUCAAAACCCAAAACAAUGAAAACUCAUAUUAAUGUGAUGUGGAUAAAUUGGCAACAUUUGGCUUGUUUCCUCCACGCGAAUUAGCAAGCAAUAGAGACUAAAAAAAUGGAGUGAUAAUAACAAGUCAUUGUCGUUUGAUGAAUGCAUUUUUAAGCAAAAAUAGGAUUGUAACUGAACAAAUUUUUCUGGCAUGCCAAUUUCAAAAAAUUAAAUUAUGUGGUUAUUAGUAAUGAAGGGGAAUUGUAGGUGCAAUCAGGUCAAUCCAGUAAAGUUCAACAAAGUUCUGGUUUGGUGUAGUGAAAUUGGUUUAUGCAACUUGAGUCUUUCAGAUGAACAAUGAUGAGUUUUCAUUUAAAAAUGUUAUAAAUCUGCUGUGCAUAGUAUUCUAGUGGAAUCAUCUAUAAAUUCAAGUUAUUGAAAUUGUCUAUUUUGUCUGGUCUGAGUUAAGGAGGCAUGUAAUUUAUGAAAAAUAGUUGUCGAAUAUUGUAGGUUACCUAACAUUUGAUCAAUCCUGUGGUGAGGGCUUUAAGAUGUCUAACAGCAUGUAGAAUGCCCCUGCUCCCCUCACAUUGUUUAUCUUAUACAAUAAUCCAUUAUAGAUGCUAAUAUCUUUGUCAAUACCUAAAACAGUAUUACAAAAUCUGAGUUUAUUGGGUUUUAUAUAGGUUCAACUGUUUGACAGUACACACUAUCUGAAGGCAUUUGGAAUUGGAGAUGUCUGGGUUGCUGUUGGGUGGAGUAGCGAUGUUCUUCCUGCUGUCAAACGUAUGUCUAAUGUUGCAGUUGUUGUUCCCAAGUCAGGUGCUAGCUUAUGGGCUGAUCUUUGGGUAUGCCCAUGCUUACCAUUCUACUUUGAUAUUCACUUUGUUAUCUCCAUCAUAGUAAUGAUCAGUAAAUACGAGAAUGUGUGACUGAUAAGUUUGUAUUCUCUUUUUAGGCAAUCCCUGCUGCGUCAAGACUUGAAACAAACCAAAUUGGAGGGUGAGUCAGAGGUCCAUCUCCAUUAAUCCAUCAAUGGAUAGUGUUCUGCUUGCAAACAGCAAGAGCAUUGCCUUUCAAACAAGAGGUUAUCCCUGGCGUACUGAGAUGGCUAAAGUUCUUGAAGUUUUGUUAGAAAUGAAAGAUGAGUGGUUGUUUGAAUAAAGUUGUGGCCAAUCUCGCAAAGGUUAAAAAGGAACAUCACGGAGCUAAUGCCACCGAUUUCUUCAUCAUUGUAGCCUCUAUAGUUGAAGUUUCCUCAUUUGAAGCUCUUUAUGCAUUAUCCCUGCUCAAGUACAAUUGAAGAACUAACCAGAUGUGAUAUGCUGAAAGAGGGAAGUUUUCUUCCUUGAAUGUGGCCUUGUGAUUUGUCAGGGAAUAGGAUGAUCACUAGCAAGAACCCUGUCAAGGUAGAUUUUAUGAUAUUAACAUAUUAUUAAGCAUUUGCCACUUUAGCAACGAUACAUUCAUAGCGUGAAAGUGUUCAAAUUUAACCUAAUGAUCCUGAUUAAUCAAUUAAUUUUCAUGAGUUGUAACCGGAGUUAAAGCUAAGUACAAUCAUCGUUAACAAAGACUGAAAUUUUGGGUAAAUAUGAUCUUAUAUUGAAUCAUUUGAUGACACAACUCACAUUGGAAAUUACUUAUUGCGUGGGGAUGGCGAUGUUUACUGUUGUAUUGCGAUAUAAAAUAUGUGCAAGGUAUUGUCGACUGCUUUUUGGGUUAUGGUGUGAUAGCUGCUGAUUAGUGAUAAAACAAGAAAAAUUAAUUAAACUCAGGCCUACAUGCUAAAUGUGUAUGUUAUCCUAACUUUCACUACAAGAAAAUGUCCUUAACCUGACCGUGUUAGAUGAUUGUAAGUAGCAGUGUUCGUACAAGUUUUUUUUCCUUCAUGGUAUUUACAAUUUCUUAGGAACAUCUAAAAUCUGAAAAUCCUCAUUUACUAAAAAUUAAGUUAUCAUUUACUGGCUGGCAACUUAAAGAUAAGAAUAAAUUCAAGAGCUCAUCAACCAAGUAGAGUUUUCUCAAUAGACGCCGUAGUUAAUUUCUCUCUUCAAUCUUGAUUAUGAAUGAUUGUUUUGUUGCUUUUUAAAGCGCUUUUAAAGUUUUAUUUUGCUCAUGUCUGAUAUUUAAUUACCUGAAGAAGCCUGAUGAUUUCUUGAUAUGAUUGCUCUGCCAAGCUAUCUAAGAAAUAGCUAUAGAAAUCCCUUCAUUACAUUAGAUAAUCUUCAUUAUCUGUGCAAUUUGGUGUUUUGUCUUUGAAGCCAGCCGUUUGCUUUUGAUAGAUUCCAUCUCGUAUUUAUUCCUUUUCUAUAGAUUUUGCAGGAUUGAAGCUAUAUUUCUUCUCUGUAUAUGUGAUUGAUAUUAAGAGUAUGUUUUUGUGUUGUCUCUGUUUUUUCUAUUUGAUCUAGAUUUAAUACCUGAAAGGUUACUAACAAAUUAUCUUAGGUCAAAUUCUCUUUUACGAGACUUUUUUUGCUAAAUUCUUGGAAUUAUAUAAUUAACUAAAUCUUUAGUACAAGGAGGAGUUUGCCCCUAACUUUGCUUUCUUUCUAUAAUCGCAUUAAUAAUCAAUCCCCUGCAUGUUGGUCGCAUUAAUAACCAAAUGUGCCUUUGACAUGCAACUAUACAAUCACAAACCAUCAUAGGCCAAGAUUGGUUCAAAUGCUUAAGUCACAAAUGGAAGGUAACAUCUUUGUCUUUGACCCGAUAAUUUUUAUUGUCUUACAUUGAAAUUUGGUAAUGUAAUUUGUUCUCUAUCUGUAUUACCCUUUGUAGUCGUUUUAUUUAUUUGUUUAUUUAUUUGCUUUUAUUUGCACUAACGAAGUCUCAGGUAUAUCUACGCUGGAAUGAUGCAGGAGAAAUUGAUCCUCGAGGUGCAAUAUGGGCGGCACCAUACAGGUGGGGCACAAUGGUGAUAGCCUACAAGAGAAGUAAAUUUCAAAAGCAUAAUUUGGCUCCGAUUGAGGUAAUAAUUGUCUUUAAACUCAUUUAGUUUUAGUCAAAUGUACACUAAGAACAAUUAGAAGCUAUGCCACUGUAGCAUGUAGUGAUGGCCCUUAAUAAGUGAGUUGCUAGGAUGUGAACUAGAAAAAUUAAAUAUUGUUUCCUUGGGUAUACUAGCUCGUAAGUCAGGGUAAAUAUUAGAACGUAAGAUACUAUAACCAUGGGAAGCUAUUGACAGCCAAUUAAAAUAUCCUUUAAAAUGUCUAGGAAGUUAUGAAGGUGGAGGUAUCGUCCGAUUUCUAAGGCCACAUGGUAGACAUCAUCUAGGAUCCUAGGAAAAUGCAGUUAAACUCCUGCUCAAUGCAAUUAAUAAAUUUGGUCAUUGCCACUGAAACCUGCUAACUAACGUUACAAUGCGACAUGAGCACUUCAAAAUGGGACAGACGGUCAGUAGCACUAAAUUUUUCUUGCCUAAGAUUGAGCAAUUGGCUAACUACUAACCCCUAUUGUAGAUUGAUCAUUAUUUUUUCAAUUUUGUUCAGUUUGACCCAAAAAGUUACAGAAUCUUGAUCUGAAUAUUGUCACUGAACACUGUCAAUGUCGUUUAGCAUAGCCAACUAACUUGAGUUUGGUAAAACAAACACACAGUGUGUCUCAUGUCUCACAAUUCAAAUUAUCAUCUGUAAUGAUGGGGAAUUUUUCCAAUGUAUAAAGUAUGCUUUGAUACGUGGGUUAACUUGGAGAAGAUAUCUCAAAAUAACGAAUAUGGGGAGAAAACAGUUCAGUAGUUUAUUAUUCUGUAGUCAAGUUUUGUCUCAAAAAUGGUCAAAAUUUAAAUGAAUAAGGACAGGGGAUCUUCAUUCUUUUUUCUCUUUUUAUACCAAGAUAUCUCUCAACCUUUAUAUAAUCCCCACUGGAUAUCUGCUUUUAAUAAUUAAAAUAAAAAUUUCACCCCCACAAAUAAAUACUGACCAAGCUCUAACAAUAAAAAGUAACGUCUUUAGUCAAGUAAUUUACAGUUCCUCAUCAUCUUAGUGUGAGACUAUCAGUACGUUCCAAAAACAUAAUAAAACUGGUUUGAUCCUGUUUAUUGAUUUUUAAAUGUUGUUCAUUGUGACAUGUAGAAAUGAUGAGGCGAAGUUUAUUUGGUCAUCAAUUAGUAAGAUCUUGCUUGAAGCUGUUUUACGAAAUGAACUUGCCAAGUGGUAGUUUUUUGGGGGCAUUUGAUGGCUCUUUUUUCCUCAUUUUAAACAUGUGCCUCCGUGGAACGGGAAGGAUUAGGCUGCAGAGUUGUUAGAUAUUUUGACAUGCUCUGGUCAUUGCACAAUUUGUUCACACUGGAAAUUAGAAUGAGAAAUUUGUUGAUGCUGUUCUGAGAGAUCUGCAUUCUAUGCACAAAAACAUGACUAAUGAAAAUGGAUUGUAGGACUGGAAAGAUCUGUGGCAGCUUGAGCUCGCAGGAAGAAUUUCAAUGGUUAAUUCUCCCCGAGAGGUUAUUGGUUUGGUUUUGAAGUAUAUGGGAGCAUCAUACAAUUCAAAUGAUAUUGAUUCGCAAGUUGCUGGUGGGAAGAUUGCUGUUCAGCAGAAUCUGGCAUUACUGGCAAGCCAGGUACUCUUAAAGAAGUGCUAUCUGGUCAUUGCAUGUUAUUGCCUGACAACUGAUUUUGUUUGUAAAAGUCUGCUUCUUCAUACAUAUGGAUGCAUAUGUUAGUGUUUUCUUCUCCUUUUCAUACAUAUGAAUGCAUAUGUUAGUGUUGUCUUUUCCUUUUCAUACAUAUUAAUACAUAUGUUGGUGUUCUCUCCUGAGAUGGACGCAAUAAAGGCUUUUGCUCCUAAAUUUAGGUGAAGAAAUGGUAAGGGAUGUGAGAUUCUGUCUCAUUAAAUUAACAAAACCCCAAAACAAUGAAAACCCAUAAUAAUGUGGUGUGGGUAAAUUGGCGCCAUUUGGUUCGUUUCCUUAAUGUGAAUACACGAGCAAUAGAGACUAACAAAUUGAAGUGACAAGAACAAGUCACUGUCCUUUGAUGGAUGCAGUUUUAGGCAGAAAUAGGUUUGUAAUUGACCAAAUUUGCCUGGCAUGCCAAUAUCAAAAAAAUUAAAUUAUGUGGUUAUUAGCUGUAAUGAAGGGGGAUAGUAGGUGCAAUCAGGUGGAUCCAGGAAAGUUCAACAAAGUUCUGGAAUUGCGUAGUGAAAUUGGUUUGUGCAACUCAAGAGUCUUUCAGGUGAACAAUGAUGGGUUUUGAUUUAUAAAUGUUAUAAAUCUACUGUGCAUAGUAUUCUAGUAGAAUCAUCUAUAAGUUCUAGUUAUUGAAGUUGUCUACUUUGUCCAGUUUGGUCAAUUACCUAACAUUUGAUCAAUCCUAUUAUGAGGGCUUCAAGAUGUCUAACAAUAUGUGGGAUGCCCAUGCUCCUCCCCAUUGUUUAUCUUAUACAAUAAUUUGUUUUCGAUGCUAGUAUCUCUUUCGAUACCGGUAACAAUAUUACAAUAUCUGUGUUUAUUGGGUUUUACAUAGGUUCGAAUGUUUGACAGUACACACUAUCUGAAGGCAUUUGGAAUUGGAGAUGUAUGGGUUGCUGUUGGGUGGAGUAGUGAUGUUCUUGCUGCUGUCAAACGAAUGUCUAAUGUUGCAGUUGUUGUUCCCAAGACUGGUGCUAGCUUAUGGGCCGAUCUUUGGGUAUACCCAUGCCUGCCAUUCUACUUCGAUAUUCACAUUGUUAUCUCCUUCAUAUUAGCGAUCAGUAAACACAAUAAUGUGAGAAAUAAGUUUGUAUUCUCUUUAUAGGCAAUCCCUGCUGCCUCAAGACUUGAAACAAAACAAAUUGGAGGGCGAGUCAGAGGUCCAUCUCCAUUAAUCCAUCAAUGGAUAGAGUUCUGCUUGCAAAUAGCGAGAGCAUUGCCUUUCAAGCAAGAGGUUAUCCCAGGCGCAUCUCCCUCUGCUCUUGAAAGUACUCUGGUUAAGUUGCCUGAAGAACUUCUGAAGGGUAAACCAAGUCUGGAUACUAACUUAAUUUCUGGAGUACCCCGGGCUGAAAUUCUGGCCAGAUGUGAGUUUUUGGAGCCAUUAUCUGAAGCUACUUUGUCAGAUUAUGAGUGGCUGGUUGGUAAUCUGCAAAAAACCUGCUCCUGUCUUGGUGAAAAGGGGGCAAAAUUACUUGUCAUCAUUAAUCCAAAGCUUUCUAGCAAAAGCUGCAUUGAAACGUUAAUGGCACUGCAUGCCAGUCAUUAUAAUGCAGUCAGGGCAAUUGGGUCAGGGCAAUUAGGUCAGGGCAUAACUUCAUCAGGAAAAGAGGCUUCAGCUACGUUAAAUAUUACAGUAUGUACUAAGAUGGCUGAAGUUCUUGAGGUUUUAGGAGAAACGAAAGAUGAGUCUUUGUUUGAACAAAGUUGUUGCCAAUCUUUCAGAGUUCGAGAAGAAAGAUCACGGAGCGAUGCCGCUGAUUUCUUCAUCAUUGUAGCCUCCAUAGUUGAAGUUUCCUCAUUUGAAGCUGUUUAUGCAUAUGCUUUUUCCCUGCUCAAGUACAGGAAAUUGGAGAAUUAACCAGCUGUGAUAUGCUGAAAAAGGGAAGUUUUCUUACGUGAAUGUGGCCUUGUGAUUUGUCUUGAAGGAAUAGGAUGAUCACUGGCAAGAACCCUAUGAAGGUAGAUUUUAUGAUGUUAACAUAUUAGUAAGCAUUUUGUUACAUCAGCGAUGAUGCUUUCAUUGCAUGAAAGUGUCUAAAUUUAACUGAAUGAUCUUGAUUAAUCAAUUAUGAGUUUUAAUCGAGUAAAAACUAAAUUCAAUCAUCGUUAACAAAUACUGAAAUUGGGUAAAUAUGAUCUUGAUAUUGAGGAAUUUGAAAUCACAACCCGCACAGGAAAUCACCCUUCGCGGGGGGAUGGAGAUGUUUACUGCAGCGAUAAUGAAUAUGUGCAAGGUGUUGUCCACUGCUCUUUGGGUUAUGGUGUGACUUGCGAUUUCAAGGUUGCCCUGAAACAAUGGAAAAUAUUAACAUAUCCUCCAAUGAAUAAAAACGGCUGGACUAAUUCAAAUUACUCAGCAUCAGGUGGCAAUAAUAACAGUCCAUUUACUUUUCCAGGAUCAGAUGUUGAUAAUAAUAGUUUAUUAAAUGACAAAUCAUUGUUCUUGGGGGUUAGUUGUAUACGUCCUUACUACUUCAAGGAGAAGAAAAAGGUUGUGCAGGUGAUUUCAGAAAUAAAAUACAUUCUGAGAGAUGAUGGUCCACUACUGCAUGCCCCCCAGAUUUAAGAAUCAUCACUUUUCCUUUAAAAAACUGCUACGCUUUGAUUUUAGUGCUGAAUAUUUAUUGAACUCUGAUAGAAGGAGUUUGAAGUCAAACUCGUAAUUACAGGUUAUCUAAUUGCUGAGUUGUUGUCCAUAGCUGCUGAUUUGUAGUGAUUAUCUAAUUGACUGAGGUAACAACAAUUUUUUUUUUUUAAUUUUCAAUAGCACAAUGUCGAAUUCAAUAAUUAAAUUCUCCUAUUUAAUUUGUUUCAAGUUAAAUUAUUAAUUACUUAAACUAUGUUUUAAGUCUUUAAUUUUAUGUCUUGGCGUAUAUGCAGAAUUGGAUUCUUGAGCGUGUUGGACACGACCAACAAUGAAAUUGACAGUAAACAAACAUUACAACGUGUGGACUCCGGUAGCUGCCCUACAAGUCUACAACUUCACAAAUAAUAAUUGAGUAAGCACCUUUGAUUCUCGUAACCCUUCAAUGAAUUUCUAGCCCCAUUGACUCCACUAACAAAAGUUUUGUAAAAUAAAAAAAAUACAUAAAAUUCCACCAAAUACAAAACGCGUGGAAUUUAAUUUUCGGCCGUGUGGACCAAAACAUAAUUUAACGAAAAAAGAAAAAAAUGAUAAGAUUUCUAAAAUGUGUGGAAGGUGAUUCAUAUUUUACUGAAACGACUUGUUAAAUUUUUCAAGGAUUUAGAAUAUUUGGUCGUAAAUUAGGUGCAUGUUAAUUUUUCCGCCAUUGACUAUCAUAUUCUAAACUUAAUGGUACCUUUCUUGAUGAAGGGUACUUAGUCUCCCUUCUCCUCUUAUAAAAAUUAUAUUAAUUGAUUUCUUAUUAUAGUUAAUAGUCUUUAAGAACGGAUAGCUUUAUUGUUUUCAUAACCAAAUUAUGCCUGCCUAAGAUUGCGACUAUUAAUAAAAUUAAUAUUCAAUGUUUAUGUUAAAAGAUAUAAGAUUAAUUUAUGCGUUCAUUAAUUGUUAUUAGCUAAAGGAUGAAUUAUUUUUUCAACCCAAUCAGUUGAUGCAUCUGCAAGAGUUUUUUCUUUUAGUGACCAUAAUUAUAUUCCGGGUACAAUAAAUUGUCUUUGGUGCUUGGAAAAUAUGACUUCUUACUUCAAGUUUUUGAUAUGUCUCUCUCCAUAAACUUACUGGAAAUAUAUCCUCAUCUACUGUCAUUUAUCUAAUAUCAAUUGAAAAUCUCACUUUUCCAAACUAUCACUUCCAAGUCUAAUUGUCACUUGCCAUUCUUGGACCAUUCAAAACCAAUCAAGUGUUGAAAUAAUCAAAUAUAUGCAAAAUUAGAGUCACGAUUUUUGGUCCCCCAAAUUCUAAUUAUAUAACUUCUAUGUAUCUCAUUGUCAGGUCACGAACUUGUUGGCACAUUUUCCAAAUUCCUCUUCCAUCAGCUCUCACAUGUUAACUUGAGUGUAAAGUUUCCAAGUUGAUUGCUAGAAAGCAACGCAAAAUCAGACACACUUGACCCGUCCCAUAAUUAUCUUUUCUACGUUGAAAAAGAAAAAAAAAAAGAAAAAAGAAAAUAUAUCUAUGUAAAAAUAAAUAAUAAAUUGAGUAAAAGCACAUUUGUUUAAUUAACAUCUGAUCGGGGCAUUUUUGGUGUAAUUUAGUGCUGUGUAACCCACAACUAAAAUCAAACAGCCCCUUAGCAUACUUCUUCCAUUUUAUCUGCUACUUUUGUGGAUCUGAUAGGGUGGGCAUGUGGACAGAAUUUAAAAGUUUUAAUAGUCUCAAAGAAUAAGAUAUGUUAAAGCUAAAGUUGUUGCACCUUCUUAUUAAAUAAAGUUGCACAAUUUCACCAACUUGGAAGAAUUGACAUCAAUGGACUGGUCCCUCUCCAUAUAUGAAGCCUUCUUAAAAGUAAUUUUUAUUUCAGAAAAAAAAGUUUAAGUUACAUAUAUUACAGUAAGAUUUUUUGAGACCAAAUCCCUUCAAAUAAUAAUGGAAAAGUAUUAAUUUAAAAACAAAAUGAAUAUGUAUUGAUUAUAUCCGGAUUUUCAUAGAUUAUAGUGAGAGUUUCUCCAAAUCAAUUCCCUUAUUCAAAUAAUACAGAAAAAAUAGUAAUUUAAUAGUAAAAUAAACAGGUGUUGAUUGUAUAUCCUUAGUUUCAUCGAUUAUGUGAUCAAAGUGGCAUUGAUGAUUUAUUUCUUGUUCAAUGUUAAUUUUUAGGUUAUCUAAAUUUUAAGGAUUUAAAAUCUUUGGUCAUGGAUUGCAUGCUUGUCAAUUUUUCUGUCAUUGACUGUCAUAUUCUAGACUUAAUGGUACCUUUCUUGAUCAAGGGUAAUUAUUCUCUCUCCUCCUCUUAUAAAUUCCUCUUCCAUUAACAUCACUAGGAGUUUGUUGAUCUCUAAGACGUUAACUUGAGUGGAGAGUUUCCAAAUUGAUCGUUACAAAACAGUACAAAAACUAGACACACUUGAUCUGUCUAAUAAUUCUCUUUUGGUAAAAUUAAUUAAUUUUAGGAGAAUAUUCGGCCAACCUCUAUAAUUUCAGAUUGAUCACUAAUUAAUUAAACGAUACAAAUUGCUAAAGUGAUUAGAUGUUUGCUGACAAUACAAGUUCAUGGUUUGAAAUUUGAUCUCUAUCGAUUGGUUUACAAUGGACGUACUUGUGCCUUUGUGGCGAUAAUUGAACCAGAGAUGUGAAGCUGUAAAGAUUUGGCAGUAGUAAAUUGUUAUAAAGACAUAAUGACAAGUUCCCAUGAUUAUUAUUUUUUCCAAAAACUUUUUUACAACAAAUUCAUCUCGCCCAAAAAUUCUAUUUUUCUAACCAACAAUAAUUGAGUACUUGGCCGUAUUGACUCCACGUCUCCACCUGCUUUCUAAGUAAAAACAUGGAAAUGUACUUUCCACAAAAUGCCAAAUGUGUGGAAUUUAAUUUUUGGUCUUGUGGACCAAAAUACAAAUGAAAGAAAGAAGAAAAAAAAGGCCCAAAGACUUCUAAAAGGUGUAGAAGUCUUUGGACCUUUUUACAAUAGUGGAUUUUUUAAAAGGAAAAAAUAACAACACUUUUAUGAUUUGUUUUGAUAAUCAUAUUUACAUAUACUCUCUAAUUUUCAAAAUGGACACAUAAUUUUUUUUUUUACAAAUAUACGUUAUUCGUAUUUUUUAUUAUUUUUAUUAUCGUAUUUUUAUUUAUUAUAAAUAUUUAAAGUAAAUUUUUAGGUUGAAAUAUAUUAAAAGGAUAUAAUCGUUCUCUUAUUAAACACACAUACUUUUAGUUUCUAUCCAUUUGUCAUCUCAAUCUCUCUCAAUUAUUGUUUAUUGCUAGCUCAAAGCGCGUUGCUGUGGAAAAUUGUAGCAAAAUGAAAAAUUGGAAAGAAAGGGAAGAAGAUUAAUGGGUGAAAGAAUUGGAGAAAACAACCAAAUAAGUCAACUGCUCUUUAGUGAGAACAUUUUACAAAAGGAUUGGAUCGAGUUUUUGUUUGAUAUUGAAGGACCUGCGUCCCUGUCGCGAUGUAGAAUAUGUGCAAGGAGUUGUCUACUGCUCUUUAGGCCAUAAUAAUGUGACUGGUGCAUUCCACGUUGCCCUCAAACAGUGGUCUGAAGUCAAAAGCAAUUAGUUACAUAACAAAUCAUUGUUCUUGGGUUAUACCUCGUCAUGUCUUCAAGUGCGAAGAUGAAGAUUAUGCAAGUGAAUUCAGGAAUACAAUACAUCAUUUCCAGCUCUUUGGGUUAUGGUGUGACUUGCGAUUCCCUCCAAUGAAUGAAAACGGGUGGACUAAUUCUGAUUACCUAAUUGACUCAGGAUCGGCUGGCAAUAAUAACAGUUUAUGAACAAUGCACAGUCCUAGUACUUUUCCAGGAUCUGAUACGACGUUGUCUAAUGUUGAUAAUAAUAGUUUAUUAAAUGACAAAUCAUUGAUCUUGGGUGUUGAUUUCAGAAAUAAAAUACAUUCUGAGAGAUGCUGGUCUACUGUUGCAAGCCCCCAGAUUUAAGAAUCUUCUGAUGAUAAUUUAUCACCUGCAACCGUGCCGGAAGAUUCAACUAGCACUGAAAAAGAUGAUAAUUUAAUUGAUAUGGACAGUUUCCAUAUCACUUUUAAAUCAUCCUAUGUAAUUGUGAUGUUAGGAAGCAUUAGUGAUCUAUAUGUGAACUAUUAUUGGUGCCAUUGGUGGUUUUAUCUUGUUAAAAUAUGGAUGACUUCCAGUUACUAUUUUGUAGUAUACAAUUUUAUUCAAUUAACAUAUAGCUUAAAACCAUUAUGUAUGUGCUUUAUUAAGAUUCUCAAGUACCAAUCACGUUUGCUUAAGAAAUAAAAUUUUACCAUUAAAAGCGUAGUAAUAUUUCCAAGCGCUUCGCAUUUAUCUCAACAUUUUGAAGGAAUUUUGAGAAAUACACGUGUCCAAAAGUCUAGUCAUCAUCCUUAUUUUUCUAUCGUUCUUUUGGGUUUGCAGUUGGUGGUGCUUUCAAUGUUUCCCUGAAACAUAGCAAAAGAAGGUACAUAUUCUUGGUAUGAGUUAGAUUUUUAGUGAUUAUCUAAUUGACUGGGGUGACAACAGUAGCACAACGUAGAAUUCAAUAAUAAAAUUCUCCUGUUUAAUUUGUUUUAAGUUAAAUAAUUAAUUACUUAAAACUCUGUUUUAAGUCUUUAAUUUUAUGUCUUGGCGUUUAUGCAGAGUUGGAUUCUUGAGUGAGUUGGACAUGACCUACAAUGAGAAUGACAGUAAACAAACAUUAAAACGUGUGGACUCCGGUGGCUGCCCUGCAAGUCUACAACUCUACAAGAAUAAUUUCUAGUCCCGUUGACUCCACUAACUAAAGUUUUUUAAAAUUUAAAAAGGUACAUAGAAUUCCAUGACAAGCAAAACGUGUGGAAUUUAAUUUUUUGCCGUGUGGAAAAAAAUACAAUUUAGCAAAAAAGGACAAGAAAAAUGGUAAGAUUUCUAAAAUGAGUGGAAGGUGAUCCAUAUUUUACUGAAACGACUUGUUCCGAACAUCACGACGUGAUUUUUUUUAUUUUUUAUUUUUGAAUAACAUCAACUUCCAUAUCUGUCUAACCCCCAGAAUAUGCUCACGUUCAAGUCUAUCUUGCUAAUUUAAAAAAAGAAAAUCAAAUCAACAUCUUCAGGAAGAUUUUCCUCAAUUUGCUCCAGAAGAGUUGGAGCUGUGGUUCUGAUAAACCAAAGAAUUAGUAGCAAUAUUAAUAUUGCCCACCCAAGAAAUAUGAGUGAAUUAAAGUAUUGACAAGACUUCGCUCAGAGGAGCAUUUAAACCACUUCCUUAUCAGUUGCGGCAGCCGUCUAUUAACUAAAACGCCAAUCUAAUACAAGAAGAAAGAACAUUUACAGACUUGGCAAUUGAGUUUAUUAAGAAGUAGCAUCGCAUUCGGGUGAUGAGUUUCCUUUUGUUAAUAAUUUUAGUCUAAUUUCAAUUGUACUGUGAUGGCUUCUCAAGGUAAGUGAAAGUUACAGAUGUGGCAAAAUAAAUAAUUAAAUUAACAAAAUGCUAACUGAUUUUCCUAAACACCUAGGGUUGUACAAUUUCACCAACCUGGAAGAAUUGACAUUAAUGGACUGGUCUCCUCCCCAUAUAAUUAUAAUCCUUCUAGAAAGCUAAUUUUUAUAAUUUCAAUUAAAAAAUGUUUUAAGUUAUAUAUACUCUAAUGAGAUUCUGAAUUCCUUUAUUCCAAUAAUAAUGAAAACGUAUUAAAUUAGAAAUGAAAAAAUGGGUGUUGAUGAUUCAUCCUGAUUUGGAUAGAUUACGUGAAUAAAAUUGAAAUUUUAAUAAAAAAACAAGGAAAGGUUUUUCCGAGUCAUCCAUUAUUUGAUUACCGUCAAUCAAGAAAACGACCAAAUUAAUUUCUCUCCAAAAUUUCCAAAAGCUAGAAAAUUUUGUUAUUUGAAAAUAACAUCAUUAAUUAUAGAGUGGAUCAAACCGCGUUAUUGUCUUUCAUAAAAUUGAUGUCUUUUUAAGAGUCAAUACUUUUUAUUUACGCAAACCAGUCGACAUCAACUUAAACUUCCAUAUUUUUAUUAUUAUGUUAUUGAUUUUAAUCCCUGAUUAUUUGAUUAGCCACUAUAUAUAUCAAGAAAGCGACAAAAUUUAUUUCUCAUGACUUUCAAAAACUAGAAAACAACAUCAUUUAUUAUUUUUUUGCAACCCUAAUUGACAUCAACUUUAACUUUAUUAUGUUAUUAUUUCAAUCCCCCAUUAUGACCUUUCUAAUCCUCCAUUAUGCAUCUUUUAUAGUGCAAAUUUAAUUGCACAUCUAAAUAAAUUGAUUAUUGUCACUCCACCACCAAUAUUUCAAAUAGUCACUAUACCAUUUCUGCCUUUAAUUUUCCCUUAAGUUUAACUAUUGACUGUUUUUAGCAUCUUAAAAUAUACAUUUAUUCCUUGAUUAUGUGAUAAAAUUAUGAAAAUAUCCAUUUUAGCUUAAAUUAAUUGGAAUAACCAUAAACAUAACUUAAAUUUAUAGAACAAAAUUAUCAAGUGUAUGUUCUAUCUUACUUUUUGAAGAAUUUAACAUAUAUAAUGCUAUACUAUUAAUAAAUUUAUCAUUUAAUAUAUAUUUUCAAAUAUUUUAUAUAUUUAUUAAUUGUUAUAUAGUCAAAGGAUGAAUGAUUUUUCUGGUCUACAUGAGUUGGUGCAUCUGCAAGACUCAAUUUUGACAACAAUGAUCUAAGGGGUAAUUUACCUUGGUGUUUGACAAAUUUAACCUCUCUUCAAGAUUUACUUCCAAUCUACUUACUGUAAAUAUAUCCUCAUCUCCUCUCAUUUAUAUGAUAACCCUUGAAGAUCUCACAUGUUCAAACAAUCAUAUUAGGAUUUUUAUUAUUAGCAUCAUUGUGUCAAUAAUAUAUGUUGCAGUAAGAUUUUUUCAGACCAAUUCCCUUCUUCAAAUAAUAAUGGAAAAGUAUUAAUUUAAAAAUAAAAUGAAUAUGCAUUGAUUAUAUCCUGAUUUUCAUCGAUUAUAGCGAGAGUUUCUCCAAAUCAACGCCCUUAUUCAAAUAAUACAGAAAAAAUAGUAAUUUAAUAGUAAAAUUAACAAGUGUUGAUUAUAUAUCCUAAGUUUCAUCGAUUAUGUGAUCAAAGUGGCAUUGUUGAUUUAUUUCUUGUUCAAUGUUAAUUUUUAGGUUAUCUAAAUUUCAAGGAUUUAAAAUCUUUGUUCAUGGAUUACAAGCUUAUUAAUUUUUUUGCCAUUGACUGUCAUAUUCUAGACUUACUGGUACCUUCCUUGAUCAAGGAUAAUUACUCUCUGUUCUCCUCUUAUAAAUUCCUCUUCCAUUAACAUCACUAGGAGUAUGUUGAUCUCUCAGACGUAAACUUCAGUGGAGAGUUUCCAAAUUGAUUGUUACAAAACAACACAAAAACUAGACACACUUGAUCUGUCUAAUAAUUCUCUUUCGGUAAAAUUAAUUAAUUUUAGGGGAAUAUUCGACAAAUCUAUAUAAUUUUAGAUUGAUCAUUAAUUAAUUAGACGAAAAACGUACUUGUGCUUUGUGCCGACAAUUGAACCAGAGAAGUGAAGCUGUAAAGAUUUGGCAGUAGUAAACUGUUAGAAAGACAUAAAGACAAGUUCCCAUUUUAUAAUUUUUUCAAAAAACGUUUUUACAACACAUGCACCUGGCCAAAAAUUUUAUUUUGCUAACUAACAAUAACUGAGUAGCUGACCGUACUGACUCCGCCUACUUGCUAAAGUAAAAAAAUAGAAAUAGAAUUUCCACAAAAUGUCAAACAUGUAAAAUCUAAUAUUUGGCCGUGUGGAACAAAAUACAAAUGAAAAAAAAAUAGAAAAAAGGCCUAAAGACUUUUAAAAUGUGUGGAAGUCUUUCGGCCCUUUUAUAAUGGUGUGUUUUUCAAAGGAACAAAUAAUAAUAAUGACACUUCUACGGUUUGUUUUGAUAAUCACACAUAUACUCUUUAAUUUGAUAAAUGGUUACACAAAUUUUGUUUACAAAAAUAUAUUAUUCAUGUUCUGUAUUAUUUUUUAACAUCAUAUUUUUAUUUAUUAUAAUUGUUUAAAGUUAAUUGUUAGGUUGAUAUAUAAUAAAAACGUAUAAUCCUUCUCUUACUAAACACACAUACUCGUAGUUUCUGUUCAUUUGUCAUCUCAAUCUCUCUCAUUUAUCCUUUAUUGAUAGCUCAAAAUGCGUCACUGUGGAAAAUUAUAGCAAAACGACAAAUAUGGAAAGAAUGGGAAGAAAAUUAAUGCAUGAAAGAGUUGCAGAAGACAACCAAAUAAGUCAACUAUACGCUAGCUGGGUGUAUAAAUUGUUAGAUGUGUUAUAAACAAAUAGCAUAGAGCCCUUUGGUUGGUUACAGAGAUAGAAAGAGUGUGUGUGUUUUUUAGAACUUAAAGAUACAGUUAGAAUGGGUGGUUCAAAAUCAAAAAUGGUGAUAAUGUUUGUUCUGUUAUUAAUAAUAUUAGAAGGUGGGGGGAGUGAGGGAUGUUUAGAUCAUGAGAGAUUUGCUCUUUUACGACUCAAACUUUUCUUUGAUGAUACUUAUAAUUAUCUUCACGAUUGGAUAGAUGAUGAGGGAGUUACUGAUUGUUGUCAGUGGGAAAGGGUUGAGUGCAGCAACACCACAGGCCGAGUGAUAGCGCUAGACCUUUCUGACACGUAUUCGGGAGAGUACAACUGGUAUAUGAAUGCUUCUUUUUUUACUCCCUUCCAACAACUUGAGUCACUUGAUUUACAUGGCAACAACAUAGCUGGUUGUGUUGAGAAUGAAGGUGCUUCGUCUAAUUCAAUUAAAUUACAUUUCGCUCUCCUAAUUUAAGUCGAAUAUCAAGACUGAGUAGCUAUAUGCAUAUUCAUUCAAUUGACAAUUUUUACAUAUUUUUUAAAAUGUUUAAUUUUGAAAUUACACCAAACAUCAUAUGUGAUCUUUGUUUUGAUUUUACUUGCAGGUCUAGAAAGAUUGAGCAACUUGAAGAGGCUUGAUUUAAGUUUUAACUUGUUCAACAAUAGCAUCUUAUCAUCUGUGGCUCAUCUUUCAUCACUAACAUCAUUAGAUUUAUCUGAAAAUAGAUUGGAAGGAAGUAUUAAUGUUAAAGGUACGUAAUUAAAACGUCAUCGCUUCUCCCAACUCUUGCAUUAACAUGCUAAAAUAAGAUUCAAGGCUUUGAAUUCAUUUUUUUUAUGAGUAAAUAUUAGAAAAAUAGUUUUAAGCAAUUCAUAAAUACAAUUUUCAAUGUUUCUCAUAAUUUCAUCUUGUACUUUUGUAUGUCUUGACUUUAAGAUUAAAAAAAAAAAUUACUCUAACUGUGAAGCAAAUACCCCAUGACUAAUUUAUCAUUUUGUCCAGUUAAAAAUGAUAAAAUUUAUCAUUUGUUUAUAUUGAUUAAUUAACUCUAUUUUAAGUCUUAAGUCUUGGCGUCUUGGCAUGUUUGCAGAAUUUGAUUCCUUGAGCAACUUAGAGGAGUUGGACAUGAGCGACAAUGAAAUAGACAAUUUAGAGGUUCCUCAAGGUAAACAAUUAAAAUAUUAUUCAAUUACAUUAAUUUAAUUCGUUUGAUUAGGGAAGACCCAAAAGGUACAAAAUAUAAUAAUAAUAAUAAUAAUAAUAAAAGAAACAGAGAAUCUAUAUUAUUUCAAAAAAUAAAACGUAAUACUAUUAUUUCAAAAAUAGAUUGUAAUAAAGAUUUGAUUCCGGUUCUUUAAUCUUUACAGCAAUUGAAAAACGAUGUUGCUCUUUUCCUAAAGCAUAAAAUAUGAAAUGACUCCCAAUAGAAUUAAUCAUUUAUUUCGUUUACUCUAAAUUUAAACAAUGAAUCUUGAUUUUCUUCAAUCAUAUCCUUAUUAUUAUUGUUAAACAGGUUACAGAGGUUUGAGGAAGUUGAAAAGCCUCUAUCUAUCGAAAGCUAAAAUUAGAGAUGGAAGCAAGUUGUUACAGUCAAUGGGAUCAUUCCCAUCCCUCAACACUCUUUACCUGAAGGAUAAUAAUUUUACCGAUAUAGCGACAACUACUACUCAAGGUAAGUAAAAGGUACAGAUGUGGCCAAAUUUACAAAUAAAUUGUUAAUUAAUUAAUUUUUCCGUAUUAUUAAUAAAGCUAAAUUCGUCGCUCCUUCCUUCUAAUUCUAAACAGAGUUGGCAAUUUCACCAACUUGGAGUAUUUGACAUUGGACUUGUCCUCGCUCCAUUUAAGCCUUCUACAAUUGCUUGAAGAAAGAAUUUAUUUAUUUAUUUAUUAUUGUUGUUGUUGUUGUUGUUGUUGAAGUGAGGUGGGCAAAGCGUUCACUCAAUUAAUAUGUGGGGAAUUAAUAAUUACAAUCCAAGGUAGAAUUGUGGAAAAUUAAAGCAAAAUGAGAAAUAUGGAAAGAAAGGAAGAAAAUUAAGGGCAUGAAAGACUGGGAGAAGACUAAAGACCACCAAAUAAGUCAACUGAAAACUAGCUGAGAGACAGAGAGUGUGCAUUUUGUUAAUUAAAUAUAUAUAUAUAAAAUGGGUGGUUCAAAAUCCAAAAAUGGUGAUAAUGUUAGUUUUGUUAGUAUUAAUAAUAUUAGAAGGGAGGUGGCGUGAGGGAUGUUUGGUGCAUGAGAGAUUUGGUCUUUCGAGACUUAAAACAUUUCUUCAAUUCUCCUUAUAAUUUUUGUCACGACUGACCGUUGUCAAUGGGAUGGGGCUGGGUGCAGGGUUGAUUUACGUUAGAAUAAUAUAGCCGGUAGUGUUGAGAAUGAAGGUGUUUCAUUUAAUUUAAUUAAUUUAUUUUCUCCCUCCUAAUUUAAGUGGAAUAUCAAGAUUGAACAAUUAUAUGCAUCUUCGUUCAGUUGACAAUUUUGACAUAUUUUUUAAGUGAUUAAUUUUGAAAUUACACCAAACAUUAUUUGUGAUCUCUGUUUUGACUUUACUUGCAGGUCUAGAAAGAUUGAGCAACUUGAAGAGGCUUGAUUUAAGUUAUAACUUGUUCAAUAAUAGCAUCUUGUCAUUUGUUGCUCGUCUUUCAUCAUUAACAUCAUUAGACUUAUCUUACAAUGGAUUGGAAGGAAGUAUUAAUAUUAAAGGUACGUAAUUAAAACGUCAUCGCUUCUCCCAACUCUUGCAUUAACAUGCUAAAAUAAGAUUCAAGGUUUGAAUUCAAUUUUUUUUAUGAGUAAUAUUAGAAAAAUAGUUUUAAGCAAUUCAUAAAUACACUUUUCAAUGUUUCUCAUAAUUUCAUCUUGUACUUUUGUAUGUCUUGACUUUAAGAUUAAAAAAAAAUUACUCUAACUGUGAAGCAACUACCCCAUGACUAAUUUACAAUUUUGUCCAGUUAAAAAUGAUAAAAUUUAUCAUUUGUUUAUAUUGAUUUAUUAACUCUAUUUUAAGUCUUAAGUCUUGGCGUCUUGGCAUGUUUGCAGAAUUUGAUUCCUUGAGCAACUUAGAGGAGUUGGACAUGAGCGGCAAUGAAAUAGACAAUUUCGAGGUUCCUCAAGGUACACAAUUAAAAUAUUAUUUAAUUACAUUAAUUUAAUUCGUUUGAUUAGGGAAGGCCCAAAAUGUACAAAAACAUAAUUAGAAAAAAUAAAGAAACAGAGAAUUCAUAUUAUUUCAAAUAACAAAAGGUAAUACUAUUAUUUCAAAAACAGAUUGUAAUAAAGAUUUGAUUCCAAUUCUUUAAUCUUUACAGUGAUUGAAAAACGAUACUACUUCCCAAAGCAUAAAAUACGAAUUGACUCUCAAUUAAAUUAAUCAUUUAUUUCGUUUAGGUCUAAAUUUAGAAAAAUGAAUUUUGAUUCUCUUGAAUCAUUUCCUAAUUAUUAUUAUUCAACAGGUUACAGAGGUUUGAGGAAGCUGAAAAGCCUGCAUCUAUCGGGAGUUGGAAUUAGAGAUGGAAGCAAGUUGUUACAGUCAAUGGGAUCAUUUCCAUCCCUCAACGCUCUUUACCUGAGCUAUAAUAAUUUUACCGGUACAACGUCAACUACUCAAGGUAAGUAAAAGGUACAGAUGUGGCCAAAUUUAUAAAUAAACUGUUAAUUAAUUAAUUUUCUGUAUUAUUAAUAAAGCUAAAUUUUUUGCUCAUUCCUUCUAAUUCUAAACAGAGUUGCACAAUUUCACCAACUUGGAAUAUUUGACAUUGGACGAUUCCUCUCUCCAUAUAAGCCUUCUGCAAAGCAUUGCAUCAAUAUUCCCUUCGUUGAAAAAACUGUCGAUGUCUUAUUGUGAAGUCAAUGGUGUCGUACAUGGUCAAGGUAAAAGAAAAGUGUUGGUUGUGCACUCACUCAGUGGUGUCCUACGUGUUCAAUAUUUUUAUUUAUUUAUUUUAUUGUUUAAUGAGAUGCUUCCACCCUCCCCUUUAAAUCUAUAAUAUUAAUUUUCGAUAAAUAUAUAAUUAUAGAAACCAAUCACUUAUAAAAGAAUGCUAUGCAUUUGCCAAUUUUUUUAUAUUUUACUGAUUGAUGAAUUAAUAAAUUUUCAGGCCUCUGUUCGUUGGUGCAUCUACAAGAGUUGUACAUUGCAACUCUUGUAGUAAUUAAUUAAUUAAGUAUUAGUUAAUUAAUUAAUUAAUUAAUUUUCUGUAUUAUUAAUAAAGCUAAUUUUUUUGCUCAUUCCUUCUAAUUCUGAACAGAGUUGCACAAUUUCACCAACUUGGAAUAUUUGGCAUUGGACUCUUCCUCUCUCCAUAUAAGCCUUCUGCAAAGCAUUGCAUCAUUAUUCCCUUCAUUAAAAAAUCUGUCGAUGUCUAGUUGUGAAGUCAAUGGUGUCGUACGCAGUCAAGGUAAAAGAAAAGGGUUGAAUGUGAACUCACUCAAUGGUGUCCUACGUGUUCAACAUUUUUAUUUAUUUAUUUUAUUGUUUAAUCUUUCUGCUAGGUUUUCCUCAUUUCAAGAGUUUGGAACAUUUUGACAUGGAUUUCACGCGCAUUGCACUCAACACUAGCUUUAUUGCACUCAACACUAGCUUUCUUCAAAUCAGCAGUGAAUCGAUGCCUUCUCUUAAGUACUUAUCACUAUCAUAUUAUACUCUUGGAACUAAUAGCAGCGGGACUCUUGAUCAAGGUUAACGAGAUGCUCCCACCCUCCCCUCCUAAUCUAUAAUAUUAAUUUUUUAUUUAAUAUAAUGACACAAACGAAUCACUUAUAAAAGAAUGAUAUGCAUUUGUUAAUUUUUUUAUUGUACUGAUGGAUGAAUUAAUAAAUUUUCAGGCCUCUGUUCGUUGGUGCAUCUACAAGAGUUGUACAUUGCAAGCAAUGAUUUAAGAGGUAGCUUGCCUUGGUGCAUGGCAAAUAUGACAUCCCUCAGAAUAUUAGAUGUUUCUUCUAAUCAACUUACUGGAAGCAUCUCCUCAUCUCCCCUCGUUCAUUUGACAUCCAUUGAAGAGCUGAUGCUUUCAAACAAUUACUUCCAGAUCCCAAUUUCACUUGAACCACUUUUCAAUUACUCAAGACUCAAGAUUUUCAAUGCUGAGAACAACGAAAUAAAAGCUGAAAUAACUGAGUCACAUUCUUUGAUCGCCCCAAAAUUCCAAUUAAAUACUCUCUCAUUGUCUUCCAAUUACGGAGACGGUUUCAUAUUCCCCAAAUUCCUUUACCAUCAACAUGACCUGGAGUAUGUUGAUCUCUCACACAUAAAGAUGAAUGGAGAAUUUCCAAAUUGGUUGUUGGAAAACAACACAAAAUUAGAAACUCUUUUUCUGGUUAAUGAUUCUCUUGCAGGACCUUUUCGGUUGCCAAUUCAUUCACACAAGCGGUUAAGACAGUUGGAUGUCUCCAACAACAACAUUCGAGGCCACAUUCCAGUAAAAAUUGGAGAUGUUUUACCAAGUUUAUACGUUUUCAACAAUUCCAUGAAUGCUUUAGACGGUAGCAUUCCCUCUUCAUUUGGUAAUAUGAAAUUCCUCCAAAUUCUGGACUUAUCCAACAAUCACUUGACUGGUGAAAUCCCCGAGCACUUGGCCGUGGGUUGCGUCAACUUGCAGUUUCUUGCAUUAUCAAAUAACAACCUACAAGGUCAUUUGUUCUCUAGAAAUUUUAACUUGACAAACUUGCAAUGGUUACAAUUGGAGGGCAAUCGCUUCGUAGGUGAGAUCCCACAAAGUUUGUCUAAAUGCUCCUCACUAGAAGGAUUGUACCUUAACAAUAAUAGUCUUUUAGGUAAGAUUCCACGAUGGUUGGGUAAUCUGACACGGUUACAAUAUAUUAUAAUGCCCAAUAAUCAUCUUGAAGGCCCUAUUCCAGUGGAGUUUUGCCAGCUUGAUUCGCUUCAGAUUUUGGACAUUUCAGACAACAACAUAUCUGGAAGUUUACCAUCUUGUUUCCAUCCUCUCUCUAUCAAACAAGUUCAUCUUUCAAAAAAUAUGUUACAUGGACAGCUAAAAAGAGGUACAUUCUUUAAUUGCUCUUCCCUUGUGACAUUAGAUCUUAGCUAUAACCGCUUGAAUGGCAGCAUUCCGGAUUGGGUUGAUGGGCUUUCUCAGUUAAGCCACCUUAUCUUAGGUCACAAUAAUCUUGAAGGUGAAGUGUCAGUUCAAUUGUGCGAAUUGAACCAACUACAAUUGUUAGAUCUUUCUAAUAAUAAUCUUCACGGUCCUAUUCCUCCUUGCUUUGAUAACACCACACUUCAUGAAAGUUACAGCAAUAGUUCUAGUCCUGAUGAGCAAUUUGAAAUAUUUUUUUCCAUCGAAGGCCAUCAGGGAUUUUUAGAAAAGCAAAACCAUGAAAUUUUUGAGUUCACAACAAAGAACAUUGCGUACAUUUACCAAGGAAAAGUGCUUAGCCUCCUAUCAGGACUUGAUCUUUCUUGCAACAAGCUAAUUGGUCAUAUUCCUCCUCAAAUUGGAAAUUUGACAAGGAUUCAAACAUUGAAUCUAUCACACAACAACUUGACAGGAUUGAUCCCAUCAACAUUUUCAAACUUGAAGCAUGUCGAAAGUUUGGAUCUUUCCAACAACAAAUUGAAUGGGAAAAUCCCUCAUCAACUAGUGGAGUUAAAGACAUUGGAGGUUUUCAGUGUGGCAUACAAUAACUUAUCAGGCGAAAUUCCAGAAUGGAAAGCACAAUUUGCAACCUUCAACGAGAGUAGCUAUGAGGGAAAUACUUUUCUUUGUGGACUGCCAUUGCCCAUUUGCAGAUCACCAGCAACUAUGCCGGAGGCUUCAAUUGGCAAUGAACAAGAUGAUAAUUUAAUUGAUAUGGACAGUUUCUUUAUCACAUUUACAACAUCGUACGUAAUUGUGAUAUUCGGAAUUGUUAUUGUUUUAUAUGUAAAUUCUUAUUGGCGACGUAGAUGGUUUUACUUUGUUGAAAUGUGGAUAACUUAAUGUUACUAUUUUGUUGUAAACAAUCUUAUUGCAACAAGAUAUUGUCAUUGAAAUUAAUUAGCAGUUUAAUUACGAUUCUUUAAGUUCUAAUCAAGUUUGCUUAGGAAAUAAUUUUUUUUUAUUUUUUUAUUAAAAUUGUAGUAGUAUUUAGCGCUAUAUAGCUUCCAACUUGGUAGAAAGCUCCAUUUUUUGUUGGCUACAGUAAAAGCAUGUUGUUUUAUUCUUCUUAUACUUUACGCCUGCAUCAGCUUAAAUCACUUCUUAAACGCUUGCUUUAACUGCACCGCUUCGUACUGCUCUAUAUAUGUAACGGUUAUGCGGUUGUAGCUCACGGCUCAAGCUACGCGUUUGUUUGACGUGGUAGUUACGUUACGAUGUUUCGAGUCUGUUAAACAUUCGGUGAUAAGAUUAGUUACAACAAACCUACUAGUUUUAUAAAAUUCAAGUGAGAUGGAAUAAAAUAAAAAAUAAAUAUAAAAUUGGCUUUUAUUUUUUAGGUUAACCAUAUUUUGUGUUCUCUUCGGGCACUACUACAAUUGUUCCCUAUACAUCAGUUACACUCACGUAUCAUCGACACGAAAAAUGAAAUCUAAUAUCACCUGUUUAGUUAAAGAAUCACUCAUGAAAAAAAAUUACCAUUUUGAUUUGAAGAUCCAUAUUUUGAACUACCAAUUAAUGUUCAUCAAGAACAGAGUGUGGCCGUUAAGUAGAAAAACUAUUUUUGGACAAAUUAUUAAAUUCCAAUAUUGUAUCCAUAUGCAAACGAUGCCUGAAGCAGAGCCUCCAAACAAUGACCAGGGCACAAAACAAGAGUGUAGUAAUCAAGUGUAUUGUCUCAUAAUCAAUUAAAAGCAGAUAUACAGGAUACCAUAUUCAAUUCCAAAAUAACAAAAGCAUAAUGAGGAUGAGAAGAACAAUGAUCACUCAAAUAUUUCUUCACUUUGGUUGUCAAUUAUCUAUUCAAAUUAAUCAGUGUCAUUAUGGACUUAUUUAUUUAGAAGAGCGGGUGAUAAAUAUAUUCAAUAAUGUGAACAAGAAGUUGAUUAACUUUUAUGAUCAUUUGGAAGGUCGGCGUGUCAUCACUCGUCAAACACAUUGCAUCGAUCCACCAGCAUGAACCGACCGGAUUAUGCCCAAAAGUUGAAAUAUCAAUAAAAAAAACAAUUAAUUAAAGGUCGAAGAUGGGUCCUUUACAUAUGUUUUUGUUUUCGUAUUAGGUAGGAGGUUAUUAUAUUAUAUCAUGUAAUUAAUUUAUUAUUACUCAACACUAAGUAAUAACUUAACUAUAUAAAGACAACAAGAAGAUAAAAUGAUAUAUAAAAAAAAAAAGAAUUUCAAAGAGAUAGCAACAUACAAUAGACUGAAGCCAUUUGAUCUGCUCAUUGAUUUCAGCCUUAAACUUGUAAAUAGUUACUGUCAAAUAUUCUAUUCAUACGAAAAAAAUGUUUAGAUAUCUUACUAUAAAUAUAGCCGUUUGACUGUCUUAAUAAAGUCACACACAACCAUUCUUAUUAAAUUAGCAAGAUCAAACACUGCCCUGGAUCUUGAACAGAUCAACACAAGAUGCACAACUUAUGAUUGAACCCAGAAACAAUCAAAUCUUUAGCAAGAACAAUUAAUCAGAGUCAAGAAACAAGUUUAAUGAAUAUAAACCUAUAAUUGAAACAAACAUAGCCAAGAAAAAAAUACAGAUUUUACACGGUUCAGUUGUACCUAGGAUGGCACAACCUACACCACGAGAGAAGCUUUCUGGUGAGAUUUUAUUGAUGAUCAAAGAAGAAUCUUUUGACAAAGCUAAUAAUAGAGAUUUCAGAGAAUAAGCUGUAACCCUCUCUCCCUCUUCAAUCUCUCUCUAUUUUGUUCCCAUUGAUGACCCCAAUCUGCUUAGUUAUCCAGCUUUAUAUCUGCAUCAGUAACAAACCAGCAAACCCAGAUUGAGCAGAUUGACGACACGUGGAUAACGGCUUUAACGAACCUGGUUAAGAACUGCUCACAUGUUCGUCACGCGUGCUGCUUAAAUGAUGGCCAAAACGACUUCAAACAAAUGUCGUUUUGAGGCUUAUGAAUUACAAGUGAUAACACGAGCUUGUCUCAUGACUUUUAAAUGCAACAGCGUGCCCAAAACGCCGUCGUUUUACUCUGUUGAGUUUGAUUCAUUACUAAGCUUUACGACUGGCACUGGAGAAGAUGAUAAUUUAAUUUACAUGGACAGUUUUUAUAUCACUUUUACAACAUCCUAUGCAAUUGUAAUAUUGGGAAUUAUUGAUGUUUUAUUCUGUGAAUCCUCAUUGGCAAAAACUAGUGGUUUUAUCUUUGUUGAAAUGUAAAUGACCUCUCGUUACUAUUUUAUUAUAAACAUAUAGUUUCGUAAGUGAAACUACAUGUUUAUAAUAAAAUUAACAUAUAGUUUCGUUACAUUUCUGCCUCAUUAAGAUUCUCAAAUACCAGUCAGGUUUGCUUAAGAAAUAAAAUUUUUCCAUUAAAAUUGCAGUAGUAUUUCCAAGCAUAUCGCAUUUUCUAUGAUUUUUCAUAAAUUAAUUAAUCUGCGGUGCCAAUAUCAGAUUUAGUUUUUCAAACUAAAUAAUCAAGAAAGCAAACAUACAAAUAUACAGUUUAGAGGGGUAAACUAGGUAGGUGGUUUAGAUUUUAGAACUAAGCCAGCUACCUCACUAAAUUCCGAUUCGUACAGUGAACUGCAAGAAAUUGAGAAAACAAUGAAUUUAUAAUUUAAUAGAAUCAUAAGAAAACAAUGUAGUCAUUGCUCCAUAUAAGAUGAUGAUUUCGGAGAGGCACAUUGUUUUCAAGUUAAUUUGAUCCGUUUAUAAGAGAUGAAGUGGAAUCAAGUUGAAAGUUUAAAUAACAAAUCCUUGUUCUUGAGUUUUACGACGUCGUUACUCCUUCAAGUGGCAGAUUAUGCAAGUGAAUGCAGAAACACAAUGCAUCAUCCGCGGGGAUGAUACAUCAAAAGGCGGGAUUUGUUUAUGCCUGCAGAUUAGCAAUUUCACUCAUAUAGAAAAUUAAUUUUUUAUAUAUACUAAUCAACACUAAAUUGAUUAUGUGUUGUAUGUUUAUAUGCUAAUCAACACGAAAUUAUAUUGAAUUAUUAACAUUCAUAUUCCUAAUAAAAAUUAUUUUCCAUCAGUAUUCAAAAUUUUCACUUAUGGAAAAUGCGUUUUAUGUGAAUACUAGUUAUUGUGUAAAUUUGAAUGAUAGCGAAAAAUAAACCUAUUUGAAAACUGUAAGGGUGUGUUGGGAUAUUUUACAACUGUCGGAAUCUGGUAGGAUAUUGCACCAUUUGCCCAAUAUUUUUAGACGUACUCUAACCGGUAUUCAAGAUAAGUAAAAGUUACAAGCGUGGCAAAAUAAAAAAAUAAAAUUUGUAAUUUGUAAACGAAUUUUCCUGACAUGUAUAGUAGAUGAAGUUGUUGAUCCUUUCUUUGGAUUAUUUCAGCUCUGGUUGUUGGUCACCGAUGAGCCGAAGUCUUAUUUUAAUUUUAUUUAAACUCAUCAUAAGAUUCGUGGAGCACCUAACUAACUUAACUGACUGUGCAGAGCAUCUCAACAUGGCAUAUUUAACCAUCAUUCAAGUGAUGGGUUUAAUAAGACUGCUUUUGUUCUAUCAACUAUCAAGUUCCUCUGCCUCUAAGCAGAAUUACUAUUGAAGGGCCAAAAGGAAAAUGAAAACGUGUGAGCUCCAACAACCACCCCACAAAUUCAAUGACGAUGCUCGGAGAGGGUUAGGUUGGGCCUCUGAGAAAAAAAAAAUUAUUUAGUUAAAAAGUUACCCUUAUUGAAACCUGUAUAAAAAUUUUAUAUUAAUUAGUUAUGUUGCCUCUUCAACUAUGAUCAAAUUUUUAUCCGAGCUCAUCAUUUAAUGAGUAAACAUGUAUUUUAAUGAUCUCAAUUAAUAUUUAGAACAAAUAUUUUAAGAAGUAAAGCUCAUUAUAUCUUCCAUUAUUAUGUAUUUCUUUAAUUUCUUAUUUACAUAAUUAUAUUGUACAUUAAAAAUGUAUUGAAUUUGAAGAAAAAAAAAUUCAACUCACUCAAAAAAAAAAAAAAAUGCUGGUAGCUUCGUAAUAAUUACUGUAUUGACUGCACCAGAUAAAGUUUUGUAAAAUAAUAAGUUCUCAUUAGUGGUUUUUAAUUUUUUUAAUUUUUUUUUCCGGCACACCUGAUCAAGAAUUCUAUUUUGUUAACUAAUCAAUUGCAAAGCAUAAGUGUUGAACGGCAAAAAAAUUUAAAAAAACACUUAAAACGUGGGGAAAUGAGAAAUAUAGAAAGAAAGGAAGAAAGUUGAGACAUGAAACUGAUCUGCAGUGAAAUUGAUAAUCAUGUUUCUAUUUCGUUAACUAAUCAAACGGAAAACUGAAACUGUAAACAAACAUUAACACGUGUGGACUCUGCUAGCUGCCCUACAAGUCUACAAUAGUAAUUGAGUACCUUUGAUUCAUCCUUCUAUGAAUUUCUAGCUGUAUUGACCCCAACUGCUAAAGUUUUGUAAAAAAUAAAAAUAAAAAUAAAAAAACUGGAAUUUCAACAAAAUUCAAAACGUGUGAAAUUCAAAAAUGGACUUUGGCCAUGUGGAACAAAAUGUAAAUUAAGGAAAAAGUAUAAAUCUCAAUUGCUUAGUAUGGUUAGGAUUUUGUGAGCAUCACUAAAAAGUGAAAACUAUGAAUGAUAGAGGUGAUGUUUGCAACAUGAAUAAAUGAUGAACUGAAUCAAUUGAUGAUCGUAAUUACAUAAUGAACAAAAUUUACAAAAUCAACAAAAGUUAAUAAAAAUUUAUUCAAAUAAUAAAAAAUCAAUAAAAACUUAUUAUUUAACGGCGCUCAAACCAUGGAGUACCAUAAUCAUAAUCUUCUUUUAAGAAAAUUAUAACUUAUUAUUUUACAGGUUUGAUCCAUUUGGAAUGAAGUGGUCUCAAGUUGAAAGUAAUUAAUUUAUUGAAUAACUUUCGACUUAUUAAUAGUUAUAUCAACGGGUGUUUUACCUCAUCAUGUCUUCAAGUGGAAGAUGAAGACUAUGCAAGUGAAUUCAGGAAUAUUGCAUGCCUGUUGUCUAAAGCAUUACCUCACAAGGUUUCAUGAGAAACGAAAGAUGUGUUUGCUUUGAACAAUUAAAGUUACUGCUACGAACCUCCCCAAAGGUCAAGAAGACAGAACAGGAAGCUAAUGCCAUCAAUGUCUUGUUCAUUAUAGCUGCUGGGUAGUUAGGUGUAGUUUCCUCAUUUGAAGCUGUCUAUACAUAGGCAUUUCCCCUGCUUAUGUACAAAUAAAUGAACAACCUUGAAGCUUUAUUAUUCGCAACAAAAAGGGAUUACUAAUUGGAGAAGACUAUACAGAGUUUUCUCUCACACUUGCUCUCUGUCAAUUUCAUCCAGAAGUCCCUCUGAAAGCUUCUCCCAAAACAGUUAGUCAUCUUUUAUGCUCUGUUUUCUGAAAACAGAGUCCUAACUAAAUUAAUUGACUGUACAGUGCAUUUCAACAUAGCAUAUUUAACCGUUUUAACAGUUAUUUGGACCGUCUUCAGAGGUAACAUCAACAAACUCAUUCAUAUGCUUAAUAAUGAACGAAUAGUCUUGGAUUGAUGUUUUGCAGCAAGAGCAACACGACACAAUCUGGAUUCAACCUCCUCCUUUCUAACAGGGGAUUUCGAUUUGAGUUACUUUGUGCUCAAGCAAAUUCACAUCAUAGUUUUGAUUCUUUAGAUAUGAAUUCAUCUCAUUACAUAUAUCAGAUUAAGUGUAACAAAAUUUGUAAUUUACUGCGAAAAGAAUAUGCACUAAAAAAUGAUUUCAAGACUAUUUGACUACAAAAAGCAGCUGUCAGAGUGCACUAAAAAUUUCUGUAGGAUAUUUUGUAGCUGUUUAAUAUGUUAUGAUGGGCAUAUAAUUCUCAAAUUUUGAUGCCUCUCAGCGAAAAAUAUAUCAAAGUUACGGAUGAUAUCACGUAAAACAUGCAUGGCUCAGGCUCAGGCUCAGGUAAGAAAGCCACAGAAAUGGAAAAUCUCACUGUCACGACUCACGUCACGCAUCAUUCAAGUGAUGGAUUUAACAAGACUGCUUAUGUUCUAUCAAAUUCCUCUGCCUCUCAGAAGAUAACUUUUCUGGGCCAAAUUUCUCAUCUAAAGCAUAUUAUGCCCCAAAGUCACAGAUAACAAAAUGGGGCACUACCGAUUAUGAAAGAGAACUAGUAGUUGUCAGAAGCCUAAGCCAAAUUCCGGUAGUAAGAAGAGGCCUUUCUUGAGUUUAGAUUAUGUGUUCGAGUUUUAAUAAAUGCCUAAGUUAAUAAUAAUAACAACAGUAAUAAUAAACUAAAAAGCAUAAUUACUAUUGAAUGGUAAAAAAAAAAAUGAAAAUGUGUGAACUCCAAUAACCACCCCAGUGGCGAAUUUUGGAGAGGGCUAGGCCGGGCUUCUUAGAAAUUAUUUUUAUUUAAUUACAAAAUCACCUUUACUGAAACCUAUAUAAAAUUUUUUAUAUUAAUUAAUUAUGUUGCCUCUUCAAUUAUCAUUAAAUUCUUGUCCGUUCAUAAUUUGAUGGAUAAAUGUGUAUUUCAAUAAUUUCAAAUAAUGUCUAGAACAAAUAUUUUGAAUUAUAAAACUCAUUAUGUCCUGCAUUACUAGAUGUAUCUAUAAUUUAUUAUUUACAAAUUAUAUUGUAUGAUAAAAAUGUAUUGAAUUUUUGUUUAAAAAAAAGUUCGGCUCACUCAGAAAAAAAUGUUAUUAGCUUCGCCACUGCACAAAUCUAGAAUAAUAAUUAUUCCUUAUUAUAUUGACUGCACCAAGCAAUAAACUAAUAAGUUCUCAUCAGUGGUUUUUAAUCUUUUUAAUUCUUUUUACCGCACACCUGAUCAAGAAUUUUAUUUUGUUAACUAAUCAAUUGCAAAGCAUAUAUAAGUGUUGAACGGUACACAAGAUUGGAAAAAAAAAAUCUUAAAAAACGUGCGGAUUCGGGUGGCCACACCAGAAAUCUAUUACAAUAAUUAGCUUUGAUGCUGGGAAUCUUUUAAUUUCUGGCCGUAUUGAAGUUUUUAAAAUAAUAAGUUCCCCUUCUCGUUUUUUUUUUUUUUUAAAUAUAUAUGCUUAUAACAAUUUUAGAAUAAUGAUUCAUUUGUAGAAGAACUUAUGAUUUCCCAUUAAUAUUAAUAUUGAAGUGGGGUGGGUCAAAUCUCAAUUGCUUGAAGAAUUUAUGUAUUAUUAAAUAUUACCAUCCAAGGUAGAAUUGUGGAAAAUUAAAGCAAAAUGACAAGUAUGGAAAGGAAGGCUGAAAGUAAGGCAUGACGAAAGGCUUUGAGAAGGCUGAAGACUACCAAAGAAGUCAACUGAAAACUAGCUGGGGCCUGAGUGUAUAAAUUGUUAGAUGCGUUUGUUAUAAAUAACAUAGAGCCCUUUUGUUAUUUAUAGUUAUAGAGAAAGAGAGAAUGUGUGUUUUUUAAUAGUUAGAGAUAUAGCUAGAAUGGGUUGCUCAAAAUCCAAAAUAGUGACAAUGUUAGUUCUCGUAUUGAUAAUAUUGGGGGGGGGGGGGGGGGGGGGGGGGGGGGGGGGGGGGGGGGGGGGGGGGGGGUGUUGGGAGGUCGAGUGAGGGAUGUUUGGAGCAUGAGCAAUUUGAUCUUUUGCGGCUUAAACAUUUCUUCAAUUAAUAUCGAUCUGGGAGAGUGGUAUCUGAAUGCUUCUCUAUUUACUUCCUUUCAACAACUUGGUAACAAAAUAGCCGGCUGCAUGCGUUGAGAAUGAAGGUGCUUCAUUUAAUUUAAUUUACUUAAUUUCUCCCUCCUAAUUAAUGUCUAUAAUCAUUAGGAGGAACAAGGGAUUUUAUUAACUCAAAUAUAUCUAAUGGAUCUCAUUCUUUGGUUUUACUUGCAGGGCUAGAAGCAGGUGUCAUCUAACAGCUGCUUUGAUAAUUUCCCUCCCCUUCAUCUUUGAUGGAAAGAUGAAAUAAAAACAAAUUGGUGAAAAUGGUAUUGGUACCUGAGGCUAUGUAAUCUAAUUCAAAAACUGCACCAUCAAAACGAUUACAUAAGUCUCAGAAGAAUCAAAUAUCAGUUUGCAAAAUAUCAAUUGCUGGAGGUUUGAUUCUAACUUCCGCUCUUCAUUUUAUGGGCAUAUUGUGUUGUACUUGCAUCCGAAAAUCAUAUUUUAGUUUACUUGCACUCAAUGCUUGGAUUAAAGUUUUUUGGGGGGGGGGGGGGGGGGAUUGAAGAAGACUAAAAUUACACCAAAAAAGAGUUGAGCGAGAGCGGGUUUUGUCUUCAUUUAAGGAGCUCUUUAUAAAUUUUGGGAUUUUUUUUCCUGAGAAAAUUUAUGCCAACUCAUUCUUUGCUUCUUUUCUGAAGGACACAUGCAACCGAAAGUAUAUUCUUGAAUUCUCCAGGAUAAGAGACAUACGUUUAGAUUCUGGAGCAUUUAAAACAAUGUCAAAUUUUAGAUUGCUGAAAUUUUAUAUAUCCGAGUAUGAUGGUGUUCCAAUUAUAAGCUCCAGGGUGCAACUUCACUGAGGUUUAGAAUGCCUUCCUAUAGAAUUGAGAAAUCUCCAUUGGCAUAAAUAUCUUUUGAAAAUACUGACAUCAGAUUUUGAAUUGGAGAACCUGAUUGGACUCAGCUUGCCCUGUAGUAAGGUUAAGCAAAUUUGGAAAAGAGAAAAGGUAUAAUGUAUUACUAUUACCAAAGUAUCUAUUUUUCUUUCUUUAAGUAUUUUAUAAUGAAUAACUUUGAAAUUCAAUGAUGCUCAUUUAGUAUAGUUAUGUAUCUUUGGUUAUAGGAAGCUGUCAAGUUAAAAUCUAUAGACCUUCACCACCCCUUUAUCUCAAUAGGAUCCCAGAAAUACUAAAUCUUAAAAAAAUAAAUCUUUCAAAUUGUGAAAGCAUGCUUACGUUACCCCCGUAUAUCCACAAUUUCAACUAGCUGAGUAUGUUGUGUUUCAGGGAUGCAAAAUUCAUUUUGUUUCUCAUGAAAGGAUUGACUUGUCCGGAUGUAUUAGGGUUAGUAACCAACUAAUCCCAUAAUUUGUUGAUGUAGGGUCCUAACAAAUUAUCUGCAGUAGAUUGUAGAUCACGUACACUAUUCGAAAACGUAUUUGAUCCACACAGUGAAGUGGAUAUUGGACCAAUUUGAUGAUAAUGAAUUUCUUUCAAUCUCAAUCUUUUUUCUUUUUAGCAACAUGACUAGUCAUUGUGCAAAUUCAAAACUCUGACAAUAAUUUCUCAAUCGGUUUCUAAGAUGAUGACCAUGCAUGUAUAUGUAUAUGCGUGUGUAUAUGUGUGUGUGUGUAGAGAGAGAGAGAGAGAUCACACGUGUGUGAUUUCCUUUUUGCCAAUAGGAUAUGCAGAGAGCUUGAUCUUACCCAAUAGCGAAACAAACUUCCUAAUAAGUGAAGGUAUAGUAUAAAUACUUAUACUUUCAUGUUAUUUUGUUCAUCAGUAGCUUGAUUAUUUUAUAUGCGUCUUCGAUUUUAAUUUUCUUUCCCUAUAAUCGCUAUUAUCUUUGAACUGGUCAUAAUUUGCCCAUAAGAUUUCUCAUGUUGUUUUGAGGUGCAACGGAUUUUGAAUUUAGUGACAAGCAGUGGAAGCCAGAAGGCAAAUUAUGAAAAUGGAUAAAGAUCUAUAAUUAGCUGUUAUGGGAUGUCACAUAUCAUAUUGAUGGUAACGUUAUAUAUAUGUACAUAUAAUUAAUGGGGUUGGCUCACGAGCCCAUUAAUAAUGGUAUAUUAGCUUAUAUACUUCAAACAAUGUACUAUGAAGCAAUUUCACAAAUACUUGUUAGCUUAUGUUGAGCUUUAUUGAAUCAGUAGUUCACAGUUCAAUAAAAUGCAGGUUUGCUAUUUGAAGUACAUGGUUAUGGUGCGUACAUUCUUCAUAAGGCUAACUACUAAUUUAUCAUUGAAACUUGAAAAAUGUGAUAGAGAGAUGUAGAUAACAGCCGCAAAACACUGAGAUUGAAAAUCAGGGCUACUAAAUUCUAUUAAAAGUCCUUAAAAUAGACAGCGAUCACCCUGAAAUGUAUAUACUGAAACUAAGAAAUAUUAAUCGCAAAGUUAUGCAUUAAUAGAACUAUUGACUACUUAUCUUUAGCAUAAAGUAUAUUUUUAACUACAGCUUUCUGCUUUGUUCUAAGAACUAGGCAAAAGUGGUGUAUCUUCAAUCCAAUCAACAUAUAUACCACUUAUCUUCCUCUUCACUUCUGUCUAUUUUGAUUUGCACUUCAUAUCCUGCACUUGCUGCUUAGAAAUAGUCUUUAUUCUGGACAUUGAAAGUAGAAAAAGUACUUGAAACAAUCAUUGGCACAGCCCGAGAUUCCAUUGAAUCGUGGACUCCAAGCUUUCAUAGUUCUAUAAAGAAGAUGACAAAACUUCAUACAACUGGCAUUCUGCUUUUAACAUUUGCACAACCUGAGCGAGUUAGCAAGCCCCUUGUUGCGUUCCCAUUGAAUAGACCUACUUCUGUUAUCCGCAGAAGAUCCACCACUCAAAAUGUUUAUCACCAGGCUAUUCUUAAACUGAGCCUAAACUGAGUAGAAACUUCCGCACAUCUCUCAGCAUUUACAUGAAGAAAUCGACAACUAUCCUCAUCUCUCAGCAUUCUACAAAGUUGCAUUUCACUAAGCAAUCUAUCCUCUCCAUUCCUAGCAAAGUGACAUUGAUUCCCGUAUUUGUAAUCGCCUAACUUGGGUUUUGGCAUAGCGUGGUCUUAAAAAUUACCACCCAAUACUUUGUUCAGUGCCACUGGCAUCCACAAGCUCUAGCCCUGUUAGUUGAAUCAUAUUCAAUGGGACAGUGAGGCAGCAUUUCACUAACAUAUUCAAUUUGACUACUUAUAUUGACGCAAAUAUUAGAAUUUGAAAUCACUUCUUUUAUUGGAAUAUUAUAUUAAUAUGACCCCAAAUGAAAGUUCUUGAAUGGAAAUGAUUUUUAUUUACUUUUCGAACAGAUUCAAGAAAACCCAGAGAACACAAAAUUUACACAGUAAUAUGAUUAAGAGCUGAGAACGUAUAUGUAGUAAAUGUCUAUCAAAAAACACCCAAGGGUUUCUUUAAAAUUAGUAACUAGUAAACAAAAGAAAGAAUCAUUUUACAUUUUUAGCAACUUUGGGGUGAGUGAGUGAGUGAGAAAUUGAAACCCUCAAGUGAUGACAACAGUAAGAUUCAGUAUGAAGUGAAACCCCAAUUUGAAAUGUAGGCAUGAGUUGCUGAGUCAGUAGAUGAAGCUAUAAAUAGGCAUUCGGUUUCCUUCUUUUCGGUUUGGAGGCCAUGGAAUAGUGUAUUGGAGUGGGCUCCAAGUAAUAGCCUCUAUCACUGGAACGACACAUCUAUAAAAUGUGAUACAUGGGGAAGGAUUGGGCAUUUUAUUCUUAGAUUAGCCCUUAUUUAGGGUGUAUAUUAAGCAGAUUAUAUAUUACAUGGAGAUGGAGUUUAAAUAGAUUAAAAAGAAAAGGAAAUUUUGGUGCCUAAAGUUUGCCACUUGGAAUAUUUCGGUGUCUAAAAAUUCACUCACCACUUAUUUCAUGUUUGAUUAUAUGUUGAAAAGAUAUUAAAAUAGUAUAAUGCUAUUAAGGCUUAACGUAUAUUUUUUAUUAGUAGAGUGUAGAAUUUUUAAGAAAUAAAUUAUUAAAUUAUUAUAACUAACAUAUUAUUUUAAAGUUGUGUUAUGAAAAAAAUGAAAUAAAAAUGUACAGUAAAUAAGAAUAUUUUAAAACUUUUAUCUUUUUAAAAUUAGUUUUUAACAUAAGGUGAACUAUUUUUUUUUUAAAAUCACAUAUUCUAGUUAAAAUCAAAUAUGUAUUUAUCGAAGCUUGUAAAUUUUUUUUUUUAGUACUGAUAUUUGAAUAUUAUCAAUAAAAAAAAGGGUAAUGUUCAUGCUGCAUUAUUUUUGUAGCACACAAAAGGACAACACCGUUUAUGUUAUAAUACUAUCGCUUCUGUUAUGAUAAUUUUUUUUGUGGCCAAAUAUCUUUUUUUUUUUUAAGUAAAAAAAGUGGACAAAAUGCAAAUCAGUUUUUAAUCCUCAAUCUCUCCCAAAAAUAUAUAUUUCGGUGUCUAAAAAUUCACUCACAAAACUAUAGCUGACAAAAAGUUACUAACAAAAAGUUAGGUCCAUGGGUUGUUAAAACUAUAGCUGACAAAAAGUUACUAACAAAAACAGAAUGUCCAUUUUAUAACUUUCUUAAAAAACUUUCCUUAACUUUUUUAAACAAAAAGUUAUUUCCAAUUUUUAUUUUGUUAUAAUGUUUAUAACAAAAUUCGUAGUUAACUAAACUCUUCUUAUACCCUUUCUCAACUGCCAUACCCUAACCCACUAAACCACGCUCAAUUAAGGCCAUCAGAUUCUCCGGGCCCACAUUAAUCCAACUGCUCACAGAGACCGACAGCCUCUCUAUCUCCAUUUCAAGCUCCCUCUUCAACUGGCUUCUGCUACCGUCCUACUCUUUCUCGGCUUCGGAGUCCGUAUUUGCUCGGCCUGUCCCACGAAGCUCCCUCUCACUCCAAUUGUCGCCCCACAAGACCAAUUGCUUAAUCAAGACACCGAACAAGAAAGGAUGAGAAGUUGAAACAAGAAUUUGAGAAUUGGAAAUAAAAACGUACGCAUUGACCGUGCCUUUGAGAGUCGUUUCUCUUCAGAACUCAGUGCCUCAAUCUUGGGUUAAGGAUUUUAUGCGAAGUCAGGGAAAGAGAUUGAAGUUUCAGAUGAAUUUGUGUGCUAGCAUUGAUGGGAUCUUUAACAAUUUAUCUGUGCCCUUUAACAAAGUUAAGGCUAAGUCAGCUUCUUAUAUGGCUGCUGAUUUGGUUAGUGUUGGUGAUUCAUGGCUUAGUUUUGCCAUUAAAAAGAGAUUGAUUGAGCCAAUGGCUGGAGCUGAAGACCAAGAUUGGUUCAAAUGCUUAAGUCACAAAUGGAAGGUAACAUCUUUGUCUUUGAUCCUCGAGGUAAAAUAUGGGCGGCACCGUACAGGUGGGGCACAACGGUGAUAGCCUACAAGAAAAGUAAAUUUCGAAAGCAUAAUUUGGCUCCGAUUGAGGUAAUAAUUUUCUUUAAACUCAUUUAGUUUUAUAUCAAACAAAAUCAAGACUGCCUUUCUCUUCAAUAUUUUUUAUGAUAAUAUCUUUAGAAGCAUCUCAUUGACGGGUAACAAUGGCAUCCUGGUUAAGGAUUUUAUGCGAAGUCAGGGAAAGAGAUUGAAGUUUCAGAUGAAUUUGUGUGCUAGCAUUGAUGGGAUCUUUAACAAUUUAUCUGUGCCCUUUAACAAAGUUAAGGCUAAGUCAGCUUCUUAUAUGGCUGCUGAUUUGGUUAGUGUUGGUGAUUCAUGGCUUAGUUUUGCCAUUAAAAAGAGAUUGAUUGAGCCAAUGGCUGGAGCUGAAGACCAAGAUUGGUUCAAAUGCUUAAGUCACAAAUGAAGGUAACAUCUUUGUCUUUGAUCCUCGAGGUAAAAUAUGGGCGGCACCGUACAGGUGGGGCACAACGGUGAUAGCCUACAAGAAAAGUAAAUUUCGAAAGCAUAAUUUGGCUCCGAUUGAGGUAAUAAUUUCUUUAAACUCAUUUAGUUUUAUAUCAAACAAAAUCAAGACUGCCUUUCUCUUCAAUAUUUUUUAUGAUAAUAUCUUUAGAAGCAUCUCAUUGACGGGUAACAAUGGCAUCCCUGAAAGAGUCUAUAAACUCAAUGAUAUUAUCUUCUACAAAUGGUUCAUUAAACUUUGUCGUUGUACUCAAAUGUACACUCAGAUCAAUGAGAAGCUAUGCUACGUUAGCAUGUAGUGAUGGCACUUAAUAAGUGAGUUGCUAGGAUGUGAACUAGAAAAAUUAAAUAUUGUCUCCUUGGGUAUGCUAGCUGGUAAGUCAGGGUUAAUAUCAGAGCUUAAGAUAGUAUAACCGUGAGAACCUAUUGACUGCCAAUUAAAAUAUCCAUUGAAAUGUCUAGGGAGUUAUGAAGGUGGAGGUAACUUCCAAUUUCUAAGGCCACAGAGUAGACAUCAUCCAGGAUCCUAGGAAAGUCCAGUUAACCUCCUGCUCGAUGCAAUUAAUAAAUUUGGUCAAUGCCACUGAAACCUGCUAACUGACGUCACAAUGCGACAUGAGCACUUCAAAAUGGGACAGACGGUCAGUAGCACUAAAUUUUUCUUGCCAAGAUUGAGCAAUUGGUCUAACUACUAAUCCCUAUUGUAGUUGAUCAUUAUUUUUUCAAUUAUGUUCAGUUUGACCCAAAAAGUUGCAGAAUCUUGAGCUAAAUAUUGUCACUGAACACUGUCAAUGUCAUUUAGCAUAGCCAACUAACUUGAUGUUAAAACAAACACACAGUGUGUCUCAUGUCUCACAAUUCAAAUUAUCAUCUGUAAUGUUGGAGAAUUUUUCCAAUGUAUGAAGUAUGCUUUGAUACGUGGGUUACCUUGGAGAAGAUAUCUCAAAAUAAAGAAUAUGGGGAGAAAACAGUUCAGUAGUUUAUUAUUCGUAGUCAAGUUUUGUCUCGAAAAUGGUCAAAAUUUAAAUGAAUAAGGACAGGGGAUCUUCAUUCUUUUUUCCCUUUUUAUACCAAGAUAUCUCUCAACCUUUAUAUAAUCCCCACUGGAUAUCUGCUUCUAAUAAUUAAAAUAAAAAUUUCACCGCUCUAACAAUAAAAAGUAACAUCUUUCCUCAAAUAAUUUACAGUUCCUCAUCAUCUUAGUGUGAGAAUAUCAGUACAUUCCAAACAUAAUAAAACUGGUUUGAUCCUGUUUAUUGAUGUUUAAAUGUUGUUCAUUGUGACAGGUAGAAAUGAUGAGGCGAAGUUUAUUUGGACAUCAAUUAGUAAGAUCUUGUUUGAAGUUGUUUUCUGAAAUGAACUGCCAAAUGGUAGUUUUUGGGGGCAUUUGAUGGCUCUUUUUUUUUCCUCAUUUUCAACAUGUGCCUGCUUGGAACAUGAAGGAUUAGGCUGCAGAGUUGUUAUAUAUUUUGAGAUGCUCUGGUCAUUGCACAAUUUGUUCACACUGGAAAUUAGAAUGAGAAAUUUGUUGAUGCUGUUUUGAGAGAUCUGCAUUCUAUGCACAAUAACAUGAUUAAUGAAAAUGCAUUGUAGGACUGGAAAGAUCUGUGGCAGCCUGAGCUCGCAGGAAGAAUUUCAAUGGUUAAUUCUCCCCGAGAGGUUAUUGGUUCAGUUUUGAAGUAUAGGGGAACAUCAUACAAUUCAAACUAUAUUGAUUCGCAAGUUGCUGGUGGAAGAUUGCUGUUCAGCAGAAUCUGGCAUUACUGGCAAACCAGGUACUCUUACAGAAAUCAUAUCUGGUCAUUGCAUGUUAUUGCCUGACAACUGAUUUUGUUUGUAAAAGUCUGCUUCUUCAUACAUAUGAAUGCAUAUGUUAGUGUUUUCUUCUCCUUUUCAUACAUAUAAAUGCAUAUGUUAGUGUUGUCUUUUCCUUUUCACACAUAUUAAUACAUAUGUUGGUGUUCUCUCCUGAGAUGGAUGCAAUAAAGGCUUUUGCUCCUAAAUUUAGCUGAAGAAAUGGCAAGGGAUGUGAGAUUCUGUCUCAUUAAAUUAACAAAAACCCAAAACAAUGAAAAUCCAUAAUAAUGUGGUGUGGGUAAAUUGGCUCCAUUUGGUUCGUUUCCUUAAUGUGAAUGCGAGCAAUAGAGACUAACAAAAUGAAGUGACAACAAGAAGUCAGUGUCCUUUGAUGGAUGCAUUUUUAGCAGAAAUAUGUUUGUAAUUGACCAAAUUUGUCUGGCAUGCCAAUUUCAAAAAAAUUAAAUUAUGUGGUUAUUAGCUGUAAUGAAGGGGAUAGUAGGUGCAAUCAGGUGUAUCCAGGAAAGUUCAACAAAGUUUUGGUAUGGCGUAGUGAAAUUGGUUUGUGCAACUCAGGAGUCUUUCAGGUGAACGAUGAUAGGUUUUGAUUUAUGAAUAUUAUAAAUCUACUGUGCAUAGUAUUCUAGUAGAAUCAUCUAUAAGUUCUAGUUAUUGUAUACUUUGCCUGGUUUGAGUUAAGGGCACAUGUAAUAUGAAAGAUAGUUGUCGCAUCUUUUAGGUUACCUAACAUUUGAUCAAUCCUAUUAUGGGGGCUUCAAGAUGUCUAACAAUAUGUAGAAUGCCCAUGCUCCUCCCCAUUGUUUAUCUUCUACAAUAAUUUGUUUUAGAUGCUAAUAUCUUUGUCGAUACCGGUAACAAUAUUACAAUAUCUGCGUUUAUUGGGUUUUACAUAGGUUCGACUGUUUGACAGUACACACUAUCUGAAGGCAUUUGCAAUUGGAGAUGUAUGGGUUGCUGUUGGGUGGAUUAGUGAUGUUCUUCCUGCUGUCAAACAUAUGUCUAAUGUUGCUGUUGUUGUUCCCAAGUCUGGUGCUAGCUUAUGGGCUGAUCUUUGGGUAUACCCAUGCCUGCCAUUCUACUUCAAUAUUCACAUUGUUAUCUCCUUCAUAUUAGUGAUCAGUAAACACGAUAAUGUGACUAAUAAGUUCGUAUUCUCUUUAUAGGCAAUCCCUGCUGCCUCAAGACUUGAAACAAAACAAAUUGGAGGGCGAGUCAGAGGUGCAUUUCCAUUAAUCCAUCAAUGGAUAGAAUUCUGCUUGCAAACAGCGAGAGCAUUGCCUUUCAAGCAAGAGGUUAUCCCGAGCGCAUCUCCCUCUGCCCUUGAGUACUCUGGUUAAGUUGCCUGAAGAACUUUUCAAGGGUAAACCAAGUCUGGAUACUAACUUAAUUGCUGGAGUACCCCCGACUGAAAUUCUGGCCAGAUGUGAGUUUUGGAGCCUUUAUUUGAAGCUACAUUGUCGGAUUAUGAGUGGCUGGUUACUAAUCUGCAAAAAUCCACUCCUGUACUGAUCAACAAGAUGCAACAUUACAUGUCAUCAUUGAUCUUUAGCUAAAGGUACAUUGAAAAGUUAAUGGCACUGCAUACCAGUCAUUAUAAUUGGGUCAGGGCAAUUAGGUCAGAGCAUAACUUCAUUAGGAAAAGAUGCUUCAGCUACGUUAAAUAUUACAGGAUGUACUGAGAUGGCUGAAGCUGUUGAGGUUUUACGAGAAUCGAAAGAUAGUGUUUGUUUGAACAAAGUUGUUGCCAAUCUUGCAGAGUUCGAGAAGAAAGAUCACGAAGUGAAUGCCACCGAUUUCUUCAUCAUUGUAGCCUCCAUAGUUGAAGUUUCCUCAUUUGAAGCUGUUUAUGCAUACGAUUUUCCCCUGCUCAAGUACAGGAAAUUGAAGAAUUAACCAGAUGUGAUAUGCUGAAAGAGGGAAGUUUUCUUCCUUGAAUGUGGUCUUUGUGAUUUGUCUUGAAGGAAUAGGGUGAUCACUGGCAAGAACCCUAUCAAGGUAGAUUUUAUGAUGUUAACAUAUCAUUAAGCAUUUUGUUACAUCAGCAAUGAUGCUUUCAUAGCAGCAUGAAAGUGUUUAAAUUUUAACUGAAUGAUCUUGAUUGAUCAAUUAUGAGUUUUAAUCGAGUAAAAACUAAAUACAAUAAUCGUUAACAAAUAUUGAAAUUGGGUAAAUAUGAUCUUGAUAUUGAAGAAUUUGAAAUCACAACCCACACAGGAAAUCACCCUUCGCGUGGGGAUGGAGAUGUUACUGCAGCGAUAUUGAAUAUGUCCACCGCUCUUUGGGUUAUGGUGCGACUUGCCCUGAAACAAUGGAAAAGAAUAAUUAUAAUUUAACGCCAAGACAUAAAAUUAAAACGUGUGGACUCCGGUAGCUGCCCUACAAGUCUACAACUCUACAAACAUUAACUCUACAAACAUUAAACGUGUGGACUCCGGUAGCUGCCCUACAAGUCUACAACUCUACAAGAAUAAUUUCUAGCCCUGUUGACUCCACUAACUAAAGAAAUUUCAAAAACGUACAUAGAAUUCCACAACAAGCAAAACGUAUGGAAUUUAAUUUUUUGCCGUGUGGAACAAAAUACAAUUUAACAAAAAAGGAUAGAAAAAUGGUAAGAUUUCUAAAAUGAGUGGAAGGUGAUUCAUAUUUUACUGAAAUGACUUGUCCUGAACAUUAAGACGAUUGAUUUUUUUUUUUUAAUAACAUCAACUUCCAUAUCUUUCUAACCCCUAGAAUAUGCUCACGUUCAAGUCUAUCUUGGUAAUUUGAAAAAGAAAAUCAAAUCAAAUCAACACCAAAACAAUGAAAAGUAAAACUUUUGAAUUUCAACUUUAAACUUUUGUUAACCCUAGAAUAUUCAGCGUUUUCAAAUUCUUCCGAUUGCAUAUCUUCUUCCUCCAUCAAUGCAAUAUUUGAACGAUUAUGAAAGAGUUUAAGAACAUAAAAAAUCUCCAAGGUUUAUACGGUAUAACAAAUUUAAAUUCUCAAUUACAAUAGAUAAUAAUUAAACUAAUAAUUUUUUAUGUACUUAUUUUAGUAAUUUCACCUAAGAAUAAUAUUGUAAUUAGAAAAAAAAAUCUAAUAAGUAGGGUGGUCUUAUACAAAAUCAACUGUACUGUGAUGAGUUUCCUUUUGUUAAUAAUUUUAGUCUAAUUUCAAUUGUACUGUGAUCGCUUCUCAAGGUAAGUGAAAGUUACAGAUGGCAAAAUAAAUAAUUAAGUUAACAAAAUGCUAACUAAUUUUCCUCAAUACCUAGGGUUGUACAAUUUCACCAACCUGGAAGAAUUGACAUUAAUGGACUGGUCUCCUCCCAUAUAAUUAUAAUCCUUCUAGAAAGCUAUUUUUAUUAAAUAUUUGCUUUUAAGUUAAUUUCAAUUAAAAAUGUUUUAAGUUAAUAUAUACUCUAAUGAGAUUCUGAAUUCCUUAUUCAAUAAUAAUGAAAACGUAUUAAAUUAGAAAUGAAAAAAUUGGUGUUGAUGAUUCAACCUAUUUGGAUAGAUUACGUGAAUAAAAUUUAAAAUUUUGAUUUAAUUUUGUUUAUUGUUAAUUCUCAGGCUAUCUUUAAUUUCAAGAAUUUAGAAUGUUAAUUUGGUCAUGGAUUUCAACCCGUGAGUGUCAUAUUCUAGACUUAAUGGUACCAUUCUUUGAUUGAGGGCAAUGACUCUCACUCCUCUUGUAAAAAAAUAUUUUCAACUAUUUUGAUGACUUAAAAAUUGAUAGAUUUAUUGUUGUCAUGACCAAAUUAUUCAUUUUAAUGAAAUAUAAUUAAUGCAUCAAAGUUACAGGUUAUGUCUAUCUUAAUGCGCUUUUUUUUUUUCAGUUAUAGCUUCUGCUUACGUCUGUUUCAUUUUUUUUAAAUAAAAAAACAAGGGAAGGUUUUCCGAGUCAUCCAUUAUUUGAUUUCCGUCAAUCAAGAAAACGACCAAAUUAAUUUCUCUCCAAAAUUUCCAAAAGCUAGAAAAUUUUGUUAUUUGAAAAUAACAUGAAUUAAUUAUAGAGUGGAUCAAACCGCGUUAUUGUCUUUCAUAAAAUUGAUGUCUUUUAAGAGUCAAUACUUUUUUAUUUACGCAAACCAGUCGACAUCAAUUUAAACUUCCAUAUUUUAUUAUUAUUAUGUUAUUUAUUUUAAUCGCCGAUUAUUUGAUUAGCCACUAUAUAUAUCAAGAAAGCGACAAAAUUUAUUUCUCAUGACUUCCAAAAACAGAAAAACAACAUCAUUUAUUAUUUUUUUGCAACCUAAUUGACAUCACUUUAACUUAUUAUGUUAUUAUUUCAAUCCCCCAUUAUGACCUUUCUAAUCCUUCCAUUAUGCAUCUUUUAUAGUGCAAAUUGUAAUUGCACAUCUAAAUAAAUUGAAUAUUGUUACUCCACACCCAAUAUUUCAAAUAGUCACUAGACCAUUUCUGCCUUUAAUUUCCCUUAACUAUUGACUGUUUUUAGCAUCUUAAAAUAUACAUUUAUUCUUGAUUAUGUGAUAAAAUUAUGAAAUAUUCCAUUUUAGCUUAAAUUAAUUGGAAUAACCAUAAGCGUAACAUAAAUUAAUAGAACAAAAUUAUCAAGUGUAUGUUCUAUCUUACUUUUUGAAGAAUUUAACAUAUAUAAUGCUAUACUAUUAAUAAAUUUUUCAUUUACUAUAUAUGUUCAAUAUUUUAUAUAUUUAUUAAUUGUUAUAUAGUCACAGGAUGAAUGAUUUUUUCAGGUCUACAUGAGUUGGUGCACAUGCAAGACUCAAUUUUGACAACAAUGAUCUAAGGGGUAAUUUACCUUGGUGUUUGACAAACAUAACCUUCUUCAUGAUUUACUUCCAAUCUACUUACUGUAAAUAUCUCCUCAUCUCCUCUCAUUUAUAUGAUAAGUGAUAACCCUUGAAGAUCUCACAUUUUCAAACGAUCAUAUUAGGGUUUUUAUUAUUAGCAUCAUUGUGUCAACAAAAUAUAUGUUGCAGUAAGAUUUUUUUCAGACCAAUUCCCUUCUUCAAAUAAUUAAUGGAAAAGUAUUAAUUUAAAAAUAAAAUGAAUAUGCAUUGAUUAUAUCCUGAUUUCCAUCGAUUAUAGCGAGAGGUUCUCCGAAUCAACUCCCUUAUUCAAAUAAUACAGAAAAAAUAGUAAUUUAAUAGUAAAAUUAGCAAGUGUUGAUUAUAUAUCCUAAGUUUCAUCGAUUAUGUGAUCAAAGUGGCAUUGUUGAUUUAUUUUCUUGUUCAAUGUUAUUUUUAGGUUAUCUAAAUUUCAAAAGGAUUUAAAAUCUUUGUUCAUGGAUUACAACGCUUAUUAAUUUUUCUGCCAUUGACUGUCAUAUUCUAGACUUAAGGUACCUUCCUUGAUCAAGGAUAAUUACUCUAUGUUCCCUCUUAUAAAUUCCUCUUCAUUAACAUCACUAAGGAGUAUGUUGAUCUCUCAGACGUUAACUUUAGUGGAGAGUUUCCAAAUUGAUUGUUACAAAACAACACAAAAACUAGACACACUUGAUCUGUCUAAUAAUUCUCUUUCGAUAAAAUUAAUUAAUUUUAGGGGAAUAUUCGACCAACCUCUAUAAUUUCAUAUUGAUCAUUAAUUAAUUAGACGAAAAAAGUACUUGUGCUUUUGUGGCGACAAUUGAACUAGAGAAGUGAAGCUGUAAAGAUUUGGCAGUAGUAAAUUGUAGAAGACAUAAAGACAAUUUCCCAUUUUAUAAUUUUUUCAAAAAACUUUUUUACAACACAUGCACCUGGCCAAAAUUUUAUUUUGCUAACUAACAAUAAUUGAGUAGCUGACCGUAUUGACUCCGCCUACUUGCUAAAGUAAAAAAAUAGAAAUAGAAUUUCCACAAAAUGUCAAACAUGUAAAAUCUAAUAUUUGGCCAUGUGGAACAAAUACAAAUGAAAAAAAAAAUAGAAAAAAGGCCUAAAGACUUUUAAAAUUGUGUGGAAAUCUUUCGGCCCUUUUAUAAUGGUGUGUUUUUCAAAGGAACAACUAAUAAUAAUGACACUUCUACGGUUUGUUUUGAUAAUUACACAUAUACUCUUUAAUUUGAUAAAUGGUUACACAAAUUUUGUUUACAAAAAUAUAUUAUUCAUGUUCUGUAUUAUUUUUUAACAUCAUAUUUUUAUUUAUUAUAAUUGUUUAAAGUUAAUUGUUAGGUUGAUAUAUAAUAAAACGUAUAAUCGUUCUCUUACUAAACACACAAUACUCGUAGUUUCUAUCCAUUUGUCAUCUCAAUCUCUCUCAUUUAUCCUUUCUUGAUAGCUCAAAACGCGUCACUGUGGAAAAUAAUAGCAAAACGACAAAUAUGGAAGAAUGGGAAGAAAAUUAAUGCAUGAAAGAGUUGCAGAAGACAACCAAAUAAGUCAACUAUACGCUAGUUGGGUGUAUAAAUUGUUAGAUGUGUUAUAAACAAAUAGCAUAGAGCCUUGGUUGGUUACAGAGAUAGAAAAACUGUGUGUGUUUUUUAGAACUUAAAGAUACAGUUAGAAUGGGUGGUUCAAAAUCAAAAUGGUGAUAAUGUUUGUUCUGUUAUUAAUAAUAUUAGAAGGUGGGUGGAGUGAAGGAUGUUUGGAUCAUGAGAGAUUUGCUCUUUUGCGACUCAAACAUUUCUUCGAUGAUACUGGUAGUUAUUUUUACUACUGGGCAGAUGGUGAGGGAGCUACUGAUUGUUGUCAGUGGGAAAGGGUUGAGUGCAGCAACACCACAGGCAAGUGAUAGUGCUAGACCUUUUUUGAAACGUAUUUGGGAGAGUACAGCUGGUAUCUGAAUGCUUCUUUGUUUACUCCCUUUCAACAACUUGAGUCACUUGAUUUAUAUGGCAACAAAAUAGUCGGUUUUGUUGAGAAUGAAGGUACUUCGUCUAAUUCAAUUAAUUUACAUUUCGCUCUCCUAAUUUAAGUCGAAUAUCAAGACUGAGCAGCUAUAUGCAUAUUCAUUCAAUUGACAAUUUUUACAUAUUUUUUAAAAUGUUUAAUUUUGAAAUUACACCAAACAUCAUAUGUGGUUUUGAUUUUACUUGCAGGUCUAGAAAGAUUGAACAACUUGAAGAGGCUUGAUUUAAGUUAUAACUUGUUCAACAAUAGCAUCUUAUCAUCUGUGGCUCAUCUUUCUUCACUAACAUCAUUAGAUUUAUCUGGAAAUAGAUUGGAAGGAAGUAUUAAUGUUAAAGGUACGUAAUUAAAACGUCAUCGCUUCUCUCAACUCUUUCAUUAACAUGCUAAAAUAAGAUUCAAGGCUUUGAAUUCAUUUUUUUUUAUGAGUAAAUAUUAGAAAAAUAGUUUUAAGCAAUUCAUAAAUACAAUUUUCAAUGUUUCUCAUAAUUUCAUCUUGUACUUUCGUAUGUCUUGACUUUAAGAUUAAAAAAAAAAAUUACUCUAACUGUGAAGCAAAUACCCCAUGACUAAUUUAUCAUUUCGUCCAGUUAAAAAUGAUAAAAUUUAUCAUUUGUUUAUAUUGAUUAAUUAACUCUAUUUUAAGUCUUAAGUCUUGGCGUCUUGGCAUAUUUGCAGAAUUUGAUUCCUUGAGCAACUUAGAGGAGUUGGACAUGAGCGACAAUGAAAUAGACAAUUUAGAGGUUCCUCAAGGUAAACAAUUAAAAUAUAUUCAAUUACAUUAAUUUAAUUCGUUUGAUUAGGGAAGACCCAAAAGGUACAAAAUAUAAUAAUAAUAAUAAAGAAACAGAGAAUCUAUAUUAUUUCAAAAAAUAAAACGUAAUACUAUUAUUUCAAAAAUAGAUUGUAAUAAAGAUUUGAUUCCGGUUCUUUAAUCUUUACAGCAAUUGAAAAACGAUGUUGCUCUUUUCCUGAAGCAUAAAAUAUGAAAUGACUCCAAUACAAUUAAUCAUUUAUUUCGUUUACUCUAAAAUUAGACAAUGAAUCUUUAUUUUCUUCAGUCUUAUCCUAAUUAUUAUUAAUAAACAGGUUACAAAGGUUUGAGGAAGUUGAAUUAUCUUGAUCUAUCGAAUGUUGGAGUUAGAGAUGGAAGCAAGUUGUUACAGUCAAUGGGAUCAUUCCCAUCCCUCAACACUCUUUACCUGAAGGAUAAUAAUUUUACCGAUAUAGCGACAACUACUACUCAAGGUAAGUAAAAGAUACAGAUGUGGCCAAAUUUACAAAUAAAUUGUUAAUUAAUUAAUUUUUCCGUAUUAUUAAUAAAGCUAAAUUCGUCGCUCCUUCCUUCUAAUUCUAAACAGAGUUGGCAAUUUCACCAACUUGGAGUAUUUGACAUUGGACUUGUCCUCGCUCCAUUUAAGCCUUCUACAAUUACUUGAAGAAUGAAUUUAUUUAUUAUUAUUAUUGUUGUUGUUGUUGUUGUUGAAGUGAGGUGGGCAAGCGUUCACUCAAUUAAUAUGUGAGGAAUUAAUAAUUACAAUCCAAGGUAGAAUUGUGGAAAAUUAAAGCAAAAUGAGAAAUAUGGAAAGAAAGGAAGAAAGUUAAGGGCAUGAAAGACUAGGAGAAGACUAAAGACCACCAAAUAAGUCAACUGAAAACUAGCUGGGGCCUGGGUGUACAAAUUGUUAGAUGUGUUUGUUAUAAAUAACAUAGAGCCAUCUUGUUGGUUGCAGAGGCAGAGAGACACAGAGUGUGCAUUUUGUUAAUUAAAAAUAUAUAUAAAAUGGGUGGUUCAAAAUCCAAAAUGGUGAUAAUGUUAGUUUUGUUAGUAUUAAUAAUAUUAGAAGGGAGGUGGCGUGAGGGAUGUUUGGUGCAUGAGAGAUUUGGUCUUUCGAGACUUAAAACAUUUCUUCAAUUCUCCUUAUAAUUUUUGUCACGACUGACCGUUGUCAAUGGGAUGGGGCUGGGUGCAGGGUUGAUUUACGUUAGAACAAUAUAGCCGGUAGUGUUGAGAAUGAAGGUGUUUCAUUUAAUUUAAUUAAUUUACUUUCUCCCUCCUAAUUUAAGUGGAAUAUCAAGACUGAACAAUUAUAUGCAUCUUCGUUCAGUUGACAAUUUUGACAUUUUUUUUAAGUGAUUAAUUUUGAAAUUACACCAAACAUUAUUUGUGAUCUCUGUUUGACUUUACUUGCAGCGCUAGAGACGUUAUCAAGAUUGAGCAACUUGACGAUACUUGAUUUAAGUUAUAACUUGUUCAAUAAUAGCAUCUUGUCAUUUGUUGCCCGUCUUUCAUCAUUAACAUCAUUAGAUUUAUCUUACAAUGGAUUGGAAGGAAGUAUUAAUGUUAAAGGUACGUAAUUAAAACGUCAUCGCUUCUCCAACUCUUCCAUUAACAUGCUAAAAUAAGAUUCAAGGCUUUGAAUUCAAUUUUUUUUUAUGAGUAAUAUUAGAAAAAUAGUUUUAAGCAAUUCAUAAAUACAAUUUUCAAUGUUUCUCAUAAUUUCAUCUUGUACUUUUGUAUGUCUUGACUUUAAGAUUAAAAAAAAAUUACUCUAACUGUGAAGCAAAUACCCAUGACUAAUUUACAAUUUUGUCCAGUUAAAAAUGAUAAAAUUUAGGGAAAUUAUCAUUUGUAUACCCUUAGUUUACUCUAUUAUCAAAAAUACUACAACACUUUGAGGGUGUAUCAAUCGUCCACCCUAAGUUGACAAAAUGUAUUAGCCAACCACCAAACCGUUAGUUGCCGUUUAAAUAUGAUAACAUCAUAAGGGUAAUCUGGUCUUUUCAUAUGAUACAAGUGAUAAUUUAAGGGUAUACAAGUGAUAAAAAGAGAGUUUAAGGGGAUACAAGUGAUAAUUUUCAAGGUAAAAUCGUCAAUUUACUGUAAUUCCGUUAACUUUCAAACGGCAAUUAACAGUUUGGUGGUCGGUUGAUACAUUUCAUCAACUUAGGGUGGACGAUUGAUACACCCUUAAAGUGUUGUAGUAUUUUUGAUAAUAAAGCAAAUAUAGGGUAUACGAAUGAUAAUUUCCCUAAAAUUUAUCAUUUGUUUAUAUUGAUUUAUUAACUCUAUUUUAAGUCUUAAGUCUUAAGUCUUGGCAUGUUUGCAGAAUUUGAUUCCUUGAGCAACUUAGAGGAGUUGGACAUGAGCGGCAAUGAAAUAGACAAUUUCAAGGUUCCUCAAGGUACACAAUUAAAAUAUUAUUUAAUUACAUUAAUUUAAUUCGUUUGAUUAGGGAAGACCCAAAAUGUACAAAAACAUAAUUAAAAAAAAAUAAAGAAACAGAGAAUUCAUAUUAUUUCAAAAAACAAAAGGUAAUACUAUUAUUUCAAAAAAAGAAUGUAAUAAAGAUUUGAUUCCGGUUCUUUAAUCUUUAUAGCAAUUGAAAAACAAUGUUGCUCUUUUCCUAAAGCAUAAAAUAUGAAAUGAGUCAUAAUUGAAUUAGUCAUUUAUUUUGUUUAGAUCUAAAUUUAGACAAUAAAUUUUGAUUUUUUUUUCAAUUCUAUCCUUAUUAUUAUUGUUAAACAGGUUACAGAGGUUUGAGGAAGUUGAAAAGCCUCUAUCUAUCGAAUGUUGGAGUUAGAGAUGGAAGCAAGUUGUUACAGUCUAUGGGAUCAUUCCCAUCCCUCAACACUCUUUACCUGAAGGAUAAUAAUUUUACCGAUAUAGCGACAACUACUACUCAAGGUAAGUAAAAGGUACAGAUGUGGCCAAAUUUAUAAAUAAACUGUUAAUUAAUUAAUUUUCUGUAUUAUUAAUAAAGCUAAAUUUUUGCUCAUUCCCUCUAAUUCUAAACAGAGUUGCACAAUUUCACCAACUUGGAAUAUUUGACAUUGCACGGUUCCUCUCUCCAUAUAAGCCUUCUGCAAAGCAUUGCAUCAAUAUUCCCUUCGUUAAAAAAUCUGUCGAUAUCUUAUUGUGAAGUCAAUGGUGUCGUACAUGGUCAAGGUAAAAGAAAAGUGUUGGUUGUGCACUCACUGAGUGUUGUCCUACGUAUUCAAUAUUUUUAUUUAUUUAUUUUAUUGUUUAAUGUUUCUGCUAGGUUUUCCUCAUUUCAAGAGUUUGGAACAUUUGGGCAUGAUGUCCACGCGCAUUGCACUCAACACCAACUUUCUUCAAGUCAUCAGUGAAUCGAUGCCUUCUCUUAAGUACUUAUCACUGUCAUAUUCUACUCUUGGCACUAACAGCAGCAGGAUUCUUGAUCGAGGUUAAUCAGAUGCUCCCACCCUCCAUUCUUAAUCUAUAAUAUUAAUUUUCAGUUAAAUAUUUAAUUACACAAACCAAUCACUUAUUAUAAAAGAACAAUACGCAUUCAUUAAUUUUUAUAUUAUAUUAAUUGAUGAAUUUAAUAAAUUCCAGGCCUCUGUUCGCCGGUGCAUCUGCAAGAGUUAUACAUUGGUUCUAACGAUUUAAGAGGUAGCUUGCCUUGGUGCAUGACAAAUUUGACAUCCCUCCGAAUAUUAGAUGUUUCUUCCAAUCAACUUACUGGAAGCAUCUCCUCGUCUCCCCUCAUUCAUUUGACAUCCAUUGAAAAGCUGUAUCUUUCAAACAAUCACUUCCAGAUCCCAAUUUCACUUGAACCACUUUUCAAUCAUUCAAGACUCAAGACUUUUUAUGCUGACAACAACGAACUAAAUGCAGAAAUAACUCAGUCACAUUCUUUGACCGCCCCAAACUUCCAAUUAUCACGUCUCUCAUUGUCUUCCGGUUAUGAAGAUGGCGUCACAUUCCCCAAAUUCCUUUACCAUCAACAUGAUCUGGAGACUGUUGAGCUCUCACAUAUAAAGAUGAAUGGAGAAUUUCCAACUUGGUUGUUGGAAAACAACACAAAAUUGAGACAACUUUCUCUCGUCAAUGAUUCUCUUGGAGGACCUUUCCGGUUGCCAAUUCAUUCACACAAGCGGUUAGGAAUGUUGGAUAUAUCCAACAACAACUUCCGAGGCCACAUUCCAAUAGAAAUUGGAGAUGUUUUACCAAGUCUAUACCUUUUCAACAAUUCCAUGAAUGCUUUAGACGGUAGCAUUCCCUCUUCAUUUGGUAAUAUGAAAUUCCUCCAAAUUCUGGACUUAUCCAACAAUCACUUGACUGGUGAAAUCCCCGAGCACUUGGCCGUUGGUUGCGUCAACUUGCAGUCUCUUGCAUUAUCAAAUAACAACCUACAAGGUCACAUGUUCUCUAGAAAUUUUAACUUGAUAAACUUGAAAUGGUUACAAUUGGAGGGCAAUCGCUUCAUAGGUGAGAUCCCACAAAGUUUGUCUAAAUGCUCCUCACUAGAAGGAUUGUAUCUUAACAAUAAUAGUCUUUCGGGUAAGAUUCCACGAUGGUUGGGUAAUCUCACAUGGUUACAAUAUAUUAUAAUGCCCAAUAAUCAUCUUGAAGGCCCUAUUCCAGUGGAGUUUUGUCAGCUUGAUUUGCUUCAGAUUUUGGACAUUUCAGACAACAACAUAUCUGGAAGUUUACCAUCUUGUUUCCAUCCUCUCUCUAUCAAACAAGUUCAUCUUUCAAAAAAUAUGUUACAUGGACAGCUAAAAAGAGGUACAUUCUUUAAUUGCUCUUCCCUUGUGACAUUAGAUCUUAGCUAUAAUCGCUUGAAUGGCAGCAUUCCGGAUUGGGUUGAUGGGCUUUCUCAGUUAAGCCACCUUAUCUUAGGUCAUAAUAAUCUUGAAGGUGAAGUGCUAGUUCAAUUGUGCGAAUUGAACCAACUACAAUUGUUAGAUCUUUCUAAUAAUAAUCUUCACGGUCCUAUUCCUCCUUGCUUUGAUAACACCACACUUUAUGAAAGUUACAGCAAUAGUUCUAGUCUUGAUGAGCAAUUUGAAAUAUUUUUUUCCAUCGAAAGCCCUCAGGGAAAUGUAGAAAAGCAAAUCCAUGAAAUUUUUGAGUUCACAACAAAGAACAUUGUGUACAUUUACCAAGGAAAAGUGCUUAGCCUCCUAUCAGGACUUGAUCUUUCUUGCAACAAGCUAAUUGGUCCUAUUCCUCCUCAAAUUGGAAAUUUGACAAGGAUUCAAACAUUGAAUCUAUCACACAACGACUUGAUAGGAUUGAUCCCAUCAACAUUUUCAAACUUGAAGCAUGUCGAAAGUUUGGAUCUUUCCAACAACAAAUUGAAUGGGAAAAUCCCUCAUCAACUAGUGGAGUUAAAGACAUUGGAGGUUUUCAGUGUGGCAUACAAUAACUUAUCAGGCGAAAUUCCAGAAUGGACUGCACAAUUUGCAACCUUCAAUGAGAGUAGCUAUGAGGGAAAUACUUUUCUUUGUGGAUUGCCAUUGCCCAUUUGCAGAUCACCAGCAACUAUGUCGGAGGCUUCAAUUGGCAAUGAACGAGAUGAUAAUUUAAUUGACAUGGACAGUUUCUUUAUCACAUUUACAACAUCGUACGUAAUUGUGAUAUUUGCAAUUGUUAUUAUUUUAUAUGUAAAUUCUUAUUGGCGACGUAGAUGGUUUUACUUUGUUGAAAUGUGGAUAACUUCAUCUUACUAUUUUGUUGUAGACAAUCUUAUUCCAACAAGAUUUUAUCAUUGAAAUUAAUUAGUAGUUUAAUUACGAUUCUUUAAGUACUAAUCAAGUUUGUUUAGGAAAUAUUUUUUUAUUAAAAUUGUAGUAGUAUUUAGCAUUAUAUAGCUUCCAACUUCCAAGCACUUCACAUUUGUCUCUACACUUAAAAAACUGAGUGAUCAUGUUUUGCAGAUCUGGAUUUGGAGCAGGAUGGAUCCAAACCCAUAUCUGUCCACCGUAACUUAUAGCUUCCCUAUACUGUGCAGCAUACUUAAAUAAGAGAACCAUCUCCAAUGUUAAAAGCAUUCACUCUAUAACAUUCAUUUAGAAACUAUAUUCAGAAUAAUUUUAUAAUUAAACACAAGAAAUGAAACACACAGAUACACUUGAUCGCCUAUUUUACUCUAAAAAAGAACGAUUAUUGUGCUAUCAUCAUCUUCUUCACUAGCAACAUUAACACCAAAUCGAUGGACCCAUACAUUUCAUCAAGAAAGGUCUAUAUCCAAUAAAGUUGAAGCCUAACAAAAAAUUCAAGAAGAUUCAUGCCUCGCCACAACAAGGGGCACAACAACAUCAAAGUAGAGAUUAAGCAGUAUUCUCAAAGCUAAAACUCUCAAAUCCACCCACCAGAAUUUCAUAUCUCCUCAACAAUUUUAAGAACUAAAGAUAAUUAGGAUUUAACAUUAGUUUUUUAUAUAUUAGUUUCAUAAUUUACAAAUCAAUGAAGAUGAAGAUUAUGCUAAUAAAUUCAAAUUAUACCAUACAUUCUCUAGAUGUUACCAAAAAUUUCUAAGUCAAUCCCACAUAUUUCAUAAUUUUAAGACUAGAAAAUUUCACUAGUUAGAAGUUUCAUUACCUUCAAGUGGAAGAUGAAGAACAUUAUACAAGUGAUUCAGAUUAUAUCAUACAUACUCCAAAUGCAACUAGAAAUUAACAAGUUCAUGCACACAUAUUUCAUAACAUUAUGAUUGAAAAGUUUCACAGAGAAAUUCUAAAUUCAAUCUCUUGCAUGAAGGCAAUUUGAUUGAUUUGAGUUACUUUCUUAUCAAGCUACUAAUAUAACAUUCAAGUCAGGGAGAAAAUAAAUUAAAACUGGGAAGAAAUAACAGUAAAAAUUUGUUGCUCAACAUGAUGUGUAUUUUUUUUCAAGGCAAUUUGGAAACACAAUUGUUACCACAGAUAUUCUUCUCAACUUGGAGAUAAAUACAAAUAUUAAAAUGCAUAUGAUCGCACAUAUUACUUCGAGUUUAGUAAGAUUUCAUUAAAAGAAGCAAUCAAACCACUUAUCAAUUGUCGCAGUCGUUCUAUAAACUAAAAUAGCAAUAUAAUACAAGAAAAAGAACAUAUAGAUACUUGGCAAGAGUUCAUUAAGAAGUCACAUCACAUUCAGGUGAGGAGUUUGCUUCUGAUAUCUUGCUAGCUGGGGCUUUUUCUUGUCUUUCUACGUAUGCCGAGGGAAACCAACCAGCUUGGCCCUUGCAUUCACCUUCCGACCAUCCAAUAGGAGCCACCUUGAGAAGUUAUAACUAAAAUGGUGAAUUAAACAAAAGUUGACCGUUCAAAGACCUAAGGGGAAAACUAAUUCUUUUACGUAGGAGGAGUGAAUUAGUUGUGAUCACUGAAAUAACAGCAUAACUAUGGAAGCAUAACAAGAUAUAAAUUCACACGUCUAUAAGGGUAAACUGGGUGGUUGAGAACUGAGCUAGCAACCCUACUAUAUUCUGAUUUGCACUUCAAUGUAAAAGGGAAUAUAUGGUAGGAAGAAAGAAAACCAACCAUCAUUUGUUAACUCAUUGCUUUUCAAUCAAAAUUUUAAGAACAAAAUGCCAUGUGCUUUGAACAUCAAAUAAGUAUAAGCAUUAGUUCUAAAUUCCACAUAUCAUAAGUUGUUAGAAGGAUAAGUUAAUAGCAGAGUAGAAAAAUCUAUGUGUUGGUAUUUAGAGGGGAAAGUACCUGGCGAACCACAACAUAAUCAUCAAUUGAAAGACUUAGCUCUCCAUUUGCUUGAGCAUCAAAUGGAUGUAUAACCUGCAAGAUAAUGGGAUAAAUAGAACUUAAAAAAAGCAUAACAAAAGCGGCAACAGUAGCAGCAACGUUCAUUGUAACCACUAUGAUCAUGGCCAACAAAGAUAUAUUAGAAACAAAAUUCCAUUUUUACUACGACAUUAAUAUGUACUAUACGAUAUCAUGACGAUUGGGUUACUAAGAGCUAUCAAAGUCUAAUAAGUUCUGUAUAACUUUAUGUAGUUAUUUAAAUUAUGGAUCAGAUUUUAAAUUUGAAAUUUUGACUGCUCUCCACAAAACAUGGCCUAUGCACAAGAAAGUCAUAGAUAAUGAGGAUUACAAGUGUCCGACAUCUUUUGAGUGAUGGAUUUAACAUGAGAGCUUAUGGUCAGUCAAUUUCCUCUGCCUAGCAAUAUAAGCUUUCUCGGCCAGAUUUAUCAUCAAAUACAUAGAUUGCCCCCAAGUCACAUCCAUAUAAACAUAGUUUUUCUAGGUAAACCAAGUAAGGAGUAUCAUAAUUCAGACAUAAUCAUAAAAAGGCCCAUCUAACUUAAGAGAAAAUCUCAAAAAGAGGGAUGCUGAGCUAUCAGUCUUGUAUCUAUAAGCAAUAUCAAGACUUUACGUCACCUGCUACAUCGUGAGUGGCUACACAACUUUCAGUGGUUUGUCUUUCUUUGGCACGCCUAACUCAGCUUUCAUGUUGCUGAGAUAUUGAUAGUAGAGACACAUGAUACUUCUAGCUCAUGCAUUCUAUCUAACUCAUCCAACAACUAUCUCUUUUUUAAUUCAUUAGUGUUUGCUAAACCUCAUGCUUAAAAGUCCUGUUCUCCUAAACAAAGUUUCCUAAGAAUGACUUCCUUAGCACCACAGUUGGACACUUUUAGAGCAAUUUUAUUUGGGGGAAAAGAAUUUUCAAGGUGUUAACUAAUAAAUUUUAAAAAAUAAUUACAAUUUGUCCUACGAUCAUAUGACAAUUUAUCUGGGAUGAAAGGAUACAGAUAGACAUCUUCCACUUUCAAGACUAAUCACUACUUCCGUAGAUGUUGUGCAAUAAUACAAAUACUUGACCAGAUGGUAGUGAUGGUAGAAAAAAAUUUUAUUGCUCCAAAAUUAAAAUAAGAAUGCAAUAUGUUAAGCAAAAGGCUGUGCAACAUCAAAUUAAUUGAUAAGUUUGUAAUUCAGUAAAUUAACAACUUUCAUGGUAAAAUACAACAAAUUUCUUUUGAAAAAAAAUAAAUAAAUCUUAAAAGACAACAUUCAAUUUUGUGCACAUCUUAUUUCUUAAGAUUUUUCAGGAGGAGGGCAAUAGAGGGACUUUCACCUAUGCAAGAGAGCAGAAGCCUUACUUUCCCUAUAAAGUAGACGUCAUUCUGAUUAAUAUGCGUUUGCAAAUCAGCUCCGUUUGAAUCAGUAUUCUGAUAGACACACGAGGAAUUUACAUCCAUUUCCAAAGUCACAUGUUGCGAGGAGGACUCAUUUGAUUGCUCCUAUACGAUCAUCUAAUUCAAGUAGCAAGGGUUGGAAGAGAAUAAAAAGUCACAAUUAUUCUUUUGCAUAAGUGAGACGAAAAUGAUAAAUGCAAUAUUAUCAGCAGUAAACAAGAAGAGAACGCUCCAAGAAAUAGAUAGAUGCAGACAAGCAAGUUAAAAUGCAUAGUCCCAAACCUCCGCAUACAACUUCUCUAAAAUAGCAAUAACGUGUUGAUGCUAUGUUUUCUCAGCAUCUACCUGCAAAGGCCCGAGACCAGGAAAACAACAAUAAAACCACUAGCUGAAGGAGAAAGCAAAGAAAGAAAUACACUUGACAUAAAUCUUGACAAGAAGCACAAAUUAAGACAUAACAAACCCCAAUCAUAUUGUUUAGAACUACCAUUCGUUAUUUCGUUAUUGUAACAUUUCGAACAAGUGUUGACUUAAUUCAACAUUGUUGGAAAGAUAGGCUUUUAGAAGCAGAAGAAAGCCUCUCAAACCAAAGUGCUGGUCCUUGUAUUGAUCAAGGGAUGUAAACAUAUUACAUUUGCAGGAUGAGAUUUAAUCACUCCCCUGAUUUAUUCGGGUUGCAGUAAAACUAAGCGAGCAACUGUUUGACUUUCAAGCAACAGCUAAAUCAGCUAUUAAAAUUCAAAUAAAAUCAUAAUAGAAUAAUAACAGGCCAUCUUGCAUCAAAAAUUAAGUUUAAUUUGUGAAUUGUUUUCUAUAGACAUGUCAGUUUCUGCUAUUGAAAUGUUAAAAGCAUUGAAAAAUUAUUCAAUAAAUUAUGCAAGCAUUAAAAUAGAGGACAUAUUAAAAAGUUUCUAAUUACAAUGUUAAUAUUUCCUAUAUUUUAGCAUUUGCAUAUUUUAAUUUAUUUAAAAGCUACGUUGAUCAACUUUGGGCAUGAAGAUUUUAGCUUAUACGAGACUUGAUUGGAAUAUGCAUAAGAGUGUUAAAAUAUGAUGCAUCCAAUGAAAGACAAACCACGUGUAGUCUUUUAAUUAAGCCAAAGUAGCAGCUCAAACAAAUGACACUUGGACCAACAUGCAAUCAUGAAGUGGCCGGAAAAAGGACAAAUGCAACUUUGGCUUAAAUAAAAAAUAACAUGUGACUCGACUUUUGCUGGACAUGCAUCAUGUUAUCACAAGACAACAGAAAUCAGUAUGAUAGUACUAAAAGUUGACAAUAACAUGAAGAUAAGAGGCAGAAUGUCAACACAUGCAUAGGCACACACAAGAAAGUAUUAACUUAUAUACCAUAGCAAAAAGUCUUUGAUAUGUCAUCUGUUGCUGCUGUGAUUCAACUGACAGCAUGGCAGCUGUUGCUUCUCUACCAAGAGCCAUUAUUGUAGAUUUAAGCUCGGUCAAUCUUGCUUCUGCAUUUCGAAGCUUCACAGCACUCUCUGCUGAUAUAUCAGAUUCCCUAAUCUUUGAUCGGCGCCUAAAUACUUCAGCUGCCUGGUGAAAAUAUUCAAUAUAAAUCUAACAUAAUUCUCAUCUUGCCUUAUACAUGCAUAUGUUAACUCAAAGCUUACCUGGGCUUCAACUUCAUGUCGAAGUUUGUCAUAACGAUGAGUCAGGUGUCGAGCAUCUUCCAAAGGUGCUCCGUUGAUUAACGCCCGUAGUGGCUCAGAUACCUACAUGUCCAAAAACCUGUAACAUAGUUAGAAAAAUGAAAAGAAAGAGCGAAACCUCAAUUAAAAAGUUCCUCCAACAUAAUCAUGGAAUUUGGGCCUACUUCAAGGAUAUAUAUAAGGAUAAUUUCUGCAAUUUUGGGUCUUAGGAUGAUUGAUAUUAGGUUAUUGUUCUUCUCUUCUGUAUUUAAGGUUAAAAUAGAAAUAAACCUAUGCAAAUAUCUAAAUUAGGCCUGUAAGACAUCCACAUGCAUCCUUCAGCCUCAUGGAUUUGAUUUUACUAUAGAUGCAAGUGUCUUUAUCGAAAAUGCUUGGAGUCAAUUGAGAGAACUCAUGGCCAAUAACUUGUCACACGCUAGUGUUUGCUAGUGAUGUAAGAAGUCACAAGGUCUCUUCAACAUUUGAACCAAUAAAAUUAUUAAGUCAUGGAUGUCACUAGCAAUGAUUUUAAUAUAAAACAUUAAAUAUUUCAGAGUUGUAACUUUAAAAUGGAUUCUUUUAUUCAAUAUCAUAGAACUAAGUUUCCUUAUGAGAAGAUAAUAGUUUCGAUAAUAAUUUUACAUAUAAUUUUCUAUAUUUGAAUUAUUUUCUAGUUAGGGAUGAACUAACCUGAUCACGAAGAAUCCCGAGCAAAGUUUCCCUCUCAUUUUCCAUCAAAUCAUGUGAAGUGCCAAAUUGAAGAGCAGCUCUUGCAACGCAAGAAUUGUCACUUUGAUUCUCUGCUCCAUACUUGCAACAAUCUUCCGCCAACUUUCUCGCUACAAUAUUUGUACACAAGAACUAGUCAAGAAAAUAAAAAAAAAAAUCAAAUAUUAUAAAGAAAGCAAGAGCAAACAAACAACUUAUUUCCAUUUGGUUCAAGCUUACUGCAACAAACCCUUCAACGCCACGGACAAUAUUCCUCUGAAAAUGCUGUGCUACAGAGCAUAUAUUCCAAAUUAUUGUUCAGAUAAAACCAUAGAAACCAUCAUAAUUAUUCAACAUACAUUAAGCUCCGUUUGGUAAAUACUUGCAACUUCAGUCUAGAAAAUACAGUUAAUUUUUAUUUAAAAAACAUCAUAAUUAUCAACAUACAUAUUUGACAAAAUUAUUAUUUAAAAAUCAUAUCAAAUUAAUUACCAAAAGCCACAAUAAAUCAAUAUCAAACAGAGUCUUAUUAUUAGCUAAAGGAGGAUAGUACCUUAGCUGCCCUGGUGGAAUUGUAUAGAUUUUGAAGUUGUUGGUGACACUCAAUUUCAGCUUCAUCAACCACAACAUUUUCAAUACCAAGAUGGAGCAGAUGCUUCAAUACUGCCUGUACAAAUCAUAAAAAACGAAUAAAAAUAAAUAAAAUCGAGAUAUUUCACUAACUAAGAGUCUAAAUAUAAUUUUUUUAAAAAGAAAAGAAACGGACUUGCUGCUGCUUGGCGACUUGUUCUCGGAGCUUGAUUGCCUGUUUCUUGAUAGCUUCCAUACUGUUUCUUUCAAAAAGCGACGACGGCUCAGCUCAUGGAGGUGGAAAAAAAAAGUGUGAUCGGGAAAAAUAAAAAGGCAUGAAUAAUUUUUGAAAAAAAGCGAAAAUCAAGGAAAGCCAGCUCUUUCCAGAAAAUAAAAAAAGAAAAAAGAAAAAAGAAAAUUAUAAGGUUGAAAGGAGUAGAUGAUAGUGGAAGUGUGCGGUGUAGCUGCCAGCUACUUGGAUUGUAUUGUCGGGUAAGGUAAUAGUAGAGAAUUUUUUAAGAAGCUAGAACAGAGCAUGACAUUAGACUUUUGUUGACCAAAGGAUGUUGUUUUAUUCUUCUUAUACUUUACGCUUGCAUCAGCCUCAAUCACUUCUUAAUCGCUUGCUUUAACUGCAUCGCUCUCUCUGUGCUCUUCUAUAUAUGUGACGGUUAUGCGGUUGUAGUUCACGGCUGAGGCUACGCGUUGGUUUGACGUGUCAGUUACGUUACAAGGGGAUAAAUAAGAUUGGUUGCAACAAACCCACUAAUUUUAUAAAAUUCGAGUAAUAUAGAAUAAAAUAAAAAAAUAAAUACAAAAUUGGCUUUUAUUUUUUAUGGUUGACUGUAUUUUGUGUUCUCUUCCGGCACUACUACAAUUGUUCCCCAUAUAUCAGUCACACCUAUAUAUCAUUAACAUAAGAAAUGAAAUCUAAUGUCACCUAUUUAGUUAAAGAAUCACUCAUGAAAAUUUUUUACCAUUUUGCUUUGAGGAUCCAUAUUUUGAACUGCAAGCUAAUGUUCAUCAAGAAUCACUAAUGUUCAUAAAAAACAGAACAUGGCCGUUGAGUAGAAAAACUAUUUUUGGACAAAUUAUUUUUGUUGAUAGAAGAAUUUCUUAAGGGACUACUAAAAUUAUUAAUAAAAAUGUAGAACCACCCACAUAUCAUCUACACAAUUGACUUUGAGGAUCCAUGCUUUGAAUUGCCGCCUAAUGUUCAUCAAGAACAGAGUAUGCCUUGUGAGUAGAAAAUUUUAUGAUUUUGGCCCGAAAUAAAAGGAAAUUAAAUUAGAUGAGAAUCUGCCACUUUCUCAUGAAAAAAGGCAUACGGAGCAUACCAUGGUACCAUACGGAGAAUAUUAGAACCACCCUAGAAUAUCUUUACCCUGAUGUUUCUAACAAAAAUCUGCAUGUGGCAGCAAUUACUAGAUCUACAAUUUCCCAAAUAAUAUUUUGUGUUUCUUAAAAAAUUUGAAAUACAUAGUUGCACUUGCACACCGUGAGACAGUGCUACAAUCUACUGAGAUCUAAAUUAUAUGAGACUUUAAGCUACUAAUGUUUGCAUAUUUCUACAUGUCAAAUUAACAUUACCAUCUAUAAUCCGAAACGACAGAUGAUAAACGGCUUUUGGCCACUUAUUACUAGCAUCCACAAUUAAUUUUUGUUCAGCAAUCAGCUUAUUUUAUAGAAAUUGAUUUAGUCAGCAACAAACACUAUAAUUGCUACUAUGUACGAACUGGUCAUGAAUUAUCUAUAAGAUUUUUCAUGUUGCUUUUAGGUGCAUUGGAUUUUUUGAGUUUAGUGCAAGAGUAGAGGAAGGCAAAUUAAGAAAAAGGAUAAAGAUCUAUAAUUAGCUUCUCAUAACAUAUUGAUGGUAACAUUAUACAUAUGUAUAUCUAAAUAAUGGGGUUGGAUCAGGAGCCCAUUAAUAAUCAUAUAUUAGCUCAUAUAGUUAAAAAAAAAAAUGUACCAUAAAGCCAUUUCACCAGCACUUGUUAGCCUAUGUUGAGCUUUAUUAUCAAUACUUCAUAGUUCAUCGGUGCACUGCAGGUUUACUAUUUGAAGUAAAUGUUAUGGUGCGUGCAUUCUUCAUAAGGCCAACUAUUGAAUUUAGCAUUGAAACUUACAAAAUGUAAUAGAAAGAGGUAGAUAACAGCCAUAAAACACUAAGAUUGGAAAUCAGGGCUACUAUACUAUUACAAGCCCUUAGAAAAGACAGUGAUCAUCCUGAAAUGUAUCUACUGAAAGUAAGAAAUAUUAAUCGUAAAGUUAUGUGUCAACAGAACUAUUGACUACUUGUCUCUAGUAGAAAGUAAAUAUUUUUAACUCCAGCUCUCUACUUUGUUUUAAGAGCUAGGCAAAAGAAGAAAAUUUCGAUGUCUAAAGUUUGCCACUUGGAAUAUUUCACUGUCUAAACAUUCACUCACCACUUAUUUCAUCAACGAAUUUUGUCUAAUUAUAUGUUGAUAAAGAUAUUAGAGUAAUAUAAUGCGUUUAAGGCUUAACUUAUAUUUUUUAUUAGUAGAGUGUAGAACUUUUAAGAAAUAAAUUAUUAAAUUACUAUAACUAACAUAUUAUUUUAAAGUUAUGUUAAGGAAAAGAAUGAAACAAAAAUAAAUAAAUAAAUAAGGGUAUUCUAAAACUUUGAUCUUUUUAAAAGUAGAUUUUGACAUAGAUAAAAUAAUUUUUAUAUUUUUUAAAUCACAUACUCUAGUUAAAAUCAAAUUUGUAUUUAUAAAAUUUGUAAAUUUAUUUAUUUUUUUAGCACUGAUAUUUGAACACUAUCAAGAUAAGAAAUAGGGUACUGGUCAUGCUACAACAUUAUCAUAGCACGUAAAAAGACAAUACCAUUUAUUUUAUUGUACUAUCAUUGUUGUUAUAAUAGUAUUUUGUUAGUGGUCAAAUAUUUUUUUUUUAAGUAAAAAAAGUGAACAAUGUAAAUUAACUUUUAAUCUCUCCUAAAAUUCUAAUUCCUAGUUACGAAACAAAAUUGUUUGAAAAUCAUUAGGCUAACUGCAUGGGUUCUUAAAACCAUAGGUGAUAGAAGUUACUAACACAAGCAAAUUUGACGGUCCAUUUUAUAAAAUUUGUUAUUUACCAUUUUACCACCUAUAUAAGGAGUGCCGCAUCGACAUAUCAACUCAUUUGCAGAUUAUUUUAAUUUUGUAAAAUUCAUUUAACCUGCACUUGGUCGCCCCUAUUCUCUGAAUGGUUAUGGCGAUAUCAUCAUUAUCGUUACUUGUACCAACGCUAAACCCUUCUUAUUCCCUUUCUCGCCUGUCAUACCCUAACAUUAUAUCCCGUGUCCACACUAAAGACAAGUAGUCAAUUCAGGCCAUCAGAUUAUAGUGGACCCACAUCAAUCCAACUGCUCACAAUGACCGACAGCCUCUCCAUCUCCAUUUCAGGUUUCCUCUUCAACUGGCUUCUGCUUCCGCCGUAUUUGCUCCAUUUCUUGGAUUCGGAGUCCGUAUUUGGUCGGUCGGUCCCGCACAGCUCCCUCUCACUCCAAUUGUCACCCAACAAGACCAAUUGCUUAAUCAAGGCACAGAACAAGAAGAGGAUGGGAAAUUGAAACAAGAAUUUGAGAAUUGGAAAUCGAAAACGUCCGCAUUGACCGUGCCUUUGAGGGCAAUUACUUUUCUUGAGAAUUGAAGUUUGGUAAUGUAAUUUGUUCUCCAUCUGUGUUCCCUUUGUAGUCAUUUCAUUUAUUUGUUUGUUUGCUUUUAUUUGCAGGAGAAAUUGAUCCUCGAGAUAAAAGUAAAUUGUCUUUAAGCUCAUUUAGUUUUAUAUCAAACAAAAUCAAGACUGCCUUUUUCUUCAAUAGUUUUGAUGAUAAUAUCUUUAGAAGCAUCUCAUUGACAGGUAAUCGUGGUACCCCUUAAAGAGUCUAUAAACUCAAGGAUAUUAUCUUCUGCAAAUGGUUCAUUAAACUUCUUAGAUGUAGUUAAAUGUACACUGAGAACAACGAGAAGCUAUGCCACUGUAGCAUGUAGUGAUGGCACUUAAUGAGUGAGUUGCUAGGAUAUGAACUAGAAAAAUUAAACAUUGUCUCCCUGGGUAUGCUAGCUUGUAAGUCGGUUAAUAUUAGAGCUUGAGAUACUAUAACCAUGAGAAGCUAUUGACCGCCGAUUAAAAUAUCCAUUAAAAUGUCUAGGGAGUUAUGAAGGUGGAGGUGUCUCCCAAUUUCUAAGGCCAUAUAGUAGACAUCAUCCAGGAUCCUAUUAAAGUGCAGUUAGCCUCCUGCUUGAUGCUAAUGUCAAACAAUUAAUAAAUUUGGUCAAUGUAACUGAAACUUGCUAACUGACGUCAGAUUGCGACUUGAGCACCUUAAAAUGGGAUAGACGAUUAGUAGCACUGAAUUCUUCUUGCCUAAGAUUGAGCAAUUGUUCUAACUACUAUCUCCUAUUGUAGGUUGAUUAUUAUGUUCUAAUUAUGUCGAUUUUGACCCAAAAAAUUACAUAAUCUUGAUCUGCAUAAUGUCACUGAACAGUGUCAAUUUCGUUUACCAACUAACUUGAGUUUGAUAUAACAAACACACGGUGUGUCUCUCAUGUCUCACCAUGAUGGAGAAUUUUUCUAAUGCAUGAAGCAAGCUUCGAUAUGUGGGUUAGCUUGGAGAAGAUAUCUUAAAAUGAAGAAUAUGGGGAGUUAAUGGGAAGAAACAGUUCAGUAGUUUAUAAUUCUGUCGUCGAGCUGUAUCUCUAACAUGGUCAAAAUUUAUGUGAAUAAGGACAGGGAAUCUUCAUUCCUCUUUCCCUUUUUAUACCCACAUAUCUCUCAACCUUUAUAUGUUGCUCACUGGAGAUCUGCUUCUGAUAACUAAAAUAAAAAUUUCAUCCACUCAAAUAAAUUCUGACCAAGCUUUCACAAGAAAAAGUAACAUCUUUAGUGAAGUAAUUUACAAGUAAUUUAGAGUUCCUUAUCAUCUUCUUGUGAGUCUAUCAGUAUGAUCCAAAAACAUAAUAAAUCUUGUUAGAUCCUGUUUAUUGAUGUUUAAACGCUGCUCAUUGUGAAAUGUAGAAACAAUGACGUGAAGUUUCUUUGGUCAUCAAUUAGUGAGAUCUUGUUUGAAGUUGUUUUCUGAAAUGAACUGCCAAAUGAUAGUUUUUUUUUUUUUUUCUUUGGACGCAUUUGAUGGCUCUUUUCUCCUCAUUUUAAGCAUGUGCCUGCUUGGUAUGGGAAGGAAUAGGCUUCAGAGUUGUUAUAUAUGUUGACAUGCUCUGGUCAUUACACAAUAUGUUCAAAUUGGAAAUUAGAAUGAGAUAUUUGUCGAUGCUUUUUGAGAGAUCUGCAUUCUAUGCAGCAUAACAUGAUUAAUGAAAAUGGGUUUAAGGACUGGAAAGAUCUGUGGCAGCCCAAGCUUGCAGGAAGGAUUUCAAUGGUUAAUUCUCCCAGAGAGGUUAUUGGUACAGUUUUGAAGUAUAUGGGAGCAUCAUACAAUUCAAACGACAUUAAUUAGCAAGUUGCUGCUGGGAGGAUUGCUGUUCAGCAGAAUCUGGCAUUACUGGGAAACCAGGUACUCUUAAAGAAACGAUAGCUGGUCAAUGCAUAUUAUUGCCUGACGGCUGAUUUUGUUUGUAAAGUGUGCCUUUUCAUACAUAUGAAUGCAUAUGUUAGUGUUGUCUUCUUCUUUCCAUAAAUAUGAAUGCAUAUGUUGGUGUUCUUUUCUGAGAUGGAUGCAAUAAAGGCUUUUUCUUCUAAAUGACGAGUUUUCAUUUAAAAAUGUUAUAAAUCUGCCAUGCAUAGUAUUCUAGUAGAAUCAUCUAUAAAUUCAAGUUAUUGAAAUUGUCUAUUUGUCCAGUUUGAGUUAAGGACGCAUGUAAUAUGAAAAAUAGUUGUCGAAUAUUGUAGGUUAGCUAAUAUUUGAUCAAUCCUAUAGGGAGGGCUUUAAGAUGUCUAACAACAUGUAGAAUGCCCCUGCUUCCCCCACAAUUUUUAUCUUAUACAAUUUUUAUCUAUAAACAGUAUUUGCCAGACCUUAACUGUUCAGAUUCCCCUUCUCGACUAUCAUACCCUACGCCCCGUCUCCGUGUCUCCGAUAAACAGUGCUCAAUUAAGGCCAUCAGAUUAUCCCGGUCCCACAUUGAUCAACGGCUCACAAUGACCGACAACCUCUGUCUCCAUUACAAGCUCCCUCUUCAACUCGCUUCUGCUUCCAUCCUACUCUUUCUCAGAUUCGGAGCCCGUAUAUGCUCGGCUGGUCCCACGAAGCUCCCUCUCACUCCAGCUGUCAACCGACAAGACCAAUUGCCUUAUCAAGACAGAGAACAAAAAGAGGAUGAGAAAUUGAAACAAGAAUUUGAGAAUUGGAAAUCGAAAACGUACUCAUUGACCGUGCCUUUGAGAGUUGUUUCUCUUCAGAAUUCAGUGCCUCAAUCUUGGGUUAAGGAUUUUAUGCGAAGUCAAGGAAAGUGAUUGAAGUUUCAGAUGAAUUUGUGUGCUAGCAUUGGUGGGAUCUUUAACAAUUUAUCUGUGCCCUUUAACAAAGUCAAGGCUAAUUCAGCUUCUUAUAUGGCUGCUGAUUUGGUUAGUGUUGGUGAUUCAUGGCUUAGUUUUGCCAUUAAAGAGAGAUUGAUUGAGCCAAUGGCUGGAGCUGAAGACCAAGAUUGGUUCAAAUGCUUAAGUCACAAAUGGAAGGUAACAUCUUUAUCUUUGGCCCGAUAAUUUUUAUUGUCUUACAUUGAAAUUUGGUAAUGUAAUUUGUUCUCUAUCUGUAUUACCCUUUUUAGUCGUUUUAUUUAUUUGUUUAUUUGCUUUUAUUUGCACUAACGAAGUCUCAGGUAUAUCUAUGCAGAAUGAUGCAGGAGAAAUUGAUCCUCGAUGUGAAAUAUGGGCGGCACCAUACAGGUGGGGCACAAUGGUGAUAGCCUACAAGAAAAGUAAAUUUCGAAAGCAUAAUUUGGCUCCGAUUGAGGUAAUAAUUGUCUUUAAACUCAUUUAGUUUUAUAUCAAACAAAAUCAAGACUGCCUUUCUCUUCAAUAUUUUUGAUGAUAAUAUCUUUAGAAGCAUCUUAUUGAUGGGUAAUAAUUGUAUCCCUGAAACAGUCUAUAAACUCAAUGAUAUUAUCUUCUACAAAUGGCUCAUUAAACUUUGUCGUUGUAGUCAAAUGUACACUCAGAGCAAUGACAAGCUAUGCCACUGUAGCAUGUAGUGAUGGCACUUAAUAAGUGAGUUGCUAGGAUGUGAACUAGAAAAAUUAAAUAUUGUCUCCCUGGGCAUGCUAGCUCAUAAGUCAGGGUUAAUAUUAGAACUCAAGAUACUAUAACCAUGAGAAGCUAUUGACUGCCAAUUAAAAUAUCCUUUAAAAUGUCUAGGAAGUUAUGAAGGUGGAAGUAUCUUCCGAUUUCUGAGGCCACAUGGUAGAUAUCAUCCAGGAUCCUAGUACAGUGCAGUUAACCUCCUGCUUGAUGCAAUUAAUAAAUUUGGUCAAUGCCACUGAAACAUGCUAACUGACGUCGCAAUGCGACAUGAGCACUUCAAAAUGGGACAGACGGUCGGUAGCACUAAAUUUUUCUUGCCUAAGAUGAGCAAUUGGUCUAACUACUAACCCCUUUUGUAGUUGAUCAUUAUUUUUUCAAUUAUUUUCAGUUUGACCCAAAACGUUACAGAAUCUUGAUCUGAAUAUUGUCACUGAACAUUGUCACUGAACAUUGUCAAUGUCGUUUAGCGUAGCCAACUAACUUGAGUUUGGUAAAACAAACACACAGUGUGUCUCAUGUCUCACAAUUCAAAUUAUCAUUUGUAAUGAUGGAGAAUUUUUCCAAUGUAUGAAGUAUGCUUUGAUACGUGGGUUACCUUGGGGAAGGUAUCUCAAAAUAAAGAAUAUGGGGAGAAAACAGUUCAGUAGUUUAUUAUUCUGUAGUCAAGUUUUGUCUCAAAAAUGGUCCAAAUUUAAAUGAAUAAGGACGGGGGAUCUUCAUUCUUUUUUCCCUUUUUUAUACCUAGAUAUCUCUCAACCUUUAUAUAAUCCCCACUGGAUAUCUGCUUCUAAUAAUUAAAAUAAAAAUUUCACCCACACAAAUAAAUACUGACCAAGCUCUAACAAUAAAAAGUAACUUCUUUAGUCAAGUGAUUUACAGUUCCUCAUCACCUUAGUGAGACUAUCAGUGUGUUCCAAAAACAUAAUAAAAUUGGUUUGUUCCUGUUUAUUGAUGUUUAAAUGUUGUUCAUUGUGACAUGUAGAAAUGAUGAGGCGAAGUUUAUUUGGUCAUCAAUUUGUAAGAUCUUGUUUGAAGUUGCUUUCUGAAAUGAACUGCCAAAUGGUAGUUUCUUUGGGCAUUUGAUGGCUCUUUUUUCCUCAUUUUUAAACAUGUGCCUGCUUGGAACAGGAAGGAUUAGGCUGCAGAGUUGUUAUAUAUUUUGACAUGCUCUAGUCAUUGCACAAUUUGUUCACACUGGAAACUAGAAUGAGAAAUUUGUUGCAUUCUAUGCACAAUAACAUGAUUAAUGAAAAUGGAUUGUAGGACUGGAAAGAUCUGUGGCAGCCUGAGCUCGCAGGACGAAUUUCAAUGGUUAAUUCUCCCUGAGAGGUUAUUGGUUUAGUUUUGAAGUAUAUGGGAGCAUCAUACAAUUCAAACGAUAUUGAUUCGCAAGUUGCUGGUGGGAAGAUUGCUGCUCAGCAGAAUCUGGCAUUACUGGCAAACCAGGUACUCUCAAAGAAAUGAUAUCUGGUCAUUGCAUGUUAUUACCUGACAACUGAUUUUGUUUGUAAAAGUCUGCUUCUUCAUACAUAUGAAUGCAUAUGUUAGUGUUUUCUUCUCCUUUUCAUACAUAUGAAUGCAUAUGUUGCUUCUUUUCCUUUCCAUACAUAUUAAUACAUAUGUUGGUGUUCUCUCCUGAGAUGGAUGCAAUAAAGGUUUUUCUGAAGAAAUGGCAAGGGAUGUGAGAUUCUGUCUCAUAAAAUUAACAAAAACCCAAAACAAUGAAAACCCAUAAUAAUGUGGUGUGGGUAAAUUGACGCCAUUUGGUUCGUUUCCUUGAUGUGAAUACGCGGGCAAUAGAGACUAACAAAAUGAAGUGACAACAAGAAGUCAGUGUCCUUUGAUGGAUGCAUUUUUAGGCAGAAAUAGGUUUGUAAUUGACCAAAUUUGUCUGGCAUGCCAAUUUCAAAAAAAAUUAAAUUAUGUGGUUAUUAGCUGUAAUGAAGGGGGAUUGUAGGUCCAAUCAGGUGGAUCCAUGAAAGUUCAACAAAGUUCUGGUAUGGCGUAGAAAUUGGUUUGUGCAACUCAAGAGUCUUUCUGGUGAACGAUGAUGGGUUUUGAUUUAUAAAUGUUAUAAAUCUACUGUGCAUAGUAUUCUAGUAGAAUCAUCUAUAAGUUCUAGUUAUUGAAAUUGUCUACCUUGUUCAGUUUGAGUUAAGGGCACAUGUAAUAUGAAAAAUAGUUGUUGCAUCUUUUAGGUUACCUAACAUUUGAUCAAUCCUAUUAUGAGGGCUUCAAGAUGUCUAACAAUAUGUGGAAUGCCCAUGCUCCUCCCCAUUGUUUAUCUUAUAUAAUAAUUUGUUUUAGAUGCUAAUAUCUUUGUCGAUACCGGUAACAAUAUUACAAUAUCUGCGUUUAUUGGGUUUUACAUAGGUUCGACUGUUUGACAGUACACACUCUCUGAAGGCAUUUGGAAAUGGAGAUGUAUGGAUUGCUGUUGGGUGGAGUAGUGAUGUUCUUCCUGCUGUCAACGUAUGUCUAAUGUUGCAGUUGUUGUUCCCAAGUCUGGUGCUAGCUUAUGGGCUGAUCUUUGGGUAUACCCAUGCCUGCCAUUCUACUUCAAUAUUCACAUUGUUAUCUCCUUCAUAUUAGUGAUCAGUAAACACGAUAAUGUGACUAAUAAGUUCGUAUUCUCUUUAUAGGCAAUCCCUGCUGCCUCAAGACUUGAAACAAAACAAAUUGGAGGGCGAGUCAGAGGUGCAUUUCCAUUAAUCCAUCAAUGGAUAGAAUUCUGCUUGCAAACAGCGAGAGCAUUGCCUUUCAAGCAAGAGGUUAUCCCGAGCGCAUCUCCCUCUGCCCUUGAGAGUACUCUGGUUAAGUUGCCUGAAAACUUUGAAGGGUAAACCAAGUCUGGAUACUAACUUAAUUGCUGGAGUACCCCUGACGGAAAUUCUGGCAGAUGUGAGUUUUUGGAGCCAUUAUCUGAAGCUACAUUGUCGGAUUAUGAGUGGCUGGUUGCUAAUCUGCAAAAAUCCACUCUGUACUGAUCAACAAAGAUGCAACAUUACAUGUCAUCAUUGAUCUUUAGCUAAAGGUACAUUGAAAAGUUAAUGGCACUGCAUACCAGUCAUUAUAAUUGGGUCAGGGCAAUUGGGUCAGGGCAAUUGGGUCAGGGCAAUUAGGUCAGAGCAUAACUUCAUUAGGAAAAGAGGCUUCAGCUACGUUAAAUAUUACAGGAUGUACUGAGAUGGCUGAAGUUGUUGACGUUGUACGAGAAACGAAGAUGAGUGUUUGUUUGAACAAAGUUGUUGCCAAUCUUGCAGAGUUCGAGAAGAAAGAUCACGAAGCAAAUGCCACGAUUUCUUCAUCACUGUAGCCUCCAUAGUUGAAGUUUCCUCAUUUGAAGCUGUUUAUGCAUAUGCUUUUUUUCCCUUCUCAAGUACAGGAAAUUGAAGAAUUAACCAGAUGUGAAUAUGCUGAAAGAGGGAAGUUUUCUCCCUUGAAUGUGGCCUUGUGAUUUGUCUUGAAGGAAUAGGAUGAUCACUGGCAAGAACCCUAUCAAGGUAGAUUUUAUGAUGUUAACAUAUUAUUAAGCAUUUUUGUUACAUCAGCAAUGAUGCUUUCAUAGCAUGAAAGUGUUUAAAUUUAACUGAAUGAUCUUGAUUGAUCAAUUAUGAGUUUUAAUCGAGUAAAAACUAAAUACAUAAUCGUUAACAAUAUUGAAAUUGGGUAAAUAUGAUCUUGAUAUUGAUGAAUUUGAAAUCACAACCCACACAGGAAAUCACCCUCGCGUGGGGAUGGAAAUGUUUACUGCAGCGAUAUUGAAUAUGUCCACUGCUGGACUAAUUCUGAUUACCUAAUUGACUCAGGAUCGGCUGGCAAUAAUAACAGUUUAUUAACAAUGCACAGUCCGAGUACUUUUCCAGGAUCAGAUACGACGUGGUCUAAUGUUGAUAAUAAUAGAUUAUCAAAUGACAAAUCGUUGUUCUACUAUUGCAAGCCCCCAGAUUUAAGAAUCUUUUUCAGAAAUUAAAUACAUUCUGAGAGAUGCUGGUCUACUAUUGCAAGCCCCCAGAUUUAAGAAUCUUUUGACGGUAAUUUAUCACCUGUAACUGUGCCGGAAGAUUCAACUAGCACUGAAAAAGAUGAUAAAUUAAUUGAUAUGGAGAGUUUUCAUAUCACUUUUAAAUCAUCUUAUGUAAUUGUGAUGUUAGGAAGCAUUAGUGAUCUAUAUGUGAAUUAUUAUUGGCGCCAUUGGUGGUUUUAUCUUGUUAAAAUAUGGAUGAAUUCCAGUUACUAUUUUGUUGCAGACAAUCUUCUUCAAUUAACAUAUGGUUUAAAAUCAUUAUGUAAAUCAAUCUAUUAAUUUUCAAGAUAUUUAACUGAGUUAAAACUAAGUGCACUCAAUAAAUCUCUUUUCCUUUAAAAAACUGUUACGCUUUAUUUUAGUGCUUAAUAUUUAUUGAACUCCGAUACAGGGAAUUUGAAAUCAAACUCGUAACUACAUAUUAUCUAAUUGCAAGUUUCUAUCCAUAGCUGCUGAUUUGUAGUGAUUAUCUAAUUGACUGAGGUGACGACAAUUUUUUUUUUUUUAAAUUUUCAAUAGCACAAUGUGGAAUUCAAUAAUUAAAUUCUCCUUUUUAAUUUGUUUCCAGUUAAAUUAUUAAUUACUUAAACUCUGUUUUAAGUCUUUAAGUUUAUGUGUUUAUGCAGAAUUGGAUUCUUGAGCGUGUUGGACACGACCAACAAUGAAAUUGACAGUAAAAAAACAAUACAACGUGUGGACUCCGGUAGAUGCCAUACAAGUCUACAACUUUACAAAUAAUAAUUGAGUAAGCAACUUUGAUUCUCGGGGCCCUUCAAUGAAUUUCUAGCCCCGUUGACUCCGCCAACUAAAGUUUGUAAAAUAAAAAAAUACAUAGAAUUCCACUAAAUGCAAAACGCGUGGAAUUUAAUUUUCGGCCAUGUGGACCAAAACAUAAUUUAAUGAAAAAGGAAAAAAAAUGAUAAGAUUUCUAAAAUAUGUGAAAGAUGAUCCAUAUUUUACUGAAACGACUUAUUAAAUUUUUCAAAGAUUUAGAAUAUUUAGUCAUAAAUUACGUGCAUGUUAAUUUUUCCGCCAUUGACUAUCAUAUUCUAAACUUAAUAGUACAUUUCUUGUUGAAGGGUACUUAGUCUCUCUUCUCCUCUUAUAAAAAUUAUUGAUGGAUUUCUUGUUAUAGUUAAUAGUCUUUAAGAACGGAUAACUUUAUUGUUUUCGUGACCAAAUUAUGUCCGCCUAAGGUUGUGACUAUUAAUAAAAUUAAUAUUUUAAUGUUUAUGUUAAAAGAUAUAAGAUUUUAUGCGUUCAUUAAUUGUUAUUAGCUAAAGGAUGAAUUAUUUUUUCAACCCAAUCAGUUGAUGCAUCUGCAAGAGUUUUUUUCUUUAUUGACCAUAAUUAUGUUCCGGGUACAAUAAAUUGUCUUUGGUGCUUGGAAAAUAUGACUUCUUACUUCAAGUUUGAUAUGUCUCUCUCCAUAAACUUACUGGAAAUAUAUCCUCAUCUACUGUCAUUUAUCUAAUAUCAAUUGAAGAUCUCACUUUUUCAACUAUCACUUCCAAGUCUCAUUGUCACUUGGCCAUUCUUGGACCAUUCAAAACCAAUCAAGUGUUGAAAUAAUCAAAUAUAUGCAAAAUUAGAGUCACGAUUUUUUGGUCCCCCAAAUUCUAAUUAUAUAACUUCUAUAUAUUUCAUUGCCAGGUCACGAACUUGUUGGCACAUUUUCCAAAUUCCUCUUCCAUCAGCUCUCACACGUUAACUUAAGUGGAAAGUUUCCAAGUUGAUUGCUAGAAAGCAACGCAAAAUCAGACACACUUGAUCUGUCCCCUAAUUCUCUUUUCUACGUUGAAAAAGAAAAAAAAAAAAAUACAUAUAUAUAUAUAUAUAUAUAUCUAUGUAAAAAUAAAUAAUAAACUGAGUAAAAGUACAUUUGUUUAAUUAACAUCUGAUCGGGGCAUUUUUGGUGUAAGCCACAACUAAAAUCAAACAGCCCCUUAGCAUACUUCUUCCAUUUUAUCUGCUACUUUUGUGGAUCUUAUAGGGUGGGCAUGUGGACAGAAUUUAAAAGUUUUAAUAGGCUCAAAGAAGAAGAUGUGUUAAAUCUAAAGUUGUUGCACCUUCUGAUUAAAUAAAGUUGUACAAUUUCAUCAACUUGAAAGAAUUGACAUUAAUGAACUGGUCGCCUCUCCAUGUAUGAAGCCUUCUUAAAAGUUAAUUUUUAUUUCAGAAAAAAAAAGUUUAAGUUACAUAUAUUACAGUAAGAUUUUUUUGAGACCAAUUCCCUUCUUGAAAUAUAAUAGAAAAGUAUUAAUUUAAAAAUAAAAUGAAUAUGUAUUGAUUAUAUCCUGAUUUUCAUCGAUUAUAGUUAGAGAGUUUCACCAAAUCAAUUCCUUAUUCAAAUAAUACAGAAAAAAUAGUAAUUUAAUAGUAAAAUAAACAGGUGUUGAUUAUAUAUCCUAAGUUUCAUCGAUUAUGUGAUCAAAGUGGCAUUGUUGAUUUAUUUUUGUUCAAUGUUAAUUUUUAGGUUAUAUAAAUUUCAAGGAUUUAAAAUCUUUGGCCAUGAAUUACACGCUUGUUAAUUUUCCUGCCAUUGACUGUCAUAUUCUAGACUUAAUGAUACCUUUCUUGAUCAAGGGUAAUUACUCUCUCUUCUCCUCUUAUAAAUUCCUCUUCCAUUAACAUCACUAGGAGUAUGUUGAUCUCUCAGACGUUAACUUGAGUGGAGAGUUUCCAAAUUGAUUGUUACAAAACAACACAAAAACUAGACACACUUGAUCUGUCUAAUAAUUCUCUUUCGGUAAAAUUAAAUAAUUUUAGGGGAAUAUUCGGCCAACCUCUAUAAUUUCAGAGUGAUCAUUAAUUAAUUAAUCGAUACAAAUAUCUAAAGUGAUUAAAUGUGACUUGAAAUUUGAUCUCUAUCGAUUGGUUUACAAAUGGACGUACUUGUGCCUUUGUGGCGAUAAUCGAACAAGUACCCAUGAUUAUUAUUUUUUCCAAAAACUUUUUUACAACAAAUUCAUCUCGUCAAAAAUUCUAUGUUGCUAACUAACAAUAAUUGAGCACUUGGCCGCAUUGACUCCACGUCUCACCUCUUUCUAAAUUCUAAGUAAAAACAUGGAAAUGUAAUUUCCACAAAAUGCCAAAUGUGUGGAAUUUAAUUUUUUGCCUUGUGGAUCAAAAUACAAAUGAAAGAAACAGAAGAAAAAAAAGGCCCAAAGACUUCUAAAAGAUGAAGAAGUCUUUGUGCCUUUUUAUAAUGGUGAAUUUUUUAAAAGAAAAAAAAUAACAACAUUUUUAUGGUUUGUUUUGAUAAUCAUAUUUACAUAUACUCUCUAAUUUUCAAAAUGGACACAUAAAUCUUUUUUUUUUACAAAAUAUAUAUUAUUCAUAUUUUUUUUUUAUUUUUUUUUAUCAUAUUUUAUUUAUUAUAAAUGUUUAGAGCAAAUUUUUAGGUUGAAAUAUAAUAAAAAGGUAUAAUUGUUCUCUUAUUAAACACACAUACUUUUAUUAGUUUCUAUCCAUUUGUCAUCUCAAUCUCUCUCAAUUAUUCUUUAUUGCUAGCUCAAAACGCGUUGCUGUUGCAAAUUAUAGCAAAAUGACAAAUAUGGAAAAAAAGGGAAGAAAAUUAAUGCAUGAAAGACUUGGAGAAAACAACAAAAUAAGCCAACUAUGAGCUAGUUGGGUGUAUAAAUUGUUAGAUGUGUAUAUACAAAUAGCGUAGAGCCCUCUAGUUGGUUCCAGAGACAGAAAGAGCGUGUGUGUUUUUUCACAGUUAGAGAUAUAGUUAGAAUGGGUGGUUCAAAAUCAAAAAUGAUGAUAAUGUUUAUUAUGUUAUUAAUAAUAUUUAAAAGUGGGUGGAGUGAGGGAUGUUUGGAUCACGAGAGAUUUGCUUUUUUGAGACUCAAACAUUUCUUCAAUGAUCCUCUUAAUUCUCUUUACGACUGGGUAGAUGGUGAGGGAGCUACUGAUUGUUGUCAGUGGGAAAGGGUUGAGUGCAGCAACACCACAGGCCGAGUGAUAGCACUGGACCUUUCUUAUAUAUAUUCGGGAGAGUACAGCUGGUAUCUGAAUGCUUCUUUAUUUACUCCUUCCAACAACUUGAGUCACUUGAUUUAACUCAAAACAAAAUAGCCGGAUGUGUUGAGAAUGAAGGUACUUUGUUUAAUUUAAUUAAUUUACUUUCUCCCCCCUAAUUUAAGUUGAAUAUCAAGACCGAGCAAUUAUACGCAUAUUCAUUUAGUCGACAAUUUUGACUUUUUUUUAAAUGAUUAAUUUUGAAAUUACACCAGUAUCUAUGAUCUUUUUUAUUUUAUUUUAUUUGCAGGUAUAGAGAGGCUAUCAAGAUUGAACAACUUGAAGAUGCUUAAUUUAAGUGGAAACUCAUUCAAUAAUAGCAUUUUAUCAUCUCUAACUCAUCUUUCAUCAUUAAGAUCAUUAAAUUUAUUGUGGAAUAGAUUGGAAGGAAGUAUUGACGUUAAAGGUACAUAAUUAAAACUUCAAGCUCUUUCAUUAACUUGCUAAAAUAAGAUUCAAGGCUUUGAAUUCAAUUUUUUUAUGAUUAAUAUUAAAAAAACAGUUUUAAGCAAUUUAUAAAUACAAGUUUUAAUGUUUCUUGUAAUUUCAUCUUGUACUUUCAUAUGUCUUGAAUUUAAGAUUAAAAAAAAAACUCUAAUAGCGAACCAAACACCUCCACAACUUAUUAUUAUUUGUGGUGAGGUUUGAAACAUUCAACUCAAUUUGUACUUAUUACAGAAUUUGAUUCUUUGAGAGAUUUAGAGGAGCUAGACAUUGGCGGAACAAGAUUGACAAAUUUGUGGUCUCAAAAGGUACUACAAAUACCAUAAAAAAAUAUGCUAACUUUUACAAAUUAGUUAGAUUCUUUGCCAUUUGGUUUAUUAUUUUACAGGUUUGAGUAAGUUGAAGUCUCUUGGUUUAAGUGGUAUCAAACUCAAUCGUAGCAUCUUAUCUUCUCUGACUGUCUUUCUUCGUUAAGAGAAUUAUAUAAGUGAUACGGGAUUCAAAGGAACAUUCGAUGUUCGAGGUAAGCCUAAACCUUGCUUUCUCAUUUUAUAUAUGCCAACUAGAUUUGUGUAUCAUCGACAUAAUUUAAUAUUUAAUUUGAUAAGUCUGAAUGAAUUACAUGCUAAUUUAACACUUUUAUUUACUUUGUCAAUUAAUUAAUUAAUUAAUUAUACUAUUUGGCUUGGUUUGGACGAAAUUCUCAUGAUGUUUUAAUUUCUUUAAAUUAAUUAAUUAAUUAACUCUGUUUUUAAGUCUUAAGUCUGGGCGUGUUUGCAGAUUUGAUUCCUUCAACGACUUAGAAGUGUUGGAUAUGAGAUACAAUGAAAUCGACAAUCUUGUGGUUCCUCAAGGUAAACAAUUAAAAGGUACAGAUGUGGCCAAAUUUAUAAAUAAAUUGUUAAUUAAUUAAUUUUUUCGUAUUAUUAAUAAAGCUAAAUUCGUUUGCUCCUUCCUUCUAAUUCUAAACAGAGUUGCACAAUUUCACCAACUUGGAAUAUUUGACAUUGGAAUCUUUCCUCUCUCAUAUAAGCCUUCUGCAAAGCAUUGCAUCAAUAUUCCCUUCGUUAAAAAAUCUGUCGAUGUCUUUUUGUGAAGUCAAUGGUGUCGUACGCGGUCAAGGUAAAAGAAAAGCGUUGAUUGUGAACUCACUCAAUGGUGUCCUACGUGUUCAACAUUUUUAUUUAUUUUAUUGUUUAAUGUUUCUGCUAGGUUUUCCUCAUUUCAAGAGUUUGGAACAUUUUGACAUGAGGUUCGCGCGCAUUGCGCUCAACACCAGCUUUCUUCAAAUCAUCGGUGAAUCGAUGCCCUCUCUUAAGUACUUAUUACUGUCAUAUUCUAAUCUCUUGGCACUAACAGCAGCAGGAUUCUUCAUCAAGGUUAAUGAGAUGCUGCCACCCUCCCCUCUUAACCUAUAAUAUUAAUUUUCGAUUAAAUAUUUAAUUACACAAACCAAAUCACUUAUUAUAAAAGAACAAUACGCAUUCAUUAAUUUUUAUAUUGUAUUAAUAAUUGAUGAAUUUAAUAAAUUUUCAGGCCUCUGUUCGUUGGUGCACCUGCAAGAGUUGUACAUUGAUAAUAAUGAUUAAAGAGGUAGCUUGCCUUGGUGCUUGGCAAAUAUGACAUCCUCCGAAUAUUAGAUGUUUCUUCCAAUCAACUUACGGGAAGCAUCUCCUCAUCUCCCCUCGUUCAUUUGACAUCCAUUGAAAAGUUGAUCUUUCAAACAAUCACUUUUGGAUCCCAAUUUCACUUGAACCACUUUUCAAUCACUCACGACUCAAGCUUUCUAUGCUGACAACAAAAAUAAAAGCUGAAAUAACUGAGUCACAUUCUUUGACUGCCCCAAACUUCCAAUUAAAAUAUCUCUCAUUGUCUUCCGGUUACGAAGAUGGUGUCACAUUCCCCAAAUUCCUUUACCAUCAACAUGACCUGGAGUAUGUUGACCUCUCACAUAUAAACAUGAGCGGAGAAUUUUCCAAAUUGGUUGUUGGAAAACAACACAAACUUAGAAUAUAUUUUUUGGUUAAUGAUUCUCUUGCAGGACCUUUCCGGUUGCCAAUUCAUUCACACAAGCGGUUAAGACUGUUGGAUAUAUCCAACAACAACAUCAGAGGCCACAUUCCAGUAGAAAUUGGAGAUGUUUUACCGGGUUUAUUUUCUUUAAACAUUUUCAUGAAUGCUUUAGACGGUUGCAUUCCCUCUUCAUUUGGUAAUAUGAAAUUCCUCCAAUUUCUGGACUUAUCCAACAACCAAUUGACUGGUGAAAUCCUAAGCACUUGGCCGUGGGUUGCGUCAACUUAGAGUCUCUUGCGUUGUCAAACAACAACUUAGAAGGUCAUAUGUUCUCCAGAAACUUCAACCUGACAAACUUGAAAUGGUUACAAUUGGAAAGCAAUCACUUCGUAGGAGAGAUCCCACAAAGUUUGUCUAAAUGCUCCUCACUAAAAGGAUUGUAUCUUAACAAUAAUAGUCUUUCGGGUAAGAUUCCACGAUGGUUGGGUAAUCUCACAUGGUUACAAUAUAUUACAAUGCCCAAUAAUCAUCUUGAAGGUCCUAUUCCAGUGGAGUUUUGUCAGCUUGAAUGGCUUCAGAUUUUGGACAUUUCAGACAACAACAUAUCUGGAAGUUUACCAUCUUGUUUCCAUCUUCUCUCUAUCAAACAAGUUCAUCUUUCAAAAAAUAUGUUACAUGGACAGCUAAAAGAGGUACAUUUCUUUAAUUGCUCUUCCCUUGUGACAUUAGAUCUUAGUUAUAACCGCUUGAAUGGCAGCAUUCCGGAUUGGGUUGAUGGACUUUCUCGUUAAGCCACCUUAUCUUGGCUCACAAUAAUCUUAAAGGUGAAGUGCCAGUUCAAUUGUGCAAAUUGAACCAACUACAAUUGUUAGAUCUUUCUAAUAAUAAUCUUCAUGGUCCUAUUCCUCUUUGCUUUGAUAACACCACACUUCAUGAAAGUUACAGCAAUAGUUCUAGUCCUGAUGAGCAAUUUGAAAUAUAUAUUUUUAUGUCCGCCUAAGGUUGUGACUAUUAAUAAAUUAAUAUUUAAUGUUUAUGUAAAAAUAUAUAAGAUUUUAUGCGUUCAUUAAUUGUUAUUAGCUAAAGGAUGAAUUAUUUUUCAACCCAAUCAGUUGAUGCAUCUGCAAGAGUUUUUUCUUUUAUUGACCAUAAUUAUGUUCCGGGUACAAUAAAUUGUCUUUGGUGCUUGGAAAAUAUGACUUCUUACUUCAAGUUUGAUAUGUCUCUCUCCAUAAACUUACUGGAAAUAUAUCCUCAUCUACUGUCAUUUAUCUAAUAUCAAUUGAAGAUCUCACUUUUUCAAACUAUCACUUCCAAGUCUCAUUGUCACUUGGCCAUUCUUGGACCAUUCAAAACCAAUCAAGUGUUGAAAUAAUCAAAUAUAUGCAAAAUUAGAGUCACGAUUUUGGUCCCCCAAAUUCUAAUUAUAUAACUUCUAUAUAUUUCAUUGCCAGGUCACGAACUUGUUGGCACAUUUUCCAAAUUCCUCUUCCAUCAGCUCUCACACGUUAACUUAAGUGAAAGUUUCCAAGUUGAUUGCUAGAAAGCAACGCAAAAUCAGACACACUUGAUCUGUCCCCUAAUUCUCUUUUCUACGUUGAAAAAAGAAAAAAAAAAAUAAAAUACAUACAUACAUAUAUAUAUAUAUAUAUAUAUAUAUAUAUAUAUAUAUAUAUAUAUAUAUCUAUGUAAAAAUAAAUAAUAAACUGAGUAAAAAGUACAUUUGUUUAAUUAACAUCUGAUCGGGGCAUUUUUGGUGUAAGCCACAACUAAAAUCAAACAGCCCCUUAGCAUACUUCUUCCAUUUUAUCGGCUACUUUUGUGGAUCUUAUAGGGUGGGCAUGUGGACAGAAUUUAAAAGUUUUAAUAGGCUCAAAGAAGAAGAUGUGUUAAAUCUAAAGUUGUUGCACCUUCUGAUUAAAUAAAGUUGUACAAUUUCAUCAACUUGAAAGAAUUGACAUUAAUGAACUGGUCGCCUCUCCAUGUAUGAAGCCUUCUUAAAGUUAAUUUUUAUUUCAGAAAAAAAAGUUUAAGUUACAUAUAUUACAGUAAGAUUUUUUGAGACCAAUUCCCUUCUUGAAAUAAUAAUAGAAAAGUAUUAAUUUAAAAAAUAAAAUGAAUAUGUAUUGAUUAUAUCCUGAUUUUCAUCGAUUAUAGUUAGAGUUUCACCAAAUCAAUUCCCUUAUUCAAAUAAUACAGAAAAAAUAGUAAUUUAAUAGUAAAAUAAACAGGUGUUGAUUAUAUAUCCUAAGUUUCAUCGAUUAUGUGAUCAAAGUGGCAUUGUUGAUUUAUUUUUUGUUCAAUGUUAAUUUUUAGGUUAUAUAAAUUUCAAGGAUUUAAAAUCUUUGGGCCAUGAAUUACACGCUUGUUAAUUUUCCUGCCAUUGACUGUCAUAUUCUAGACUUAAUGAUACCUUUCUUGAUCAAGGGUAAUUACUCUCUCUUCUCCUCUUAUAAAUUCCUCUUCCAUUAACAUCACUAGGAGUAUGUUGAUCUCUCAGACGUUAACUUGAGUGGAGAGUUUCCAAAUUGAUUGUUACAAAACAACACAAAAACUAGACACACUUGAUCUGUCUAAUAAUUCUCUUUCGGUAAAAUUAAAUAAUUUUAGGGGAAUAUUCGGCCAACCUCUAUAAUUUCAUAGUGAUCAUUAAUUAAUUAAUCGAUACAAAUAUCUAAAGUGAUUAAAUGUGACUUGAAAUUUGAUCUCUAUCGAUUGGUUUACAAAUGGACGUACUUGUGCCUUUGUGGCGAUAAUCGAACAAGUACCCAUGAUUAUUAUUUUUUUCCAAAAACUUUUUUACAAACAAAUUCAUCUCGUCAAAAAUUCUAUGUUGCUAACUAAACAAUAAUUGAGCACUUGGCCGCAUUGACUCCACGUCUCCACCUCUUUCUAAAUUUCUAAGUAAAAACAUGGAAAUGUAAUUUCCACAAAAUGCCAAAUGUGUGGAAUUUAAUUUUUUGCCUUGUGGAUCAAAAUACAAAUGAAAGAAACAGAAGAAAAAAAAAGGCCCAAAGACUUCUAAAAGAUGAAGAAGUCUUUUGUGCCUUUUUAUAAUGGUGAAUUUUUUUAAAGAAAAAAAAAUAACAACAUUUUUAUGGUUUGUUUUGAUAAUGCAUAUUUACAUAUACUCUCUAAUUUCAAAAUGGACACAUAAAUCUUUUUUUUUUACAAAAUAUAUAUUAUUCAUAUUUUUUUUAUUUUUUUAUUAUCAUAUUUUUAUUUAUUAUAAAUGUUUAGAGCAAAUUUUUAGGUUUGAAAUAUAAUAAAAAGGUAUAAUUGUUUCUCUUAUUAAACACACAUUACUUUUUAUUAGUUUCUAUCCAUUUGUCAUCUCAAUCUCUCUCAAUUAUUCUUUAUUGCUAGCUCAAAACGCGUUUGCUGUUGCAAAUUAUAGCAAAAUGACAAAUAUGGAAAAAAAGGGAAGAAAAUUAAUGCAUGAAAGACUUGGAGAAAACAACAAAAUAAGCCAACUAUGAGCUAGUUGGGUGUAUAAAUUGUUAGAUGUGUUAUAUACAAAUAGCGUAGAGCCCUCUAGUUGGUUCCAGAGACAGAAAGAGCGUGUGUGUUUUUUCACAGUUAGAGAUAUAGUUAGAAUGGGUGGUUCAAAAUCAAAAAUGAUGAUAAUGUUUAUUAUGUUAUUAAUAAUAUUUAAAAGUGGGUGGAGUGAGGGAUGUUUGGAUCACGAGAGAUUUGCUUUUUUUGAGACUCAAACAUUUCUUCAAUGAUCCUCUUAAUUCUCUUUACGACUGGGUAGAUGGUGAGGGAGCUACUGAUUGUUGUCAGUGGGAAAGGGUUGAGUGCAGGCAACACCCACAGGCCGAGUGAUAGCACUGGGACCUUUUCUUAUAUAUAUUCGGGAGAGUACAGCUGGUAUCUGAAUGCUUCUUUAUUUACUCCCUUCCAACAACUUGAGUCACUUGAUUUAACUCAAAACAAAAAUAGCCGGAUGUGUUGAGAAUGAAGGUACUUUGUUUAAUUUAAUUAAUUUACUUUCUCCCCCCCUAAUUUAAGUUGAAUAUCAAGACCGAGCAAUUAUAUGCAUAUUCAUUUAGUCGACAAUUUUGACUUUUUUUUAAAUGAUUAAUUUUGAAAUUACACCAGUAUCUAUGAUCUUUUUUAUUUUAUUUUAUUUGCAGGUAUAGAGAGGCUAUCAAGAUUGAACAACUUGAAGAUGCUUAAUUUAAGUCGAAACUCAUUCAAUAAUAACAUUUUAUCAUCUCUAACUCAUCUUUCAUCAUUAAGAUCAUUAAAUUUAUUGUGGAAUAGAUUGGAAGGAAGUAUUGACGUUAAAGGUACAUAAUUAAAACUUCAAGCUCUUUCAUUAACUUGCUAAAAUAAGAUUCAAGGCUUUGAAUUCAAUUUUUUUUAUGAUUAAUAUUAAAAAAACAGUUUUAAGCAAUUUAUAAAUACAAGUUUUAAUGUUUCUUGUAAUUUCAUCUUGUACUUUCAUAUGUCUUGAAUUUAAGAUUAAAAAAAAAACUCUAAUAGCGAACCAAACACCUCCACAACUUAUUAUUAUUAUUUUAAUUUGUGGUGAGGUUUGAAACAUUCAACUCAAUUUGUACUUAUUACAGAAUUUGAUUCUUUGAGAGAUUUAGAGGAGCUAGACAUUGGCGGGAACAAGAUUGACAAAUUUGUGGUCUCAAAAGGUACUACAAAUACCAUAAAAAAUAUGCUAACUUUUACAAAUUAGUUAGAUUCUUUGCCAUUUGGUUUAUUAUUUUACAGGUUUGAGUAAGUUGAAGUCUCUUGGUUUAAGUGGUAUCAAACUCAAUCGUAGCAUCUUAUCUUCUCUUUCUUCGUUAAGAGAAUUAGAUAUAAGUCGUACGGGAUUCAAAGGAACAUUUGAUGUUCGAGGUAAGCCUAAACCUUGCUUUUCUCAUUUUAUAUAUGCCAACUAGAUUUGUGUAUCAUCGACAUAAUUUAAUAUUUUAAUUUGAUAAGUCUGAAUGAAUUACAUGCUAAUUUAAACACACUUUUAUUUACUUUGUCAAUUAAUUAAUUAAUUAAUUACUAUUUGGCUUGGUUUGGACGAAAUUCUCAUGAUGUUUUAAUUUCUUUAAAUUAAUUAAUUAAUUAACUCUGUUUUUAAGUCUUAAGUCUGGGCAUGUUUGCAGAAUUUGAUUCCUUCAAUAACUUAGAAAGUGUUGGACAUGAGUUGGAACGAAAUCGACAAUCUUGUGGUUCCUCACGGUAAACAAUUAAAAUGUUAUUCAAUUACAUUAUUUUUAAUUCAUUUGAUUAGGGAAGGCCAAAAAGGUAAAAAAAAUAAUAAUAAAGAAACAGAGAAUUUGUAUUAUUUAAAAAACAGAAUGUAAUAAAGAUUUGAUUCUGGUUCUUUAAUCUUUAAAGUGAUUGAAAAACAAUGUUGCUCUUUUCCCAAAGCAUCAAAUACGAAUUGAAUGCCAAUUAACUUAAUCAUUCAUUUCGUUUAGCUCUAAAUUUAGACAAUGAAUUUUUAUAUUAUUUCAAAAACAUGACGUAAUAGAAUUUUUUUAAAAAACAGAUUCUAAUAAAGAUUUGAUUCCAAUUCUUUAAUCUUUACAGUGAUUGAAAAAACGAUACUACUCUUUUCCCAAAGCAUAAAUACGAAUUGACUCCCAAUCAAAUUAAUCAUUUAUUUCGUUCAUCUCUGAAUUUAAAUAAUGAAUUUUGAUCUUCAAUCGUAUUAUAAUUACUAUUAAAGAACAGGUUACAGAGGUUUGAGGAAGUUGAAUCAUCUUGAUCUAUCGGAGUUGGAAUUAGAGAUGGAAGCAAGUUGUUACAGUCAAUGGGAUCAUUCCCAUCCCUCAACACUCUUUACCUUUCGUGGAAUAAUUUUAUCGAUACAGCGACCGCUACUCAAGGUAAGUAAAAGGUACAAAUGUGGCCAAAUUUAUAAAUAAAUUGUUAAUUAAUUAAUUUUUCCGUAUUAUUAAUUAAGCUAAAUUUGUUGCUCCUUCCUUCUAAAUCUAAACAGAGUUGCACAAUUUCACCAACUUGGAAUAUUUGACAUUGGACUUUUCCUCUCUCCAUAUAAGCCUUCUCCAAAGCAUUGCAUCAUUAUUCCCUUCGUUAAAAAAUCUGUCGAUAUCUCAUUGUGAAGUCAAUGGUGUCCUACGCGGUCAAGGUAAAAGAAAAUCGUUGAUUGUGAACUCACUCAAUGGUGUCCUACGUGUUCAACAUUUUUAUUUAUUUAUUGUUUAAUGUUUCUGCUAGGUUUUCCUCAUUUCAAGAGUUUGGAACAUUUGGAUAUGGAUUACACGCGCAUUGCACUCAACACCGGCUUUCUUCAAAUCAUCGGUGAAUCGAUGCCUUCUCUUAAGUACUUAUCACUGUCAAGGUUAAUCUAUAAAUCGAUGCCUUCUCUUGAUCAAGGUUAAUCAGAUGCUCCCACUCUCCCCUCUUAAUCUAUAAUAUUAAUUUUCAAUUCAAUAUUUAAUUACACAAACGAAUCACUUAUUAUAAAAGAAUAAUACGCAUUCAUUAAUUUUUAUAUUGUAUUAAUAAUUGAUGAAUUUAAUAACUUUUCAGGUCUCUGUUCGUUGGUGCAUCUGCAAGUGUUGAACAUUGCAGGCAAUGAUUUAAGAGGUAGCUUGCCUUGGUGCUUGGCAAAUAUGACAUCCCUCCGAAUAUUAGAUGUUUCUUCCAAUCAACUUACUGGAAGCAUCUCCUCAUCUCCCCUCGUUCAUUUGACAUCCAUUGAAGAGCUGAUGCUUUCAGACAAUCACUUCCAGAUCCCAAUUUCACUUGAACCAUUUUUCAAUCACUCACGACUCAAGAUUUUCCAUGCUUACAACAACGAAAUAAAUGCAGAAAUAACUGAGUCACAUUCUUUGACUGCCCCAAACUUCCAAUUAAAAUAUCUCUCAUUGUCUUCCGGUUACGGAGAUGGUGUCACAUUCCCCAAAUUCCUUUACCAUCAACAUGAUCUGGAGACUGUUGACCUCUCACAUAUAAACAUGAGCGGAGAAUUUCCAAAUUGGUUGUUGGAAAACAACACAAACUUAGAAUAUAUUUUUUUGGUUAAUGAUUCUCUUGCAGGACCUUUCCGGUUGCCAAUUCAUUCACACAAGCGGUUAAGACUGUUGGAUAUAUCCAACAACAACAUCAGAGGCCACAUUCCAGUAGAAAUUGGAGAUGUUUUACCGGGUUUAUUUUCUUUAAACAUUUUCAUGAAUGCUUUAGACGGUUGCAUUCCCUCUUCAUUUGGUAAUAUGAAAUUCCUCCAAUUUCUGGACUUAUCCAACAACCAAUUGACUGGUGAAAUCCCUAAGCACUUGGCCGUGGGUUGCGUCAACUUAGAGUCUCUUGCGUUGUCAAACAACAACUUAGAAGGUCAUAUGUUCUCCAGAAACUUCAACCUGACAAACUUGAAAUGGUUACAAUUGGAAAGCAAUCACUUCGUAGGAGAGAUCCCACAAAGUUUGUCUAAAUGCUCCUCACUAAAAGGAUUGUAUCUUAACAAUAAUAGUCUUUCGGGUAAGAUUCCACGAUGGUUGGGUAAUCUCACAUGGUUACAAUAUAUUACAAUGCCCAAUAAUCAUCUUGAAGGUCCUAUUCCAGUGGAGUUUUGUCAGCUUGAAUGGCUUCAGAUUUUGGACAUUUCAGACAACAACAUAUCUGGAAGUUUACCAUCUUGUUUCCAUCUUCUCUCUAUCAAACAAGUUCAUCUUUCAAAAAAUAUGUUACAUGGACAGCUAAAAAGAGGUACAUUCUUUAAUUGCUCUUCCCUUGUGACAUUAGAUCUUAGUUAUAACCGCUUGAAUGGCAGCAUUCCGGAUUGGGUUGAUGGGCUUUCUCGGUUAAGCCACCUUAUCUUGGCUCACAAUAAUCUUAAAGGUGAAGUGCCAGUUCAAUUGUGCAAAUUGAACCAACUACAAUUGUUAGAUCUUUCUAAUAAUAAUCUUCACGGUCCUAUUCCUCUUUGCUUUGAUAACACCACACUUCAUGAAAGUUACAGCAAUAGUUCUAGUCCUGAUGAGCAAUUUGAAAUAUAUGUUUUCAUCGAAGGCCCUCAGGGAGGUGUAGAAAAGAAAAUCCAUGAAAUUUUUGAGUUCACAACAAAGAACAUUGCGUACAUUUACCAAGGAAAAGUGCUUAGCCUCCUAUCAGGACUUGAUCUUUCUUGCAACAAGCUAAUCGGUAUUAUUCCUCCUCAAAUUGGAAAUUUGACAAGGAUUCAAACAUUGAAUCUAUCGCACAACAACUUGACAGGAUCGAUCCCAUCAACAUUUUCAAACUUGAAGCAUGUCGAAAGUUUGGAUCUUUCCAACAACAAAUUGAAUGGGAAAAUCCCUCAUCAACUAGUGGAGUUAAAGACAUUGGAGGUUUUCAGUGUGGCAUACAAUAACUUAUCAGGCGAAAUUCCAGAAUGGAAAGCACAAUUUGCAACCUUCAACGGGAGUAGCUAUGAAGGAAAUACUUUUCUUUGUGGACUGCUAUUGCCCAUUUGCAGAUCACCAGCAACUACGUCGGAGGGUUCAAUUGGCAAUGAACGAGAUGAUAAUUUAAUUGACAUGGACAAUUUCUUUAUCACAUUUACAACAUCGUACGAAAUUGUGAUAUUCGGAAUUGUUAUUGUUUUAUAUGUAAAUUCUUAUUGGCGACGUAGAUGGUUUUACUUUGUUGAAAUGUGGAUAACUUCAUGUUAUUAUUUUAUUGUAGACAAUCUUAUUACAACAAGAUAUUGUCAUUGAAAUUAAUUAGGAGUUUAAUUACGAUUCUUUAAGUUCUAAUCAAGUUUGCUUAGGAAAUAAAUUUAUUUUUAUUUUUUAUUAAAACUGUAGUAGUAUUUAGCUCUAUAUAGCUUCCAACUUCCAAGCACUUCACAUUUGUCUCUACACUUCCAAACCCAUAUCUAUCCACCAUAACUUAUACUUCCCUAUACUGUGCAGCAUACUUAAAUAAGAGAACCAUCUCCAAUGUUAAAACCAGCCACUCUAUAACAUUCAUUUAGAAUAGUUUUAUUAUCAUACACAAGAAAUGAAACACCUAGAUGCACUUGAUCGCCUAUUUUACUUUAAAAAAUAAUGAUUAUGGUGCUAUCAUCAUCUUCUUCACUAGCAACAUUAACACCAAAUCCAGCGAUGGACCCAGACAUUUUAUCAAGAAAGGUAUAUAUAUAAUAAAGUUGAAGCUUGACAAAAAAUUCAGGAAGAUUAAUGCCUCGCCACAACAAGGGGCACAACAACAUCAAAGUAGAGAUGAAGCAAUAUUUUCAAAUCUAAAACUCUCAAAUCCACCCACCAAAAUUUCAUAUCUCCUCAACAAUUUUAAGAACUAAAGAUAAUUAGGAUCUAACAUUAGUUUUUUAUAUAUUAGUUUCAUAAUUUACAAAUCAAUGAAGAUGAAGAUUAUGCUAAUGAAUUCAAAUUAUACCAUAGAUUCUCGAGAUGUUACCAAAAAUUUCUAAGCCAAUCCCACAUAUUUCAUAAUUUUAAGACUAGAAAAUUUCAUUAGUUAGAAGUUUCAUUACCUUCAAGUGGAAGAUGAAGAACAUUAUACAAUUGAUUCAGAUUAUAUCAUACAUACUCCAAAUGCAACUAGAAAUUAACAAGUUCAUGCGCACAGAUUUCAUAACAUUAUGAUUGGAAAGUUUCACAAAGAGAAAUUCUAAAUUCAAUCUCUUGCAUCAAGGUAGUUUGAUUGAUUUGAGUUACUUUCUCAUCAAGCUACUAAUAUAACAUUCAAGUCAGGGAGAAAGUAAAUUAAAACUGGGAAGAAACAACAGUAAAAAUUUGUUGCUAAACAUGAUGUGUAUUUUUUUUUAAGGCAAUUUGGAAACACAGUUGUUACUACAGAUAUUCUCCUCAACUUAGAGAUAAAUACAAAUAUUAAAAUGCAUAUGAUCGCACAUAUUACUUGGAGCUUAGUAAGAUUUCAUUAAGAGAAGCAAUCAAACCACUUAUCAAUUGUUGCAAUCGUUCUAUAAGCUAAAAUAGCAAUAUAAUACAAGAAAAAGAACAUAUAGAUACUUGGCAAGAGUUCAUUAAGAAGUCGCAUCACAUUCGGGUGAGUUUGCUUCUGAUAUCUUGCUAGCUGGGGCUUUUUCUUGUCUUUCUACGUAUGCCGAGGGAAACCAACCAGCUUGGCCCUUGCAUUCACCUUCCGACCAUCCAGUAGGAGCCACCUUGAGAAGUUAUAACUAAAAGUCUAAAACAAUGAAUUAAACAAAAGUUGACCGUUCAAAGACCUAAGGGGAAAACUAAUUCUUUUACGUAGGAGGAGUGAAUUAGUUGUGAUCACUGAAAUAACAGCAUAACUAUGGAAGCAUAACAAGAUAUAAAUUCACACGUCUAUAAGGGUAAACUGGGUGGUUUAGAACUGAGCUAGCAACCCUACUAUAUUCUGAUUUGCACAUCAAUGUAAAAGGGAAUAUAUGGUAGGAAGAAAGAAAACCAACCAUCAGUUGUUAACUCAUUGCUUUUCAAUCAAAAUUUUAAGAACAAAAUGCCAUGUGCUUUGAACAUCAAAUAAGUAUAAGCAUUAGUUCUAAAUUCCACAUAUCAUAAGUUAGAAGGACAAGUCAAUAGCAUAGUAGAAAAAUCUAUGUGUUGUUAUUUAGAGGGGAAAGUACCUGGCGAACCACAACAUAAUCAUCAAUUGAAAGACUUAGCUCUCCAUUUGCUUGAGCAUCAAAUGGAUGUAUAACCUGCAAGAUAAUGGGAUAAAUAGAACUUAAUCUUAAAAAAAGCAUAACAAAAGCAGCAACAGUAGCAGCAGCGUUCAUUGUAACCACUAUGAUCAUGGCCAAUAAAGAUAUAUUACAAACAAAAUUCCAUUUUUACUACGACAUUAAUAUGUACUAUAUGAUAUCAUGACGAUUGGGUUACCAAGAGCUAUCAAAGUCCAAUAAAUUCUGUAUAACUUUAGGUAGUUAUUCAAAUUAUGGAUCAGAUUUUAAAUCCGAAAUUUUGACUGCUCUCCACAAAACAUGGCCUAUGCACAAGAAAGUCAUAGAUAAUGAGGAUUACAAGUGUCUGACAUCUUUUGAGUGAUGGAUUUAACAUGAGAGCUUAUGGUCAGUCAAUUUCCUCUGCCUAGCAAUAUAAGCUUUCUCGGCCAGAUUUAUCAUCAAAUACAUAGAUUGGCCCCAAGUCACAUCCAAAUAAACAUAGUUUUUCUAGGUAAACCAAGUAAGGAGAAUCAUAAUUCAGACAUAAUCAUAAAAAGGCCCAUCUAACUUAAGAGAAAAUCUCAAAAAGAGGGAUGUUGAGCUAUCAGUCUUGUAUCUAUAAGCAAUAUCAAGACUUUACAUCACCUACUACAUCGUGAGUGGCUACACAACUUUCAGUGGUUUGUCUUUCUUUGGCAUGCCUAACUCAGCUUUGAUGUUGCUGAGAUAUUGAUAGUAAAGACACAUGAUACUUCUAGCCCAUGCAUUCUAUCUAGCUCAUCCGACAACUAUCUCUUUUUUAAUUCAUUAGUGUUUGCUAAACCUCAUGCUUAAAAGUCCUAUUCUCCUAAACAAAGCUUCCUAAGAAUGACUUCCUCAGCACCACAUUUGGACACUUUUAGAGCAAUUUUAUUUGGGGGAAAAGAAUUUUCAAGGUGUUAACUAAUAAAUUUUAAAAAAUAAUUACAAUUUGUCCUACAAUUAUAUGACAAUUUAUCUGGGAUGAAAGGAUACAGACAGACAUCUUCCACUUUCAAGACUAAUCACUACUUCCGUAGAUGUUUUGCAAUAAUACAAAUACUUGACCAGAUGGUAGAAAAAAAUUUUAUUGCUCCAAAAUUAAAAUAAGAAUGCAAUAUGUUAAGCAAAAGACUGUGCAACAUCAAAUUAAUUGAUAAGUUUGUAAUUCAGUAAAUUAACAACUUUCAUGGUAAAAUACAACAAAUUUCUUUUCAAAAAAAAAAAAAAAAAUUAAAAGACGGCAUUCAAUUUUUUGGGCAUCUUAUUUCUUAAGAUUUUCCAGGAGGAGGGCACUAGAGGGACUUUCACCUAUGCAAGAGAGCAGAAGCCUUACUUUCGCUAUAAAGUAGACGUCAUUCUGAUUAAUAUGCGUUUGCAAAUCAGCUCCAUUUGAAUCAGUAUUCUGAUAGACACAUGAGGCAUUUACAUCCAUUUCCAAAGUCACAUGUUGCGAGGAGGACUCAUUUGAUUGCUCCUCUAGGAUCAUCUAAUUCAAGUAGCAAGGGUUGGAAGAGAAUAAAAAGUCACAAUUAUUCUUUUGCAUAAGUGAGACGAAAAUGAUAAAUGCAAUAUUAUCAGCAGUAAACAAGAAGAGAACACUCCAAGGAAUAGAUAGAUGCAGACAAGCAAGUUAAAAUGCACAGUUCCAAACCUCCGCAUACAACUUCUCUAAAAUAGCAAUAACGUGUUGAUGAUAUGUUUUCUCAGCAUCUACCUGCAAAGGCCUGAGACCAGGAAAACAACAAUAAAACCACUAGCUAAAGGAGAAAGUAAAGAAAGAAAUACACUUGACAUAAAUCUUGACAAGAAGCACAAUUUAAGACAUAACAAACCCCAAUCAGAUUGUUUAGAACUACCAUUCGUUAUUUCGUUAUUGUAGCAUUUCGAACAAGUGUUGACUUAAUUCAACAUUGUUGGAAAGAUAGGCUUUUAGAAGCGGAAGAAAGCCACUCAAACCAAAGUGAUUGUCCUUGUAUUGAUCAAGGGAUGUAAACAUAUUACAUUUGCAGGAUGAGUUUUAAUCACUCCCCUGAUUUAUUUGGGUUGCAGUAAAACUAAGCGAGCAACUGUUUGACUUUCAAGCAACAUCUAAAUCAGCUAUUAAAAUUCAAAUAAAAUUAUAAUAGAAUAAUAACAGGCCAUCUUGCAUAAAAAAUUAAGUUUAAUUUGUGAAUUUUUUUCUAUAGACAUGUUAGUUCCUGCUAUUGAAAUGUUAAAAGCAUUGAAAAAUUAUUCAAUAAAUUAUGCAAACAUUAAAAUAGAGGACAUAUUAAAAAGUUUCUAAUUACAAUGUUAAGAUUUCCUAUAUUUUAGCAUUUGCAUAUUUUAAUUUAUUUAAAAGUUACGUCAAUCAACUUUGGGCGUGAAGAUUUUAGCUUCUACGAGACUUGAUUGGAAUAUGCAUAAGGAAGAGUGUUAAAAUAUGAUGCAUCCAACGAAAGACAAACCACGUGUAGUCUUUUAAUUAAGCCAAAGUAGCAGCUCAAACAAAUGACACUUGGACCAACAUGCAAUCAUGAAGUGGCCGGUAAAAGGACAAAUGCAACUUUGGCUUAAAUAAAAAAUAACAUGUGACUUGACUUUUGCUGGACAUGCAUCAUGUUAUUACAAGACAACAGAAAUCAGUAUGAUAGUACUAAAAGUUGACAAUAACAUGAAGAUAAGAGGCAGAAUGUCAACACCUGCAUAGGCACACACAAGAAAGUAUUAACAUAUAUACCAUAGCAAAAAGUCUUUGAUAUGUCAUCUGUUGCUGCUGUGAUUCAACUGACAGCAUGGCAGCUGUCGCUUCUCUACCAAGAGCCAUUAUUGUAGAUUUAAGCUCGGUCAAUCUUGCUUCUGCAUUUCGAAGCUUCACAGCACUCUCUGCUGAUAUAUCAGAUUUCCUUAUCUUUGAUCGGUGCCUAAAUACUUCAGCUGCCUGGUGAAAAUAUUCAAUAUAAAUCUAACAUAAUUCUCAUCUUGCCUUAUACAUGCAUAUGUUACCUCAAAGCUUGCCUGGGCUUCAACUUCAUGUCGAAGUUUGUCAUAACGAUGAGUCAGGUGUCGAGCAUCUUCCAAAGGUGCUCCGUUGAUUAACGCCCGUAGUGGCUCAGAUACCUACAUGUCCAAAAACCUGUAACAUAGUUAGAAAAAUGAAAAGAAAGAGCGAAACCUCAAUUAAAAAGUUCCUCCAACAUAAUCAUGGAAUUUGGGCCUACUUCAAGGAUAUAUAUAAGGAUAAUUUAUGCAAUUUUGGGUCUUAGGAUGAUUCAUAUUAGGUUAGUGUUCUUCUCUUCUGUAUUUAAGGUUAAAAUAGAAAUAAACCUAUGCAAAUAUCUAAAUUAGGGCUGUAAGACUUCCACAUGCAUCCUUCAGUCUCAUGGAUUUGAUUUUACUAUAGAUGCAAGUGUCUUUAUCGAAAAUGCUUGGAGUCAAUUGAGAGAACUCACAGCCAAUAACUUGUCACAUGCUAGUCUUUGCUAGUGAUGCAAGAAGUCACAAGGUCUCUUCAACAUUUGAACCAAUAAAAUUAUUAAGUCAUGGAUGUCACUAGCAAUGAUUUCAAUAUAAAACAUUAAAUAUUUCAAGUUGUAACUUUAAAAUGGAUUCUUUUAUUCAAUAUCUUAGAACUAAGUUUCCUUAUGAGAAGAUAAUAGUUUCAGUAGUAAUUUACAUGAAAUUUUCUAUAUUUGAAUUAUUUUCUAGUUAGGGAUGAACUAACCUGAUCAUGAAGAAUCCCAAGCAAAGUUUUCCUCUCAUUUUCCAUCAAAUCAUGUGAAGUGCCAAAUUGAAGAGCAGCUCUUGCAGCGCAAGAAUUGUCACUUUGAUUCUCCACUCCAUACUUGCAACAAUCUUCAGCCAACUUUCUCACUACAAUAUUUGAAUACAAAAAUAUUGUACACAAGAACCAGUCAAGAAAAUAAAAAAAAAAUCAAAUAUUAUAACGAGAGCAAGAGCAAACAAACAACCUAUUUCCAUUUGUUUCAAGCUUACUGCAACAAACCCUUCAACGCCACGGACAAUAUUCCUCUGAAAAUUCUGUGCUACAGAGCAUAUAUUCCAAAUUAUUGUUCAGAUAAAACCAUAGAAACCAUCAUAAUUAUCAACAUACAUUAAGCUCCGUUUGGUAAAUACUUGCAACUUCAGUCUAGAAAAUACAGUUGUUUGUACCAUAUUUGACAAAAUUAUUAUUUAAAAAUCAUAACUAAUUACCAAAAGCCACAAUAAAUCAAUAUCAAACAGAGUCUUAUUAUUAGCUAAAGGAGGAUGGUGCCUUAGCUGCCCUGGUGGAAUUGUAUAGAUUUUAAAGUUGUUGGUGACACUCAAUUUCAGCUUCAUGAACCGCAAUAUUUUCAAUACCAAGAUGGAGCAGAUGCUUCAAUGCUGCCUGUACAAAUCAUAAAAAACUAAUAAAAAUAAAUAAAAUCGAGAAAUUUCACUAACUAAAAGUCUAAAUAUAAUUUUUGAAAAAAGAAAAGAAACGGACUUGCUGCUGCUUGGCGACUUGUUCUCGGUGCUUGAUUGCCUGUUUCUUGAUAGCUUCCAUACUGUUUCUUUCAAAAAGCAACGACGGCUCAGCUCAUGGAGGUGGAAAAAAAAAGUAUGAUCGAGAAAAAUAAAAAGGCAUGAAUAAUUUUUGACAAAAAGCGAAAAAUAAAAAGGCAUGAAUAAUGAAUAAUUUUUGACAAAAAGCUCUUUCCAGAAAAUAAAAAAAGAAAAAAGAAAAAAGAAAAUUAUAAGUUUGAAAGGAGUAGAUGAUAGUGGAAGUGUGCGGUGUGGCUGCCAGCUACUUGAAUUGUAUUGUCGGGUAAGGUAAUAGUAGAGAAUUUUUUUUUUUGAAGAAAAAUGGGUAAUUUUUAAAAACCUCCCCUGAGGUUUGGGCUUGUUGUAAGUAGAUGGCGAGAAUCCAUUUAUUUGUAAAAAACCCCCUACGUUUUUGCUCCGCUUGGUUGCCGUUUGGGCAAUUGUGGGCAUUGUUGACAUUUCGCAAUAAAACAAAUCUUUUGCAACUUUCGUUUCCUUGAGAACAAUAGCUAGAUUUCUCAAUCUGUUUCAUCCAACACUUCAAAAAUUUCAACUUUUAUGAGUUAUUGCAUUCUCUGGCAAAGUAGACUUCUUCUAAUUUUAUCACAGUGCUUUCAGGAACAAGAAUGGGAUCCAUUAACAUCCCCUCAAAUUUUACAGCUUCCUUACAGCUAUACACUGCUGUAACACGAAGUUUAAUGAUUCCAUCGCCAAAUAGUCCCCAAAAUCUAUUCUUCCCCAUAUUGAACAACUUAAGUUCACAACACUUGCAUUCUAAAGGCUUCCCACUAACAUCUAAUAUCUCAAGACUCAACGUUGCUUUACAAUAAUUGUUAUUACUACCAAACAAACAUGAAGAAACCCCGAUUAUCGGAUAAAUCAACCCAAAAUGAACAAGAGAAGAACCCAAAACAAGUGAAUCGCUAGAGCAAAACCCCCAACCCAUAUCCCUAAUCCCACACUCAAAAAAACCCAAUUUCUCUCCAAAGUCAUUGACACUAGCAUCACUACUAGACUCUAAUUCCAAUCCUAGAUUACAUUUAAUGUUAACCCAACUAAAAUGAAUGUUCUUACUACAAUACGCAUCGUUUACACUCUCAAACAACGCGCUGAACUUACUCUUAAACGAUCCCACAUUGGUCAAACACUCAUCACUCACAUCGACAUCCAAGAAUUCACUCAAAAACUUCAUAGACUCGACAAUUGGAGAAAACAAAACCACUAAACUCAACUUUAUACAAGCAUACCCAUCGAGAAUCUUACCGUCAUUAACCGAAUCACAACAAAUCACCGGGUCCCACGCGCAGUCGUGAACGAGCUUACGCAUGGACGGGGCAACAUUUAACCCCCGCGGCAAAAACGACGAAGCUUUGGAAAAAUUGUGUUUUAGAGCUGGGUUGAGGAGUAGAGAUUGGAGAGAUUGGAAGGUGGAAUCGGGACGGUCAAAGGAUAGAGAGAGAGAAGGGAAGGGGAUCUUUAAAAGAGAAGUGGGGAGAGGGAGGAGAAGAAGGAUUUGAAAGAGAAAAGAGAGGAACGGAGAGGCGGGAAUGAGAUUAAGGUUUUCACUGCAACUAAAAGAGUAAUCAUGUAUGGCUCUUGGUCUUGGAGAUGAAGGAGAGGAUUCAGGUCGAUUAAGAGGACUAUACGCUGCAUUUUGGUGUAGUCUGCCGCCAUUGGUAGAAGUUUCGAAGUGGGUUUCUGUUUAGAUCCGAGUUUGACGAAGAAACGUGGUGGUUGCGCUUGGGACAAUAUUGUUUUUGCACUGGUCAAUGUAGAAAUUAAACGACGGUAGGGUGUUUUUUUAUAAAUAAAUGAAUUCUCGCCAUUUAUAACAAGCCGAAACCUCAAAAGAAGAUUUUAAAAAUUACCCGAAGAUUCGAAAAAUAGUAGAGAAUUUUUUAAAAAGCUAGAACAGAGCAUGCUAGACUUUUGUGGACCAAAUUCAAAAGCCGAAGGGCACGGCCCAAAAGCUUUUGAAUACAAUAACUUACUAGAAAGCUCCAUUUUUUGUUGGCUACAGUAAAAGUAUGUUGUUUUAUGCUUCUUAUAUGUUACGCUUGCAUCAGCCUCAAUCACUUCUUAAUCGCUUGCUUUAACUGCAUCGCUCUCUGUGUACUCUUCUACACAUGUAACGGUUAUGCGGUUGUAGUUCACGGCUGAGGCUACGUGUUGGUUUGACGCGGCAGUUACGUUACGACAUUACGAGUCUGUUAAACAUUCGGUGAUAGAGCAUUAUUAGUUAUUUUAAGGGGACAAAUAAGAUUGGUUGCAAUAAACCCACUAAUUUUAUAAAAUUCGAGUAAUAUAGAAUAAAAUAAAAAAAUAAAUACAAAAUUGGCUUUUAUUUUUUAUGGUUGACUGUAUUUUGUGUUCUCUUCCGGCACUACUACAAUUGUUCCCUAUAUAUCAGUCACACCCAUAUAUCAUCAAUACAAGAAAUGAAAUCUAAUGUCACCUAUUUAGUUAAAGAAUUACUCAUGAAAAAAUUUUACCAUUUUACUUUGAGGAUCCAUAUUUUGAACUGCAAGCUAAUGUUCAUCAAGAAUCACUAAUGUUCAUAAAAAACAGAGCAUGGCCGUUGAGUAGAAAAACUAUUUUUGGACAAAUUAUUUUUGUUGAUAGAAGAAUUUCUUAAGGGGCUCAUAAGGCCAAUGAUGUUUCUACUGCUGGUGGUUUGAUUCGCGAUUAUUCGGGUCGUUGGUUGACUGGUUUUGGGUUGAUGCUUGGUUCCUGUUCUGUUACAAUGGCUGAGCUUAGAGGCAUUUAUCAGGGGCUUAUCUUGGCUUGGAAUUUUGGCAUUCGGUGGCUGCAUGUGGAAACUGAUAGCUUAUGUGCAACUCAAAUGUUGGCUAACCAGGUGGAGACUACUAAUGAAUAUGCGUCCCUCAUUUUUGCCAUCAAGGAGUAUCUCCAGAAAAAGGAUUGGCAGGUUUCUAUUUCUCAUGUGUACAGAGAGGCAAACUCGGCUGCUGAUUUUAUGGCGAACCUUGCUUGUUCUUUGCCUCUUGGGCUUAUGGUGUACCCUAGUCCCCCGCUCGGGUUUUCAUCCAUUCUUUUGUAUGAUUCUUACGGGGUUGCGACUCCGCGUUCGGUUGUUUUUUAGCUCUUAAUUGAGCCCCAAUUGAUCAAAAAAAAAAUAUUAUGAAUAACAAUGUAGAACACACCCACAUAUCAUCAACACAAUUGACUUUAAGGAUCCAUGCUUUGAAUUGCCACCUAAUGUUCAUCAAGAACAGAGUAUGCCUUGUGAGUAGAAAAUUUUAUGAUUUUGGUCCGAAAUAAAAAGAAAUUAAAUUAGAUGAGAAUCUGCCACUUUCUCAUAAAGAAAGGCAUACGGAGCAUACCAUGGUACCAUACAAUACAAAGAGUCUCUAUUCUCUGGUUUUUCAAACUCUGAAGGGGCCAAUAUUCCCGAAUUCCCCCUUGAAAAUUCUGAUUACGACAUUAUUCAAUUCUUGACACAAUCAAAGUAGCGACAAAGUUAAGAAAAAUAUGAGUCCUAAGUAAUGGCUAGGUAGGGUUCUUGAGAGCAAAAUUGUCCUAAGCAUUAUAUGCAUACAUGGUGUGGUACAUAGAGCACGUUGAAUUCCACACUAUAACACAAACCCAGAAAGACAAGUAAUAACUCAACUGAUAUAAAGACAAAAAGAAGAUAAAAUGAUAUAGAAAAAAGAAUUUCAAAGAGACAGCAACAUACGAUAGACUGAAGCCACUUGAUCUGCUCACUGAUUGCAGCCUUAAACUUACAAAUAGUUACUGUACGCUAGUGCUCUAAGAAGUGAAAAUGAUAAGAGACCUGAUUCCCUUUUGACUUCCAUUUACUGUCAAACAUUCUAGUAAUACAAAAAAUUGUUUAGAUAUCUUGCUAUAAAUAUAGUCGUUUGACUGUCAUAAUAAAGUCACAAAUAACCAUUCAUAUUGAUCCACUGUCACACAGCAUGCUUUAUGCAUACAACAUCUGCAUGUAUACCAACUCCUAACCUUAUCAAUACAUUUGGCAAAAACUUAAGAAGAAAACUAUUUCUCCAUCUCUUUUUUGAAAUUUCACAAUAAACCAGCACAUUGUGAAAGCUAUGUUCUAAUCUUAUGAUAAAUGCUCUAGACUCCAAAAGGAUUUUAUAUAUGAGAGUUUGUUGCAGCAGAUAUAUUGACUUAUCAAGUAUGAAUCAUUGUCUGGAUGAACUAUCUUUAAAUAAAAGAAUAUUAGAACCACUGUAGAAUAUCUUUACGCUGCUGGUUCUAACAGGAAUCUGCAUGUGGCAACAAUUGCUAGAUCCACAAUUCCCCAACUUGAAAUACAUAGUUGCACACCGUGAGAUAGUGCUGCAAUCUACUGAGAUCUAACUUAUUUGAUACUUUAAGCUACUAAUGUUUGCAUAUUUCUACAUGUUAAAUUGACACUACCAUCUAUAAUCACCCCAAAACGACAAAUGAUAAGCAGCUUUUGGCCACUUAUUAAUUACUAGCAUCCACAACACAAUUAUAAAUAAGAGAUCAUGGGUUUACUUGUUGCAACUACUUAAUGAUCUGCAUUUGAGACCCUGACGCAAGGUUUAAAUAGUGACUGCUUAGAACCCUUGUAGUUGGAUCUUGACCUCUCCCAUUGUAGCCAAGAUUGGCUACUCUGGUAAUGAAUCAACACUCUCCUGCUUAUUUUUUUGUUUUUAAAAAAUAACGAAAUCAUAAAAUAAAUAAACACGUGUUUGGUUUUGGGCAUUUUCUUUUGUUCAUUUAAUAUCAUCUGGCUCCCUGAUUUUUGACUAAUUAACAACGGAAUCCUGUUAGUUUCUAAAUUGAAAUAAUAAAAGGUCUUGAGAUUAUUUACUCCAUUUAGCACUGUAGACUUAGAGUAUAUUGAAAAAGCUUUGUCAAAUAGUAGUAAUAGGGGCAUAAUAAAUAAGUUUUUCAGAAUUUACAUAAUGUACUUUGCUCUAGGAAGAUUGCCCUCUUAUCACUCAAGUUAGGUUUUGCCUUAGAGUUGAGGUAAAUCAUUAAAAUAAAUUAUAGCUAUCACAAAUUCGUUAGGAGAAUUUCAAUUUUUUUUCCAUUAAAUGGCUAUGAUGCAAAAUUACCUCAGCUUAUAUUGCAACACUAAUACUUCAAAUCCUAACAAUAAAAUUGAUGACAAUGGUUUUUAUGUAUAGUAAUUUUCACUCUUUUGUUUGAUCUAAAAGUAGUUCUUAAAAUGACAAUGAUGACUUAUUUAGAAGAAAUGGCAAACUUAUAGUUUGUAAUAUUGUUUGCACAAACAAUAAAGACUAAUUUGAUAAUAAUGAAGUGUUAAUUACUAUUUAACAUUUUUAAUUAAUUUUUAAAUUUAAAAAAAAAUGAAGGCCGAAACUUGUGCAUUAAAUUUUAAUUAAAAGUUGAUUGCUUCGAAGGUUGGAUCGUGACAAAUUGACAAUUGAAAAAAGAAGUAGGGAAUAUAUAUUCUGAUGAAAGGGACAAGAUUAAGCAAGGGGACAAUAUUGUCUAUUGGACCUACAAAUGGGGGCAAAGAUAUAUAUAUUCCAAAAUUUCUUAUUUGUGGAUUGGCCACCACGUGUAACUAAUAUAAAAAGAGAAAAUUUGGCAUGGUUUUAACCGAUAUAAGGGUCCGUUUGGGAUUGAGGUGCUGUAGCUUUUAAGCUAUAGCUGCUGUGGAAAAAAAAAACUGUAAGUAUUAAAUAAAAGUUAAUAAUAUAUAGUAAAUAUAAAUUUUAAAUAAUAAUUUUGAUGAAAUUAUUAAAGAUAUAAUAGAUUUUCUAUUAUACAAAUGAAAAUUCAUAUCAACAUAGCUUAAAAGUUACAGCAGUUAGUGUUUACCAAACACUUUAGUGCUGUAGCUUUUAAGCUACAGCUGCCCAACCUCAAUCCCAAACGCACCCUAAGAAGAGAAAAUUUUGAGUGUAUAAGAAGAGAAAAUUUUGAGUGCACAACAAGAACAAAGCAAAACCCAUGAAAAUUCACCUUUCAUGUGGGUUGGAUUGGAUAAAAUCAAUAUCUUGAAUCAAACAAAAUGUUUGGUACUUGAAGGUUUUUUUAACAUUUUCAUUUUUUUUUCCAUUUAUGAAGUCCAUUUUUUUUUUAAUUUUGAUUUUUUUGAAUGAUUUUGCAGGUGUUGAUAUAAGGUCAUCAAAAGUUUGUGAACUUGGGGUGUUGAAUUAUAAGGCGAAGCGUGUGUUUUAUCCAUUUGAAGCAAGUAAAUUUCGCUGUCGGUAUGAUUACUAUUGGGCUUCUAUCUUCAAGGUAUUCAUACAUUUUCCCCUGUACUAUAAGCUUCUUAGUGGCGGUCUUGUGAGCGGAAGUGAGCAGUGUGGCUGACAGCUUCUUGAAAAUUAUAAGUUUGAACAGAGCAUGUUAGACUUUUGUUGACCAAAUUCGAAAGCCAAAUGGCACAGCUCAGAAGCUUUUGAAUUGAAUAACUUACUAGAAAGCUCCAAUUUUUUGUUGGCUAUAGUAAAAAGAGGUUGUUUUAUUCUUCUUAUACUUUACACUUGCAUCAGCUUAAAUCACUUCUUAAACGCUUUGCUUUAACUCCACCGCUUCGUACUGUUCUAUAUAUGUAUCGGGUAUGCGGUUGUAGUUCACUGCUGAGACUACGUGUUUGUUUAACGUGGAAGUUACGUUACGAGUCUGUUAAAACAUUCGGUGAUUAAAGUAUUAUCAGUUAUUUCAAAGGGACAAAUAAGAUUAGCUACAACACACACUAGUUUUAUAAAAUUCGAAUGAGAUGGAAUAAAAUAAAUAAGUAAAUUGACUUUUAAUUUAGUGCUUGAAUAUAUUUUGUAUUCUCUUUGGGCACUGCUGUAAUUGUUCCUUAUCACACCCAUAUGUUAUAGACACAAGAAAUGAAAUUUAAGAUCACCUGUUUAAUUAAAGAAUCACUCAUGAAAAAAUUUUGCCAUUUUGAUUUGAGGAUCCACAUUUUGAACAACCAACUUAUGUUCAUUAAGAACAAAGCAUUGCCUGUGAGUAGAAAAAUGAUUUUUGAACAAAUUAUUUUUUGUUUAUAGAAGAAUUUCUCAAGGGACUAUUAAAAUUACUAAUAAAAAUGUCAGACACACCCAUGUACCAUCGACAAAAUUAACUAUGAGGAUCCAUGUUUUGAACUGCCACCGAAUGUUCAUCAAGAACAUAGUAUAACUUGUGACAAGAAAAUUUUUUGAUUUUGGCCUGGAACAAAAUGAAAUUAAAUUGAAGGAGAAUCUACUACUUUCUCAUUAAGAAAGGCAGACGGGGCAUACCAUGGUACCAUACAAUACAAAAAGUUUCUGUUCUCUGGCUUUUCAAACUCUGAAGGGGGCAAUAUUCCCCAAUUGCCUUGUGAAAAUUCUGAUUACGACAUUAUUCAUCGCUUGAUACAUAAGUAAAAGUAGUGAUAAAAUUAGAAAAAAUAUGACUUAUAAGUAAUUACUUGGCAGGGCUCUUGAGAGCAACAUUGUGCUAGGCUUUAUAUGCAUACAUUGUGUGGUACAUUCUACACUAUAACACAAACCCAGAAAGACAAGUAAUAUCUCAACUUAUAUAAAGACAAAAAGAAGAUAAAACGAUACAGAACAAAAAAUUUCAAAGAGACAGCAACAUACAAUAGACUGAAGCCAGUUGAUCUGCUCGUUGAUUGCAGCCUUAAACUUGCAAAUGUUUACUGUAGCCUGGUGCUCUAAGAAGUGAAAGUGAUGCAAACCUUGAUUCCCUGUUUACUUCCAUUUACUGUCAAACAUUCUAUUCAUACGAAAAAAAUUGUUUAGAUAUCUUGCCGUAAAUAUAGCCAUUUGAUUGUCUUAACAAAGCCACACACAACCAUUCAUAUUGAUCCACUGCCCUUGAUCUUGAACAGAUCAAUACAAUACGCACAACUUAUGAUUGAAUCCAGAAACAAUCAAAUCUUUAGCAAGAAAAAUUAAUCAGAAUCAAGAAACAAGUUCAAUGAAUAUAAACCUAUAAUUGGAACAAACACAGCCAAAGAACCCAAGAAUGACACAACCUACACCACGGGAGAAGUUUUCCAGUGAGAUUUUAUUGAUGAUCAAAGAAGAAUCUUUUUACAAAGCUAACAAAAGAGAUUUCAGAGAAUAAGCUAUGACUCUCUCUCUUCAAUCUCUCUCUAGUUUGUUCACAGUGAUGACCCCAAUCUGCUUCGUUAGCCAGCUUCAUAACUGCGUUAGUGACAAACUAGCAAACCCAGAUUGAGCAGAUUACCGACACGUGGAUAACGGCUAUUAAGAACUUAGUUAAAGAACUGCUCACAUAUUCGUCAUGCGUGUUACUUAAAUGAUGGCCAAAACGACUUCAACCAGAUGCCGUUUUGAAGCUUGUGAAUUAUAAUUGAAAACACGUGCUUGUCUCGUGACACUUACAUACAACAACAAGCCCAAAACACUGCCGUUUCACUUUGUUGAGUUUGCCAUCUCUAAGCUUCACAACUAGCAACGGAGAAGAUGAUAAUUAAAUUGACAUGGAGAGUUUUUAUAUCACUUUUACAACAUUCUAUAUAAUUGUGAUAUUGGGAAUCGUCGGUGUUGUAUAUGUGAACUCUCGUUGGCGACACUGGUAGUUUUAUUUUUGUUGAAAUAUGGAUGACAUUUCGUUACUAUUUUAUUGUACACAACAUUUUGUUACUAUUAACAUGUUAGUUUCAUUAGCCACUAGGCCUUUGGCUGAGUCGUUCGGGUGUCUGCCCUCCAACUUGGAGGGCAGCAAUUUGAACCCCCACAAGCGCAAUGUUGGGUAUUUCUUUCUUUAAUCUCUCGAAUAUUAGUGAAUGUUAAAAUCUAGGCAGAACUCCAUAAGUAUUGAUGUAAGUUGGUUUCAGUAAUAGUUUAAUUUGUAAAUAUCAGUUAUAAUCUCAUGUAAGAUGAGUUGUAAUUUGAGCAAUAGUCUCAUAGAAUAAUAAUAAUAAUAAACAUGUUAGCUUCAUUACAUUUUUCUUCAUUAAAAUUCUCAAGUAUUAGUCAGGUUUGCUAAAGUAAUAAAAUUUUGCCAUUAAAAUUGUAGUAGUAUUUCUGAGCACCUCACAUUUUCAAUGAUUUUUCAUAAAUCAAUUAAUCUGUCGUACCGAUAUCAGGUUUAGUUUUUCAUACUAAACAAUCAAGAAAGCAAACAUACAAAUUCACAGUUUAGAGGGGUAAACUAGGUAGGUGGUUUAGAUUUUAGAACUAGGCUAGCUACCCCACUAAAUUCCAAUUUGUAUAGUGAACUACAAGAAAUUGAGAAAACAGUGUAUUUAUAGUUUAAUUGAAUCGUGAGAAAGCAAUGUAGUCAUAGCUCAAUCUGAGAUGAUCACGGAGAGGCAUAUUCUUUUCAAGUUAAUUUGAUCAAUUUAUAAGAGAUGAAGUGGAUUGAAGUUAAAAGUUUAAAUAACAAAUCCUUGUUCUUGAGUUUUACGACGUCGUUACUCCUUCAAGAGGCAGAUUAUUUAUGCAAGUGAAUGCAGAAACGCAAUGCAUCAUCCACGGGGAUGGUACACCAAAAGGCGGGAUCAUAGUCUAUGCCCGCAGAUUAACAAUUUCGCUCAUAUAGAAAAUUAAUUUUUUAUAUAUACUAAUCAAUACUAAAUUGAUUAUGUUUUGUAUGUUUAUAUGCGAAUCAACACUAAAUUAUAUUAAAUGAAGAAAUAAUUCAAUUUUUUCUAAUUUAAUUUAGAAAAUAAAAUUAUUAACAUUAAUAUUCCCAAAAAAAAUUAUUUUCCAUUAGUAUUCAAAGUCUUCACUUAUGGAAAAUGUGUUUUACAUGAAUAUUAGUUACCGUGUAAAUUUGAAUGAUAGUGAAAAAUAAUUUUUUAAUUAUUGUAAAAAUAAUUAACCAUAUCAAAUCCCUUACGUAAAUAAUUUUUAUUUUUCAAAAAGGUAGAAAGAUGGUUAAUGCACAAGCAAAUUUUAAGCCCCUCUCUUCUUGGCCUAAGAUUCAAACUCAGAUGACUAGUUAAAAAAACCUAUGUGAAAAUCAUUCGGCCAGGUCUGCGGGGCAAAAAUACAAGAUCCUUAAUUUCAUAAUAUAUAUGAAUUAAUGUCAUUUACUUGAAUUAUCCAAAUUCAUCAGAGGUUAUCGAAUUUUCCUGACAUGUAGCAGAUGAAGUUGUUGCUUCCUUCUUGGCAUUAUUUCAGCUCUGGUUGUUGGUCCCGAUGAGCUUUAGUCUUAUUUUAAUUUUAUUUAAACUCAUCAUAAGAUUCGUGAAGCACCUAACUGACUUAACUGACUGUGCAGAAAUGUCACAUAGCAUAUUUAACCGUUUUAACAGUAAUUUUGAACGGUCUUCGCAGUUAUCAUCUACAAACUCGUUCGUGUUGGUCCACUAGGUGAAGUUUUUGAAAUAAUAAUAAGCUCCCAUUCUUGAUUUUAAAAAAUGUGCUUAUAAUAAUUUUAGAAUAAUGGCUUAUUUAUAGAACAACUUAUGAUUUCCCAUUAGCAUUAUUAUUGAAGUGGGGUGGGUAACGGUUCACUCAAUUCGUCGGGAAUAAAAAAUUACCAUCCAAGGCAGAAUUGUGGAAAAUUAAAGCGAAAUGAGAAAUAUGGAAAUGAAGGAAGAAAGUUAAGGCAUGAAAGACUUCCAGUUGAAAUUGAUAAUCAUGUUUCUAUUUUGGUAACUAAUCAAAUGGGAAACUGAACCAUAAACAAACAUUAAAACGUGUGGACUCCGCUAGCUGCCUUACAAGCCUACAAUAAUAACUGAGUACCUUUGAUUCAUCCUUCUAUGAAUUUCUAGCCGUAUUGACUCCACCGAAAUUUCCACAAAAAAAAUAAAAAAAGAAUUUCCACAAAAUGCAAAAUGCAUGGCACUUAAUUUUUGGCCCCGUGAUCACUAAGAUACAAUCCUUCUAGGGAAGAGCAAUCAGGCAAAUUUUUUUAAAUCUCUCCGACAAAGUGAUUACCAUCUAAUCGCAACAUUGAAUAAAAAUAAAAAUUUUAAUGGGAGUUUGACCUUAGAUUUAGAAAAUGAAUUUUCACUUUCUUCAAUUAUUAAACAGAUUACAGACAUUUGAGGAAUUUGAAAACACUUUAUCCAUCGAAAGUUAAAAUUAGAGAUGGAAGCUAGGUGCUUCAACUAAUGGGAUCAUUAAUUCCCCUCCCUCAAAUGUGUAGUUGUUCCUCUUUCCACAGCAUAAGCCUUAUAGUUAGAGUUUCUUUUAAAAAAAAUGUUAAACAAUUUCGGUUGAGCAUGGUUUUGGUAGUUGAAUAGACACCUCCGCCGUACCUCAAACAAAACUGUCAUUAUUCGUGUCAUGAAACAUGUUUCGGCCGUCAAAGUCAUGAGUAGGAGUGGGCAUGGGUUGGUUUGGGUUAGGUUUUAAGUCAAUUCAAACCAAAUCAUAAAAAUUUGGGUUAAACCCAAACUAACCCAAAUAUUUUUAACCCAACCCAAACCAACCUAUUUCCUUCUGGUAUCAGAGCCAAGGGGAGGAAAGUGUUUUAUUGUUUUGAGUUUUUGUGUUCUAAAAUCUUGUGUUUUAUUUUGCCACCAGAAAGUAUCCCAUGUUUAUAUCUUGUUAAUCCUACAUUACCUAAAAUUGUUGAGACUGAUGCAUCUGAUUUAGGUUAUGGAGGCAUAUUAAAGCAAAAGGAAAAUGAUAAUGAAUAGAUAGUACAAUAUGUUUCUGCACACUGAAAUUUUGUAAUGCAUAAAACAAUGGAAAGGAUUUCUUUUUUGAUAGUAGAAUAAUUUUUCUGACAAUCAUUCCAGUGUGCAGAAACAUAUUGUACUAUCUGUUCAUUAUCAUUUUCCUUUUGCUUUAAUAUGCCUCCAUAACCUAAAUCAGAUGCAUCAGUCUCAACAAUUUUAGGUAAUGUAGGAUUAGCAAGAUAUAAACAUGGGAUACUUUUUACAGAAUUCUUUAUUAAUCUAACAACUUUUGUAUGUUCAUCUGUCCAAGGAGUAGGUUUCUUUUUUAAUCUGUCAUGCAAAGGCUUAGACAUUCUAUUAAUAUUAGGGCAGAAGUCAAGAACAUAAUUCAAACUGCCAAGAAAUCUCUGUAAUUGGGUUUUGUCAAGAAUUUUAUCAGGAAAUUUAUCGGCAAACAAAAGAGAUCUCUCGAUUGGAGUGAUUGUUCCUUUAGUAAUAUGAUGACCAAGGAAUCUGACUUUUGUUUGAAAUAAAGAAACUUUAGAACUGGAAAUUGCCAAUCCAGCCUUUUUGGUGGCAAAAUAAAAAGUCUUUAAAUGUUUGAAAUGUUGAUCGAUAGAAUUUGAAAAUAUUAAUACGUCAUCAAUAUAAACAAUGCAAAAAUCAGAAUAAGGAUUAUAAAUAUCAUUAAUAAUUUUUUGAAAUUCUGAGGGUGCAUUCUUUAAACCAAAGGGCAUAACAGUCCACUCAUACUGUCCAAAUGGAACAGUAAAAGCAGUUUUGUAACGGUCAUUAGGAUGAAUUUGAAUUUGCCAAAAACCAGAUUUCAUGUCAAAUUUUGAGAAAAUAAGAGCAGAACAUAAUUUUUGAAGCAAAUCCUUUUUAUUAGGUAUGGGAUACCUAAUCCAUUUUAAAGCUUUGUUUAAAGGUUUGUAAUUUAUUACAAGUCUUGGUAUGCCUCUCUCAAGUUCAGAAUUUUUGUUCACAUAAAAAGCAGCACAAGACCACGGGGAUCUAGAUUUUACAAUAAGUCCUUUGGACUCUAAAUCCUUGAUUUCAUUUUUACAAUGUUGUUCCAAUUCCAUGUUCAUUUGGAUUGGACGGGCUUUAGUGGGGAUCUGUCUUUCAUCAAAAGAAUUUUCAUAGGGUAGAUCUACCACGUGUUGUUUUCUGUUCCAAAAUGCAGAAGGUAGAUCAGCACAAAUUUCUUUUUCAAUGAGAAUUUUGAAAUCAGAAAUUUUUCUUUUAAUGAAAUCACUUUGUAAUUGGCUUUCAAUUCUUUGUAGGUUCAAAUCUUUUUGUAAAAACAUUAGAUCACACUGUUUUGAUUUAAGUAAAUUAUUUAUCCUGUUUUGAUAAACAGAACAGGCUUUAACAAUAUUCAAAUUUCUUGUUUUAGGCUUUUCAAUAAAAGGGAAAACAAGUUUCUUGUUUUUUGCUUUGAAGGAUAUACUAUCAUAAUUGACAGUAUAUGGAGUUAUAAGAUUUAUAAAAGGAGUUCCCAAAAUGAUGGCAUGAUGAAUAUCAUUUGUGAGAACAAAAGAAGUUUUAAAAUCAAAACCAUUAUUAUGGAUUGAGGCUUCAACCUUAGAACUGACAUUCAGUUUUGAAUUAUUAGCGGCAGAAAGUCUUUCUUUUGUCUUUUCAUGAAAUCUUUUGGGGACGAUGUCUUCUCUAAUGCAAUUUAAAUCGGCGCCAGUAUCAAAAAGGGCAAUGGCGUCCAUUGCAAAAUCAUCAGAAAAGAUUAAAGUGACUUUAAUCAAAUACUUUCUUGUGGUGAUUUGCUUUAAAACAAAUAGAAAAUCAUUGGGUACAGACUCGAUGUUUUCUACUUUAAUAUCAUCACCAUCAUCAGGAUUAGAUUCAUUGUCUGAAUUAUCCUGCAAUUGUUUUUGUAAAAGAAGUUGGAUAGUAUCAGAAUCACUUUUUUGUUUUUCUUUUAAAUCUCUGAUUUCACAUUUGAUUUCUUUUAUCUCUUUCUGAAGAUCUUGGAUAUUAGGAACCGUCUUCUUUUUUUUCUUUUUAUCCAAAAUUUGAGUAAGAUCAUAAGAAUUCUUUUUAACAAUUGGGACUUUAGAAGUCUCAGCUUUAUUAAAAUCCAAAGUUUUCAAAAGUUUAUCAAGAUAUUCUUUUUGAAGAUUCGGAUCAGAAAUAUGCUUUACAAGUUCAAGAAAAGUUUCUUGGUCUUUAGUCAAAACAUUGAUUUUCUUUAAAAAUGAAUCAGAUUCAGAUUCACUGCUGCUAGAUGCAGAGUCAUCUGAGUCAAUUAGCUCAUCAACUUGAUUAGGGUCACUGUCUCCCGACAUGGAAGACUCAGAAUCAGAAGACUCGAUUAGAAGAGGGGCUAAUUUGGAAAGGAUCUCUUCAUCGAGGUCAAGCUCAUGAAGCUUUUUGUUCAUUCUGCAAUAUUUUGCAGUAUGACCUUUUAUGCCACACUUAUGACAUAUAGCUUCUUUGUAAUUGAAAGGAGUCUUUGGUUUGGCUUUAAACUCUUUUUUAGAGAAUUUGGGUUUCUUAUAAGGCCUCGAAGGUUUCUUAUAAGGAAGUUCUCUAAAAUUACGAAAAGGUUUCCUAAAAUGUUUAGAUUUGUAAUGUUUCCUGCGAGGUUUAGUAGAACACUCACAAUUACAAUCUUUGGAGAUAGAAGUUUUAAAGGGGUCAUAAUUGAAUUGUUUACAGAAACCGCCUAAUUCUUGUUUAGACUUCUUAAGCUCCCACUUAAGUCGUUUCUGUAGUUUCAAAUCUUGACAAAUCUUUAAACCUUCCUUAUUGACAAAACUGACAAGUUCGCCAUAAGUGAGCUCAUCAUAAGGAAUACGGUUAUCAUAAAGGGCUUUAAUAGAAUUUCUUACCUUUUCACCUAGAAGGGUAGGUAAUCCAGCAAAAAAUUUUUCUUUCCAAGUAGUAUGAUUUGCAUCAUCCCUUAGAAAUAGUCUGGUAAGAAAUGAGGUUUUGUAGCUCUGAAAUUCACUAAGUUUCCUACAUCUUAAAUUAUGUAGUAACUCAGCGUUUUUAUCACGAAAGUGUGAAGGGUCACCAAUGAAAUGGAGGGAAAUGGUUAAAAUUAGAGUAGCAACAGCAUCCUGAAUAGGGUUGUUGAACUCAUCAAAAAUAGGGGCUCCAUUUUCAUCGACUUGAAUGGAAUUUAGAAUGUCUAAUUGUUGCUGACUAGUGAGAAGAUGAUCCCACCAACCUUUGAGUUGACCAGUAAAACCGGCAAUGAGGAUUUCUGAUAUGGCACGAUCAGAAGUUCCUGCUUGGGUUUUAUAGGCAUUGGCUGCCAUUGUCAUUUGUUGCAACAAUCCUAGGAUAUUGUAUUCGGACAUACCGUCAAUAUUCCACUCAUAGACUGAAGAUGCAUUAUAUCGGGAUUGAUUUAAUGCACUUGGUCUAUUAUCUAUCGCUAGAUCCGGUGGAGUCUUGACAGUGGGAAGGGCUAAUUCCCAAUGAAUUUUGUUUGCCUUAGGAGUGGGUUCCUCUUGGAAAGCAUCAACGUCCGAAGAGGCUAUAGAAGUUUGGUCAUCUUGUUCUAAUACUCCAAUCUUGCUAGAUUGGGGAGUAUCAGGGGCUAUCUGAAUUUUGCUAGAUGAGGAAGAAGCAGCUUCUAUCCUAUCUAGUUGUUCUCUAAUGGCUUUAGCAAAAUCUGAUUUUGACUCUUGAACAAGCUUUUGGCUAGUUUUCGAAACCUGAAAAGGUUUGAAAAUAGGUUUCUUAAGCUUUUUGUCAGAAUCCGAUUUUGUUGGAAUAGGAGAGAUUGAUGGAACAGUAAUGGUUGACUUCUGGAUUUGGUUUUCUAUCCUAGUCAACUGUUUUCCAAUUGUAUUUAAGUUAGUAUUACAGAAAUUAUUCUGUUGGAUAAUACUACUUAAAUUUGCCUCGGAAUCAUUUGGUUUUGGGAUUUUGUAAGGUGAAGCUCGGAUUUGGACAGGAGGUUCACCGUGAUCAACGGUUAUACUCCGAAGAGGUGGGUGUUCAGACUCUAUAGUUCUAUCACUAUCAAGAAGUUUCCAUUCAGGGACUUUCUUCCUAAUAGUAAUAGGGUUUGACUCUUUAAAAUGAUAAGAGAUGUUGUUAUCGGAAGAAUAUAUCUCAAACCAAUCAAAAAACAAUAUAUGAAUUUUAUGAAAAUUCACAAAUUCAUAGUAAGUUUGUUGGAUUUCUUUUCUUUGGUUUAAAAAGUGUUGAAAAACCAAAGUCUUUUUUCUUUGUUUAAAUCAGAAUAAAAAUCAUUAUGCAGAAAAGUUUUAUCUAAUUCAAAUUCUUUUUCAAUGACAUUAAUGACAUUUUCUGUAACAGCAGAAAAUGUAGGGGAAGUUGGAGGAGAAGGUUCCUUCUCUUCCUGACUUUGUAAAUGUUGAUUACUAGUGUAGAUUGGAUGAGGAACACUAGUGGUGUAAUCAACUGAUCGAAUGGAGGUACCUGUAGCUAAACCAACCUAUUUGGAUUUGGGUUUGGUUUGAAUUUUAUAAUUAAAAUAUUUUUUAUUUUAAUAAAUUUAACUAUAUCAAAUUAUAAUAAUUAUUAAUUAAUAUUAAUUAUUAAAUUAAUAUUAAAAUACGAAAAAAUGUAGUGGAUAAAAAUUAUGAAUAAUGGAUUUUACAAUAACUUUGUUCUUAAAUAUUAACCAUAUUACAACAUAAAUUCUAACAAUGUCAAUACAAAUUAAAGUAAGAUAAGAUAUCUCAACUCAAGCAUCAAAGCAAUCCAUCAAAAUUAAAUUAUUUAAUUUUAUAAAUUUAAAUCUUCCGAGAAAUAAAUCUAAAAUUUAUUGUAAUUAGAAAAAGCGCCAAAAUUUUAAACGCAGUAAGAAAAAUUAGACAUGAAAUCUAAUUAGGUUUAAAUUUAAUUAAAAAAUAACAAUAGAAUCAUAUUUUAUUUGAUAAAAUCUUAAAAUCAAUUGCAUUUUUAAUUUUAGUAAGUUACAAUACAAAUAGGAUUAUAAAAUUAUAUUACAGGAUUUCAUAAAAAUAUUGUUUGAGUAAUUUAUUAAAGGACUCACCUACGUUGCCACAGUUGUAGCUUACCACGCUUUUUGUCUUUUUCCAGUAAAAUCGUAGGAUGCUUUCAAAUUUAAUCUAACGGCUGCAAUUAAUUAUUAGAUAAUUUAAUCAGCCAUUGGCAACCUUUACAACCGGUUAUAUUCUCUCGUUACAUUUAUCGGCUACCAAACAAUCCCCAAGAAAAUGACGAAGUGAGUAACUAAUACACACACCGCAGAGAAAGAUGACAGGAGAAGAGAUGACGGUAGGCCCACCGGCACAAAGGUUCUUCGAUUGCUCUAUUUCUUCGGCGCCGGAUUUAUCUACACAGCUACAAUCGACAAGUGGCGGGAACUCGAGCGGAAGUCAUUGAAAAAGAAACAGCAAGAGAGCAAUCUAUGGACUGAUGAUAACUCAGCAACUACGGUAAAGAAAGCCGUCAAAUGAUCUUUUUAUUUGACUUUUGAUGGAUUUUCAAGAGUUUUGGUAAUAAAAUGUCUCUUAAUUUUUCAUUUCAAUGGCCUAUUGUUUGAGUUAUUAUUAUGCAUAAUUGUUGGAAGAGUUAGGGUUUUACUAUUGGAUUUUGGAAUUUGUAUUUUGGCUUUGAUAUGUUAUUGUUGUGAUGUCGGUCAAGAAAUUUUUGACAACACUCUCCUCGAGUUUGAUACUAUAGCUAAUGAAUUUUUAUGGCAGAUAUAUAUUUUUCUUUGAAAAAAAAAAACACUUUACAACUGGUUAUGCAUUCAUUUAGGAGCUGUUAACUGAGCGUGAGUUCCAUAAUUUUCCAACCAGUGGUUAGGGUUUCACAGAAAAAUGUCGACAUUGAUCUUUAGGCAGCACUUAAGACUGAAAUUGGUUAUAGAGGAUCGAAUUUGGGGAACUAGAAAUUUCUGAUCAUUAAUAAUUGAAAAUGGCCUCUCACUUGUAGGCAGUUGUUGGAUGUAAUGUAUCCAGUUUCUGAAAUCGAAAGUAGAGUGAGUUCUUAAGUUAGAUGUACCUACAUGCAUUAAGGUUCGAAGAUGUGGAAUAGGCCAAUUGUUUGAUGUCAGCUUUGUUGCACAUGUUCUGAAAUUGAUCAUUUAAGAUGGCUUGGAAGCACUCCGUGAUGUGACUAAGAAGAUUCGAGGAAGUAUUAAAUAUGUUGAAAGUUCACAAUUAAUACAAGGUAAGUUCAAUGAGAUCACCCAGCAAGUUGAAAUCAACAGUCAAAAGAGCCUAAAGUGUGAUAUUUUUCUCUUGGAUUGUUUUUUUAUUUUCCAUUUCAAAGCUGAUAGUGUAAAUAUUUUGUUUGCAAAAGUUUCUAAAAAGUACUUGAGUCAAGAUGGUUAGGUAUUUCGUAACUUCCUUUUUACUCUUAACUAGAUUCAUAGAGAGUUAUAACAUUAACAUAAUUUUUUCUUUUAAAAGUGAUCAAUUAGACACUGAUGAGAUAUCUCACUUUUGAAUCAUUUAGCUUUAUGUAAUUUCAUUACUAUUAUAUGCCCCCAGGAAUUGUUGAAGUAUAUAUAUCUUGGCAUUUCUUCACUGACUGAAUUAUCUUUCAUAAUAUUCCAGCUUCAAAUGGGUACACUGCAGAGCCGAUUGGAUGCAGAAUUCCUUCUAGCUCAUAUGUGCUCUGUAAAAUUCAAAGACUGAAUAGUGGUUAUGGCAACUCUUUUUAGAUGAUCUAAGGUAUAAUGCCCAAUUAUUGCUUUUGCUUUAUCUGUUUUACCUUGCAACAUUUUGAAAUUUAUGAGAAGCAUAAAAUUACUGAGCCAAAAUUGAGGAUCUGAACUUUCGUAAAAAUAUUCGUAUUUUUAAAUUAUAAAAUAUUGCAUUUGAUGCUUUAGGUGGAACUUAGUUCACUACAGAAAGGAAAAUUAUGUUGGGCAUAACCAGAUGCUUUUCAAGAGAAAAUUUCACUGAUAUUUUUCUGAGGAUUUUACUUGGCCAUCUUAUUUCAAGCUGCUUGAAUUUUUUCUUUAUAUCAUCUUGGUUGUAUACUAUAACUCGUUGAAUUUGCUAGCACUUUUGCUAGUUGGUUAUUCUAUAUGUGAUUAUGGUGGUAAAGUUUGGAAGCUCAAAAAGUAAUGGAACUUAGGAAGAGUAUGACAUAGAAUGCUGGAUAGAAUUAAAAUAAUCAUUCUUCAGGCAUCCAAAGAUGAUGUAUUCAAAAUAGCUAGUUUUGACUUUUGAGGCCGUAUAAAUAACUAUUAUCUCACAUGGUUACAUUAUGAUAGGUAGGCACUAGCUUAAUAACUCCAAUUAACUUGAAGUUGUUACCUGAUUUAUUAUGACAGUGUGCAUUACGAUAAGUAUCCUUGCAUAUUAAGAUUUUCCUUCCAGAUCUUUGCGGUACUUUUUGAUCUUUUCCGACAUGAUAUGCGAUUAUGGGAAGCAUAUGCCAUCACCUUACAGGUAUUCUCUUAAUUUUUAGAUAGUGCUCAAGAUGACAUUCAAGUUGGCUAUUAUUGGGUGCAAGAUUUACCAUGCUCUUAUUUUGCUUUUUUAGUCUAACCCGAUAUUUGCUUAAUACCAUGAUCUGCUUCAAGCCUUGGAUGAAAAACUUUCAUUUUUUGUAUAUUCUGCAAUGAGAUGAGGGUAGUUUUUCUGAUGAUAUUUGGCAGUAAAUUGGGACUAACUAAAGUAAUUUUCUUAAUGGCAUGUCUACUUCUCAGAUGAAUGACCGUCUGUUCAGACUCCAAGGUGAUGAAUUAACAACCACCGAUCUAUUCUGGGUGAAGAUGAUGACGUUGACACCAAGCCAGUGGAAUGACUAGGACUUCCCUUUUGUUACAAUAAAUUGCGUUCAUUAGACACACGCAGUUAAUUAGUGUAGAUAAAGGAGGUCUAUGCACUAUAGACUGUUUUGUAUUUCGAGAGUCCUUUUUUUGUUUCUUUCAUUCUCCAUUCUUUUGAAAUUAUGUACAAUGGUUAUAUUGUCUGUAUUAUUACGGAUUUAUGAUGGGAGUAUCCCAAGUUUAUGGAAUAAUUAUAAAUAAGGACUUUAAAUUUUUGUUGAAAGAAGUUGAGUGAGAGAAAAGAAGCUAAAGCAGUAAGCAUUUGUUAUACUUCAUUCGAUUGUAUCUAAAUUACAAAGGUUGGUGGCCUUAUUUAUAGUGAAGUUCCCACAGGCCACUUGCACUCAAAACAUUCGAAAUAUGCAAACAUAUUGAUAUAUAAACAUACAGAAUUAAUAUUCUGAAACCUUGUAAGUAAUGCAAAUAAAAGUGAGGUUGGGGCAGCCAAUAUUUACAUCAUGUAUUAAUAGAAAUAAAAUCAAUUAUUUCCAAAUAAAUUCACUUAGUUCAAAGCACGGGCUUCGGUUAAGUUGAACAAGCAAGCCAAUUUUUGUUGUUACUUCAUGAUUGUAGUAAGCUGUGGGUAGUGGAUUGUGUUCCCUAUAAAAAAACAAACAGAAGCAUAAGUUUCUCUCAAUUAAGGCACCUGAAAUGUAUUUCCAUGUCUACUAACCUGGUCAUUCCUCCAUGAACUAAACCCUUCUGAGGAUCUUGAAUAGAUUUAUAGAGAUCUCAGAUAAUUUCCUCAUGGUGUGCCUAAGUAAAGACAAGUCUUAUGUACUUGAUUACUUCUGGCCAAUCCAUCGAGGCCACCACCUGUCUCAGUCAAUUCAAUCUUUUAAUAGAGUGAAUUACUAGAAUAAAAUUUAUUAAAGUUGAUAUAAAAUCUAAAUUAAAAAAAUCAGAUAAGAGAAUGAUCCAAAAUCCAAAAAAUCAGAUAUUUAAGGAGUGGACUUGUGACCCUCUAUAGAAUCCAUGGAAGAGUAACUAAGGGAAAAACAUUAGAGGUACUUUUGGCGAUACUAUUAGUAUUCUUGUGCUGAUCAUAAUCUUGGGGGUAGAUCUAGACUAAUUAGCUAUUCAUUGAACAUUCCAUUUCUCCACAAUUACAUGCAAAAGUGCACCUUGCAGUUGCAGCCUAGACCAUAGAAAUAUAGAAUUCCAAUUAUCAACAUCUAAAGCUACUGUAGUGACUUGCAACCAUGAGAUGAUAUAUACAUAUGCUGAGAUUCAAAUAUUUGAGAAGUUUAAACAUCCUGAUGAAAAAUAGACUAGUUCACAGCUACUUUGGGGAAGUUGAUUUCUAAUAGCAGUAGAAAAUACAAGUUUUUUUAAACAUACCUACUCCAGUAAACUCAAUUAACCAAAACAAAACUCAAAGCAUGAAAAAGAGGGAUUUUAACUAACCUAAUCAUUAUCAUUGAUAUUUUAACAUAUUGAUCUUCACAUGGAGUUAACAAACACAAGACUUAGUGCCUAGUACAUAUGUCUGGGGUUGCACAGUCUGUUCGACAAAUUUAUUGAAACUAUAUCCAUGCUCCUUCUCCAAUAAAUAAAUAUCCUCUUGCUUCUUCCAUCCUACUCUAAUUCUUCCUGGAAAGCAUUCUCCCCUUCUCUAAUUCUUCCGAAAAAACAUAACCGACAAUCCUAAACUAAUUACCACCGUUAAAUCUUUCAAACAAAAUUUACAAUUUCUUAUCAGUAGUUUCCUGCCGCAUCCGAUCGAACGGCUCAUCAACGAAUCAAACAGACUUCUUUCCACCCUUUUUCCAUAUAAUUACAUUUGCCUAAUUCCUAAAGUUUCGGCUCCGCCCAAUGUCGGCCGCAAUUGGCUGCCACAGCGAUAUGUUCAUCUUCAACUUCUCUGCUGCGAUUUCAAAUUUACUUCAGCCUCGUACCACCACACUUCCACUGGCAAUUAAUUUCAUUAUCCGAUUUUACUAUGUGUGGAAUAGAUUUGAGCAAUUUAUGAGUUUUCGCUACGAUUUCGACGAUGUCCUCUCAACACUAAUUUGAUCACCUAAUUUUAACUGUUUUGGGUUAUUUAUUUUUUAUUAUAUUUAUAUACAGUCUCUGCAGGCAACCGACUACUUUACUUAUAUGUGGAACUCAUCUGAGUCAUUAGAUGAAGGCCCUCGAGAUCCUACGGUGAUUAUAUAUGAGGACAAAAUGUGUUGUACGUUGCAACUGUUGCAACGUAGGAGGAUCCUUUAUUAAAAUGUUAAUUUAAUCUUUUAACUCAAGUUGAGACCGUAAAAAAUUGUUAUAUAAUAGUGUACUGUACAACCAAUUGCAUAUGUAUUUAUCCUGUGCAGCACUUCUAUUAUUAUUAUAUAAUAAUAAUUAGUAGUAGUAUAAUUACUAUAUAAUAAUAAUUAUUAAUAGUAUAAUUAUUAUAUAAUAAUAAUUUUAAUAAAAAAUUAUUAUUAAAAUAUUAAUUUAGCCUUUUAUUUUGUUUAAUUUACUUUUCAUUAAUAUGUUAUCUUGAAUUUGUUCAUGACCCAUGGGUAAACUAUACCCAAACUAUUAUAAAAUAAUUUUUUUCAUAAAAAUUCAAAUUUAACCCAUUUCAUGAUUUAUCCAACUCAAACCAUUUAAUUUAAUAGUAGAUAAAGGCCCAAUUUAACCCAUUUCAUUUAAUUUAAUAGUGGAGAUUCGGUAGGGUUUUAUUUCCUUCUCUUUGCUGUCAAACGAAAUUAUGUUACUCGAGUCUUAAUUUGUGUCUCAGUAAUUAAUCUGAUGUGACUAUUAUAACAAGCUGCCACAUCGAUUGAUGGCCAAGUAAUUGGAUAUUUAAUAUUACUCAAUUAAUAAAUUAACAAUAUAUUUGAGUUUUUAAGCUUUUUUCGGGUCAGAUCAUUAAUAACACAGAUUUUGCUGUAAUCUCAGGUUGUGUAAUUGAGUGCAUAAGAAAAAAACAAAACAAAAAACUAUUCAAAAAAAUUAAUUUCAUAUAAUAAAAUUAUACUUUUGUUAUAAUUUAACUUAGUAGUUAUUUUAAUUUUUUCAACAUACACAUAUAUACACAUAAUAAAAUUAAUUUCAUAUAAUAAAAUUAUACUUUUGUUAUAAUUUAACUUAGUUAGGACUCUGUUUUCUAGAAACAGAGUCCUAACUAAAUUAAUUGACUGUACAGUACAUUUCAACAUAGCAUAUUUAACCGUUAACCGUCUUCUGAGUUAUCAUCAACAAAUUCAUUCAUAUUUCUCCAGUCUUACGGACGAUAUCAUAUGUUUAAUAAUGAAUGAAUAGUCUUGGAUCAGUGUUUUGCAGCAAAUUCACAUCAUAGUUUUGAUUCUUUAGAUAUGAAUUCAUCACAUUACCGAAAAGAAUACGCGCUAAAAAAUGAUUCCAAGACUAUUUGACUACCAAAAGCUGCUGUCAGAGUGCACUGAAAGUUUCCGUAGGAUACUUUGCGGUUGUUUAUUAUGUUAUGAUGGGCAUAUAAUUCUCAAAUUUUGACUCCUCUCAGCGAAAAAUAUAUCAAAGUUUAGAUUAUGUGUUCGAGCUUUAAUAAAUGCCUGAGUUAAUAAUAAUAACAACAAUAAUAAUAAACUAAAAAGCAAAAUUACUAUUGAAUGAUCGGAAAAAAAAAAAAAAUUGAAAAUGUGUGAACUCCAAUAACCACCCCACAAAUUUAGUGGCGAAUUUUGGAGAGGGCAAGGCUGGGCUUCUCAGAAAAAAAAUGACGAGUAGAAUUGUGGAAAAUUAAAGCAAAAUGACAAGUAUGGAAAGGAAGGCUGAAAGUAAGGCAUGACGAAAGUCUUUGAGAAGGCUGAAGACUACCAAAGAAGACAACUGAAAGCUAGCUGGGGCGUGAGUGUAUAAAUUGUUAGAUGUGUUUGUUAUAAAUAACAUAGAGCCCUUUUGUUAUUUAUAGUUAUAGAGAAAGAGAGAAUGUGUGUUUUUUAAUAGUUAGAGAUAUAGCUAGAAUGGGUGGUUCAAAAUCCAAAAUGGUGACAAUGUUAGUUCUUAUAUUAAUAAUAUUAGGAAGAAGGGGGGGGGGGGGGGGGGUGUGGAGUGAGGGAUGUUUGGAGCAUGAGGAAUUUGCUCAUUUCUGGCUUAAACAUUUCUUCAAUUCCCCUUAUAGACUUCAAAACUGGGUAGAUGAACAAAGGGAAAGGGUUGAGUGCAGCAACUCCACAGGCCGAGUGGUACAACUACACCUUAGUCUUACUAGGAAUAUCGAUCUGGGAGUGUGGUAUCUGAAUGCUUCUCUAUUUACUUCCUUUCAACAACUUGGUAACAAAAUAGCCGGCUGCAUGCGUUGAGAAUGAAGGUCCUUCAUUUAAUUUAAUUUACUUAAUUUCUCCCUCCUAAUUAAUGUCUAUAACCAUUGGGAGGAACAAGGGAUUUUAUUAACUCAAAUAUAUGUAAUGGAGGAGCUCAUUCUUUGGUUUUACUUGCAGGUCUAGAAGCAGGUGUCAUCUAACAGCUGCUUUGAUAAUUUCCCACCCCUUCAUCUUUGAUGGAAAGAUGAAAUAAAAACAAAAUGGUGAAAAUGGUAUUGGUACCUGAGGCUAUGUAAUCUAAUUCAACAACUGCACCAUCAAAACGAUUACAUAAGUCCCAGAAGAAUCAAACAUUAGUUUGCAAAAUAUCAAUUGCUGGAGGUUAGAUUCUAACUUCCGCUCUUGAUUUUUAUGGGCAUGUUGUAUUGUACUUGCAUACGAAAAUCAUAUUUUAGUUUACUUACACUCAACGCUUGGAUUAAAGUUUUAGGUGGGGAAAAUUGAAGGAGACUAAAAUGACUCAAAAAAAUAGUUGAAUGAGUGAGGGUUUUGUCUUCAUUUAAGGAGCUCUUUAUAAAUUUUAGGAUUUUUUUUCCCUGAGAAAAUUUAUGCCAACUUAUUCUUUGCUUCUUUUCUGAAGGGACAAAUGCAACUAAAAGUGUAUUCUUGAAUUCUCCAGGAUAAGAGACAUAUGUUUAAUUAGAUUCUCGAGCCUUCAAAACAAUAUAAAAUUUUAGAUUGAUAAAAUUUUAUAUAUCUGAGCAUGAUGGUGUUUGACAUGACUUAAAACUGUUUAAUUUACUCUCACAUACAAGAAUGCCUAGUUAUAUUGUAGCUCAGAGUCUGAGGUUAAUUCAUAAAGAAAUGAUUUAAUUUGUUUAUUUAAGAUUAUCCCAAAAAAUAAAAAUAAAAUUUAAAUAUAUGUAAUUUAAUUUGAAAAAAGUUAUGAAAUUAAUUAUUUAGGGUCAUGGAUCCACUCUUAGUAAUAAAUACAAUUUAAUAAAUUCUUUUUAUUUUUAUUUUAUUGCCCAAAAGAUUAAUUAUAUAAAUUAUAAUUAUUUUCCCAUUAAUUUUAUUAUGGAUUAAGUACUUAAUGUGCCAAAACUUAACUUAUCUACAAUAAGUCAAAAUACCAUUUUACCAUAAUUUAUGCAAAGAUAUUAAGAAUUCAUGUGCCAAACUCCCAUGUUUGUCUACAAUAAAUCAAAAUUUCAAAACAUAAAAUAUGGAUCAAAUUAAAUAAAAAAUAAUUUAAUUUAUAUAAUUAAAAAUAGAAUUUGAUUAAAUCAUAUUUUUCUACUCAGAGUUUUACCUCACCCUAACUAUUAGUAUUUAGCUAAACAUAUUUGAAAUAAAUGAAAUUAUUAAAAUUAAAAAAUACAUAAUUAAAAAAAUGGUAUUUGAAAAUUAGAAAUAAAACUAAUUUUAUUUAUUGAAAAUGUAUUACAAAGAGAGAUGAGAAGAAGAAUUUGAGGGGAAAGAAGAGAAGAAAAUGUGUGGAGAGGUGUGUGAAAUUAUAUUGUAAAGAUGUUACACAAACAAAUGAAUAAAAAAAAACUAAAUGAAAAUUACACAAAUUAAAAAGAAAAUGAAAAUUAAAUAAACAAGAUAAAUGUGCAAGAAAAAAAUGCACAAUAAAAAUAAAUAAACUGAAAAGUAAUUAACUAAAAUUAAAAUAACUAAAUAGGCGGUAAACAAAGUAAAUGCCAAAAAUAAAAUAAGUGCGAAAAUUAAAUUACAGAAAUUAAAAGAAGAAAGAAAGAAAAAAUAAUUAUCUCAAAGUGUAAACUCUUUUUCUUUUUCUUUUCAAAUUUUAAAUAUUACCAGCCAAUUAAGUGAUUAAUUCAAAUUAUUAGGCUUUAAUAGUAAUUUUUAAAAUCAAUAUUCAGUUUAUUGAGUCCAAAUAAGGUCCAAAGAAGUUCAAGUUGUUGGUCUAAAAUUAAGAAUUUUGGGAAAUAUUGGCAACGGACCUAUUCAAAAAGUUCUAUAAUUUUAUGGUCAAACUGCAAUUAUGAGAAGAAUGAUCCAAAAAUUAGAAUUUUUGGGGUGAGUGAGAUUUAGAAAAUUUUGUGGAUAUAACAUAAUUUAAGAAAGAAAAAGGAGGUAAAUGAAAAUUUAUACAAAAAGUAAAAAAAGAAAGAAAAAAGAAAACAAAAUAAAUACCUCUCCCGGCAACGGCGGUAAAAACUUAACACGACUUUAAAGUAUUUAAUUUACUCUUAAGUAUAAGAGUAGCUAGUUAUAUUAUAUCGCGAGAAGUCCGAGAUCGAUCUACAGAAAAAUGAUUUAAUUUAUUUAUUUAAGUUUAUCUAAAAAAUAAAAUUAAAAUUAAAUACAUGCAAUUUAAUUUGAGAAAAACUAUGAAAUUGAAGUAGUUAGGAUUAUGGAUCUACUCCUAGUAAUAAAUGUAAUUUAAUAAAUUUUUUAAUUUUAUUUUAUUGACCAAAAGAUUAAUUGUAUAAAUUACAAUUAUUUUCCCAUUAAUUUUAUUAUGGAUUAAGUACUUAAUGUGCAAAAGCUUAACUUGUCUACAAUAAGUCAAAAUACUAUUUUACCAUACUUUAUACUAAGAUAUUAACAAUUCAUUGUGCCAAACUCCCAUGUUUGUCUACAAUAAAUUAAAAUUUCAAAAUAUAAAAUAUAGAUAAAAUUAAAUAAAAAAUAAUUUAAUUUAUAUAAUUAAAAAUAGAAUUUGAUUAAAUCAUAUUUUUCUACUCAGAGUUUUACCUCACCCUAACUAUUAGUAUUUAGCUAAACAUAUUUGAAGUAAAUGAAAUUAUUAAAAUUGAAAAAUACAUAAUUAAAAAAAUGGUAUUUGAAAAUUAGAAAUAAAACUAAUUUUAUUUAUUGAAAAUAUACUACAAAAAGAGAUGAGAAGAAAAAGUUGAGGGGAAUGAAGAGAAAAUAAGGUGUGGAGAGGUGUGUUCCUCCCCCCACCUCUCUAUUUAUACUAAUACGUGAUUAAUCCACACAACACAAAUAAAUAAAACUAAUUACAUCUUAGGCAUACAUUUGUCCUACUAACAAAACAUAAACCUAAGUUAAUCCACUUAAGCACAUCCAACACAUUUCACUAAAAAUUACCACACCUAACAUGAUAAAAACUUAUAAUUUCACAAUUACCACUUUUACUUUUACAACAAAAGCCGCGAAUCUUCUCGACAAUGACCUAAUUUCUCGGACUUUCGGAAUCUAAAAGUUUAAAUAAUAUUAAAUUUAUCUAAUAUAAAUAAAUGUAUUAAAUAAAAUAAUGUUUCAUUUUAUAUUUACCCUCCUUUUAUUAAAUUUCCUAUAAUUAUAUUUAAUAAAAUAAAUAAUAUUAUAUAUUUAAAUAAUAUUAGUUAUAUUUAACUAAAUUAAAGCAAAAUGACAAGUAUGGAAAGGAAGGCUGAAAGUAAGGCAUGACAUAAGGCUUUGAGAAGGCUGAAGACUACCAAAGAAGACAACUGAAAGCUAGCUGGGGCGUGAGUGUAUAAAUUGUUAGAUGUGUUUGUUAUAAAUAACAUAGAGCCCUUUUGUUAUUUAUAAUCAUAGAGAAAGAGAGAAUGUGUGUUUUUUAAUAGUUAGAGAUAUAGCUAGAAUGGGUGGCUCAAAAUCCAAAAUGGUGACAAUGUUAGUUCUCGUAUUGAUAAUAUUGGGGGGGGGGGGGGGGGGGGGAGGUCGAGUGAGGGAUGUUUGGAGCAUGAGAAAUUUGAUCUUUUGCGGCUUAAACAUUUCUUCAAUUCCCCUUAUACACUUCAAAACUGGGUAGGUGAACAAAGGGAAAGGGUUGAGUGCAGCAACUCCACAUGCCAAGUGGUACAACUACACCUUGGCCUUACUAGGAAUAUCGAUCUGGGAGAGUGGUAUCUGAAUGCUUCUCUAUUUACUUCCUUUCAACAACUUGGUAACAAAAUAGCCGGCUGCAUGCGUUGAGAAUGAAGGUCCUUCAUUUAAUUUAAUUUACUUAAUUCCUCCCUCCCAAUUAAUGUCUAAUGGAGCUCAUUCUUUGGUUUUACUUGCAGGUCUAGAAGCAGGUGUCAUCUAACAGCUGCUUUGAUAAUUUCCCACCGCUUCAUCUUUGAUGAAAAGAUGAAAUAAAAACAAAAUGGUGAAAAUGGUAUUGGUACCUGAGGCUAUGUAAUCUAAUUCAAAAACUGCACCAUCAAAACGAUUACAUAAGUCCCAGAAGAAUCAAACAUUAGUUUGCAAAAUAUCAAUUGCUGGAGGUUUGAUUCUAACUUCUGCUCUUCAUUUUUAUGGGCAUAUUGUGUUGUACUUGUUGGAGAAUUAACAAAUAAAACACACACAAAAACACACUAUUUUAUUUCUUCAACAACACUUCUCACUAAUUACAAUUCUUAUUUUUCACUCUCUACACCUGAGAGAUUUUGCUACUUCACUUGAUAUUUAAACCAAAGGGGAGAGGGGGUAUUUAUACAUGAAACAAACUAAUCACAACCAUUCAUUUAUUCAAUUAAUACACAAAUCCUCACCAUCCAUUAAAACCUACCACACCUAACACACCUAACACAAAUAAUUCAAACCUCACCAACCAUACCUACUCAUGGAACCUUCCAUGAGUUGGGCUUGAUUUAUUCAUCUUGGAUCAAGUUUAUGAUCCAACACCUCCCCUUAAACUUGAUCCUGUGACACCAAGCAAACUUCUGAAUCUUACAAAGUCUUCUUGCUUGAGUGGCUUAGUGAAGAUAUCAGCUGCUUGAUCUUGUGAUUUUACAUACUUGAUUUGCACUUCUUUUCUUGCAAUACACUCUCUUAUGAAAUGAUAAUGAGUGUCUAUGUGUUUACUUCGAUCAUGAAAGACUGGAUUCUUGGAUAGGGCAAUUGCUGAUUUGUUAUCAACACAAAUCUCGGUUGGCUCUUCUUGUGCCAAACUCAACUCCUUCAGUAAAUUUCUGAGCCAAAUUGCAUGACAAACACUUGAUGUGCCAGCUACAUAUUCAGCUUCACAGGUGGAUAGCGUGACAAUUGGUUGCUUCUUUGACAUCCAUGUGAAAGCAGUAUCUCCCAUGAAGAACACAAAUCUCGUGGUGCUCUUUCGAUCAUCUACAUCUCCACCCCAAUCGCUAUCGCUAUAUCCAACAAGCUUGUAGUCAUUAGAAAAUGAGUAUAGCAAGCCGAAAUUAGUUGUACCUUUGAUGUAGCGAAGGAUUCUUUUUGCAGCUUUAAAAUGGGUAGUCUUUGGAUUCUCCAUAUAUCGGCUCACAAAUCCAACAGCAUAAAGGAUAUCUGGUCUUAUGCAUGUCAAAUAACGUAGGCUUCCAACCAAACUUUUAAAGAAUGUUGGAUAUAUAUCUUCGCCUUCAUCAUGUUUGGAUAACUUGACUCCGCAUUCCACUGGCGUGCUUAUAGGCUUACAAUCAUUCAUCUUGAACUUCUUGAGAAUCUCCUUUGCAUAGCUUUCUUGGGAGAUAAAUAUGCCUUCUUCCUUUUGCUUGACCUCAAUGCCGAGGUAAUAUGCCAUCAGUCCGAUGUCAGUCAUCUCGAACUCUUUGAUCAUCACUCUCUUGAACUCUUCAAACAAGCUUGGAUUACUUCCAGUGAAGAUGAGAUCAUCCACAUACAGGCACACAAUCAAAAUAUCUCCAUCUUUUUCUUUGACGUAGAGAGCAUGUUCAUAUGGGCAUUUGGUGAAGCAUUUCUCUUGAAAAUACUUGUCAAUUCUGCUAUUCCAUGCCCUUGGUGCUUGCUUUAACCCGUAAAGAGCUUUCUUCAAUCUCAAAACUUUGUCCUCAUGUCCUUUCACCACAUAGCCUAAUGGUUGUUCGAUGUAAACUUCUUCUUCAAGGAAUCCAUUCAAGAAAGCAGACUUCACAUCCAUUUGAAAAAUCUUCCAUUUGUUCUGAGCAGCCAAAGAAAUAAUAAGUCUAAUAGUUUCAAGUCGAGCUACAGGAGCAAAUAUCUCGUCAUAGUCUAUGCCAGCCUUUUGACUAUAGCCUUUUGCAACUAGCCUCGCCUUGUGCCUUUCAAUUUCUCCCUUCGCAUUUUUUUUUGUUUUAUACACCCAUUUGACACCGAUCGCCUAGUGACCUUUUGGAAGAGUAGUAAGCUCCCAAGUAUCAUUCUUCACAAUGGCUUUGAUUUCUUCAUCCAUUGCAAUUCUCCACUUCUCAUCUAGUGCAGCUUCUUGGAAGUUGACUGGCUCACAAUCAGCAAAGAGGCAAAAGAGAGUGAGAUUAUCAUGUCUCUCAGUUACCUCAUAGAGAUCUUGAAGACUCCUUGUACGUUCUUCGGUUCUUUCAUUUAAGAAAGACGGCGGUGAAUCUCCGCAUGUGGUUGAUAAUGGUGAGAUAGGUGGAGUAGCAGGCUCUUGUUGUUCGUCUACUUGUUUUAACUGUGUAUGAUCAUCUUCUUCAAUGGGAAAGAAGUUGAAGUCAUCCACACCAGAGCCAAAAUCCCAUUCUCCUUCUUCAUCAAAAACUACAUCUCGACUGAUCACGAUCUUCCCGUUGUUUGGAUUGUAAAGCUUGUAUCCUUUGGAGUUGUUGUCGUAGCCGAUGAAGAUGAACUUCUCACUUUUGUCAUCCAGCUUGGCUUUACUUUCGUCUGGUAUAUGUACAUGGGCAAUGCUUCCGAAAACUCUUAGAUGGGUGAUGCCGGGUUUUCUUCCACUCCAAGCUUCUUAUGGCGUCUUGCCCCACACGCUUCUUGUUGGAGAUCGAUUGGAUAAGUAGACUGCACAUGCAACUACUUCAGCCCAAAAUUCUUUAGGUAGCCUCUUACUCUUAAGCAUGCUUCUAAAAUUCUUUAGGUAGCCCAAAAUUCUUUACCAGAUAUCCUUUAUGCUGUUGGAUUUGUGAGCCGAUAUAUGGAGAAUCCAAAGACUACCCAUUUUAAAGCUGUAAAAAGAAUCCUUCGCUACAUCAAAGGUACAACUAAUUUCGGCUUGCUAUACUCAUUUUCUAAUGACUACAAGCUUGUUGGAUAUAGCGAUAGCGAUUGGGGUGGAGAUGUAGAUGAUCGAAAGAGCACCACGGGAUUUGUGUUCUUCAUGGGAGAUAUUGCUUUCACAUGGAUGUCAAAGAAGCAACCAAUUGUCAUGCUAUCCACCUGUGAAGCUGAAUAUGUAGCUGGCACAUCAAGUGUUUGUCAUGCAAUUUGGCUCAGAAAUUUACUGAAGGAGUUGAGUUUGGCACAAGAAGAGCCAACCGAGAUUUGUGUUGAUAACAAAUCAGCAAUUGCCCUAUCCAAGAAUCCAGUCUUUCAUGAUCGAAGUAAACACAUAGACACUCGCUAUCAUUUCAUAAGAGAGUGUAUUGCAAGAAAAGAAGUGCAAAUCAAGUAUGUAAAAUCACAAGAUCAAGCAGCUGAUAUCUUCAGUAAGCCACUCAAGCAAGAAGACUUUGUAAGAUUCAGAAGUUUGCUUGGUGUCACAGGAUCAAGUUUAAGGGGAGGUGUUGGAUCAUAAACUUGAUCCAAGAUGAAUAAAUCAAGCCCAACUCAUAGAAGGUUCCAUGAGUAGGUAUGGUUGGUGAGGUUUGAAUUAUUUGUGUUAGGUGUGUUAGGUGUGGUUGGUGAAGUAGGUGAGUGGUAGGUUUUAAUAUAAUCUUUUAAGUGAAUAUCAUAGCCUUUUUCUAAAAGUUGACCUAAACUAAGAAUGUUGCUUUUCAUAUUGGGCACAUAGUAAACAUUCGAAAUUAUUUGGUGGCUACCAUCUUUUGCACGAAAAAGAAUGUUACCUCUACCCUUCACUAGUACUUUUGAAUCAUCUCCAAAAGCGACAUUGUCAUUCACAAAUUCACUUAGUUGCACGAACAUGCUUCUGUUUCCACUCAUAUGAUUGCUAGCACCUGUGUCAAGAUACCAUGUAUUUUCUUGACCUGCACUUGUGUCAUUGCGUGCUAGUAAAAGUGUGCCAUCUUCACCAUUUUUCUCUUCAGCAUAGUUCACUCUCUCCUCAAUUCUGGUGCUUGGAGCUCUGCAUUCUGAAGCAUAAUGCCCAAACUUUUGACAAUUAUAGCAUUGUACUUUGGAUUUGUCAUACCUCGAUCUUGGAUUGCCUCUGCCUCGUCCUCUGGUUGAGCUUUCUCCUUUGUCAUAAUUGGAGUUGUUGUUGUUGAAAUUCCAACCUCGUCCAUGACCACGACCUCUACCUCGUCCUCGACCUCUACCUCGGACAUAGUGCAUUCUCUCGUUGUCGGAGCUUUCUUCUCUUUUCUUUGGAUUGACUUCCAUCUUGAGAAGUUAUUCUUUGAUUCCUUGCUUCUUCUUUUUUUUCUUCAUAGGCUUGCAACCUUCCUUGAAGUUGCUCGAUCGUCAUAUCCUCCAAAUCUCUUGUUUCUUCAAUUGCACAACAAUAUGUUCAAACUUCGACUCUACUGAUCGAAGUAUCUUUUCAAUGAUCCUUACCUCUUUUAACUCCUCGCCAUUUCUUUUUAAUUCAUUGGAAAUGGUUACAACCCGAGUAAAGUAGUCAGAAAUUGACGCCGACGCCUUCAUGUGUAAAGACUCAAAUUCUCCUCGUAAUGUUUGGAGACGAACCUUCUUAACUUGCUCCGCUCCUUUGUAAGAGGUCUCUAGUUUCUCCCAUGCUUCUUUUGAGGAGGUUGUACCAGCAAUCUUUUCAAAAGCAUCUUCAUCUAAUGAUUGAAAGAUGAGAUACUUUGCUUUAUUCUCUUUCUUUUUCAAGUCUUUUAAAUUCUCCUUCUGCGCCGCAGUUAAAGUGGCUUCAUUUUCUGGCACAAUAAAGCCUUUUUCCACGACAUCCCAUACGUCAUGUGCGCCCAAUAGAGCCUUCAUUUUAAUACUCCAAUUGUCAAACUUACUUCCCUUUAAUUGUGGAACUUGAAAUGACAUCAUACCACCGUUUGCCAUAACUCAAAAAUUGAGUGAGAAUUUGGAGAUUCUGAAAGCACAGAUGGAUCCGGCACGUCGAAAAACCUUGGGAAGGACUCGAGUCAACUUUCGGUCAACGGUCAACGCUGGUCAACGGUCAACGUCGGUCAACGGUCAACGUCGGUCAACGGUCAACACCGGCUUGGUAGUCUUGGUUCGGUCCGGAUUGGUUCAGCUCGAGUUGGCUCGGUUCGACUUGAUGCGGUUCAAAUCGGCUCGGCUUGGUUCAGUUCGGCUCAGUUUGGUUCAACUCGGUGAGUCGACUCAGCUUUAGGUUAGAAAACUUUCGGCGGCAAGUGUGGGAGCGUCCGGUCUCAGAUCAGGAUGAUUUGUGCGGCGUCACGUUCCUCUCGUCGAGAUCUUCGAUUUGAUAUGCUAUAUGACCAUAUAUAACAUCACGUACUAGCUCUGAUACCACUUUGUUGGAGAAUUAACAAAUAAAACACACACAAAAACACACUAUUUUAUUUCUUCAACAACACUUCUCACCAAUUACAACUCUUAUUUUUCACUCUCUACACCUGAGAGAUUUUGCUACUUCACUUGAUAUUUAAACCAAAGGGGAGAGGGGGUAUUUAUACAUGAAACAAACUAAUCACAACCAUUCAUUUAUUCAAUUAAUACACAAAUCCUCACCAUCCAUUAAAACCUACCACUCACCUACUUCACCAACCACACCUAACACACCUAACACAAAUAAUUCAAACCUCACCAACCAUACCUACUCAUGGAACAUUCCAUGAGUUGGGCUUGAUUUAUUCAUCUUGGAUCAAGUUUAUGAUCCAACAGUACUUGCAUCCGAAAAUCAUAUUUUAGUUUACUUACACUCAACGCUUGGAUUUAAGUUUUAGGGGGGGGAUUGAAGAAGACUAAAAUGACACAAAAGAGUUGAGCGAGUGCAGGUUUUGUCUUCAUUUAAGGAGCUCUUUGUAAAUUUUAGGAUUUGUUUCCUGAGAAAAUUUAUGCCAACUCAUUCUUUGCUUCUUUUCUGAACGGACAGAUGCAACCGAAAGUAUAUUCUUGAAUUCUUUAGGAUGAGAGACAUACGUUUAGAUUCAUCGAGCCUUUAAAACAAUAUCAAAUUUUAGAUUGCUGAAAUUUUAUAUAUCUGAGUAUGAUGGUGUUCCAAUUAUAAGCUCCAGGGUGCAACUUCACUAAGUUUUAGAAUACCUUCCUAUAGAAUUGAGAAAUCUCCAUUGGCAUAAAUAUCCUUUGAAAAUAUUGCCAUCAGAUUUUGAAUUGGAGAACCUGAUUGAACUCAGCUUGCCUUGUAGUAAGGUUAAGCAAUUUUGGAAAAGAGAAAAUGUAUAAUGUAUUACUAUUACCAAAGUAUCUAUUUUUCUUUCUUUAAGUAUUUAUAAUGAAGGCUGAUUCAUAGGAAGGCUGUAAAACGGUAAUCAACGAAGGUAAAGGGGUUAGACACUUUUACACUAGAACUUAAGAAAUAAGAGCAUUUACGAAAAAAGGAGAGAAACACUCAUAGGUGUUCCACUGCCUAAGAGAUCAUGAGAGAGCCACGAGAUCAGUGGCCAAGUUUCCCAAAAAGUAAACCUAAAUUUCUGACUUGAGCGUAGGAGGAUUUUUCCGGCGUGCUCUGACCAGUUUUUGUGUGCGCAGGAGUCUGCUAAGUCAUACGAGUCAUAGCUCUGCUCGGUUAGAAGAGUUACGUGAAGUAUCCUACGUUGGUCGUGAGUUCGGGCGUUGAGGAGAGAUCCUGGUUGCAGACAAGCAGACACCAGAAUCUCGCAUCAACAGUGAAGAUGAUUCAAUAUUAAGCAUGUCAUAUAAUCUGGAAGUGGAUAUUGGACCAAUUUGAUGAUGAAUUUCUUUCAAUCUCAAUCUUUUUCUUUUUAGCAACAUGACUAGUCAUUGUGCAAAUUUAAACUCUGACAAUGAUUUCUCAAUCGGUUUCUAAAAUGAUGACCAUGCAUGUAUAUGUGUGUGUGUGUAGAGAGAGAGAGAGAGAUCACACGUGCGUGAUUUCCUUUUGCCAAUAGGAUAUGCAGAGAGCUUGAUCUUACCCAAUAGCAAAACAAACUUCCUAACAAGUGAAGGUAUAGUAUAAAUACUUAUACUUUCAUGUUAUUUUGUUCAUCAGUAGCUUGAUUAUUUUAUAUGCGUCUUUGUUUUUAAUUUUCUUUCCUUAUAAUCGCUAUUAUCUUUGAACUGGUCAUGAUUUGCCUAUAAGAUUUCUCAUGUUGUUUUGAGGUGCAAUGGAUUUUGAAUUUAGUGACGAGCAGUGGAAGCCAGAAGGCAAAUUAUGAAAAUGGAUAAAGAUCUAUAAUUAGUUGUUAUGGGAUGUCACAUAUCAUAUUGAUGGUAACAUUAUAUAUGUGUACAUAUAAUUAAUGGGGUUGGCUCACGAGCCCAUUAAUAAUCGUAUAUUAGCUUAUAUACUUCAAACAAUGUACUAUGAAGCAAUUUCACAAAUACUUGUUAGCUUAUGUUGAGCUUUAUUGAAUCAGUAGUUCACAGUUCAAUAAAAUGCAGGUUUGCUAUUUGAAGUACAUGGUUAUGGUGCGUACAUUCUUCAUAAGGCUAACUACUAAUUUAUCAUUGAAACUUGAAAAAUGUGACAGAGAGAUGUAGAUAACAGCCGCAAAACACUGAGAUUGAAAAUCAGGGCUGCUAAAUUCUACUAAAAGCCCUUAAAAUAGACAGCGAUCACCCUGAAAUGUAUAUACUGAAACUAAGAAAUAUUAAUCGCAAAGUUAUGCAUUAAUAGAACUAUUGACUACUUAUCUUUAGCAUAAGGUAUAUUUUUAACUACAGCUUUCUACUUUGUUCUAAGAACUAGGCAAAAAUGGUGUAUCUUCAAUCCAAUCAACAUGUAUACCACUUAUCUUCCUCUUCACUUCUGUCUAUUUUGAUUUGCACUUCAUAUCCUGCACUUGCUGCUUAGAAAUAGUCUUAUUCUGGACAUUGAAAGUAGAAAAAGUGCUUGAAACAAUCAUUGGCAUAGCCCGAGAUUCCAUUGAAUCGUGGACUCCAAGCUUUCAUAGUUCUAUAAAGAAAAUGACAAAACUUCAUACAACUGGCAUUCUGCUUUUAACAUUUGCACAACCUGAGCGAGUUAGCAAGCCCCUUGUUGCGUUCCCAUUGAAUAGACCUACUUUUGUUAUCCACAGAAGAUCCACCACUCAAAAUGUUUAUCACCAGGCUAUUCUUAAACUGAGCCUAAACUGAGUAGAAACUUCUGCACAUCUCUCAGCAUUUACAUGAAGAAAUCGACAACUAUCGUCAUCUCUCAGCACAUCUCUCAGCAUUCUACAAAGUUGCAUUUCACUAAGCAAUCUAUCCUCUCCAUUCCUAACAAAGUGACAUUGAUUCCCUUAUUUGUAAUCGCCUAACUUGGGUUUUGGGAAUAGCGUGGUCUUAAAAUUACCACCCAAUACUUUGUUCAGUGCCACUGGCAUCCACAACCUCUAGCCCUGUUAGCUGAAUCAUAUUCAAUGGGACAGUGAGGCAGCAUUUCACUAACAUAUUCAAUUUGACUACUUAUAUUGACGCAAAUAUUAGAAUUUGAAAUCACUUCUUUUCUUGGAAUAUUAUAUUAAAAUGACCCCAAAUGAAAGUUCUUGAAUGGAAAUGAUUUUUAUUUAAUUUUCCAACAGAUUCAAGAAAAUCCAGAGAACACAAAAUUUACACAGUAAUAUGAUUAAGAGCUGAGAACGUACAUGUAGUAAAUGUCUAUCAAAAAACACCCAAGGGUUUCUUUAAAAUUAGAAACUAGUAAAUAAAAAGAAAGAAUCAUUUUACAUUUUUAGCAACUUUGGGGUGAGUGAGUGAGUGAGAAAUUGAAACCCUAAAGUGAUGACAACAGUAAGAUUCAGUAUGAAGUGAAACCCCAAUUUGAAAUGUAGGCAUGAGUUGCUGAGUCAGUAGAUGAAGCUAUAAAUAGGCAUUCGGUUUCCUUCUUUUCGGUUUGGAGGGCCAUGGAAUAGUGUAUUGGAGUGGGCUCCAAGUAAUAGCCUCUAUCACUAGAACGACAAAUCUAUAAAAUGUGAUACAUGGGGAAGGAUUGGGCAUUAUAUUCUUAGAUUAGCGCCUUAUUUAGGGUGUAUAUUAAGCAGAUUAUAUAUUACAUGGAGAUGGAGUUUAUGAAAUAGAUUAAAAAGAAAAGGAAAUUUUGGUGCCUAAAGUUUGCCACUUGGAAUAUUUCGGUGUCUAAAAAUUCACUCACCACUUAUUUCAUGUUUGAUUAUAUGUUGAAAAGAUAUUAAAAUAGUAUAAUGCUAUUAAGGCUUAACGUAGAUUUUUUAUUAGUAGAGUGUAGAAUUUUUAAGAAAUAAAUUAUUAAAUUAUUAUAACUAACAUAUUAUUUUAAAGUUGUGUUAUGAAAAAAAUGAAAUAAAAAUGUACAGUAAAUAAGAAUAUUUUAAAACUUUUAUCUUUUUAAAAUUAGUUUUUAACAUAAGGUGAACUAUUUUUUCUUUAAAAUCACAUAUUCUAGUUAAAAUCAAAUAUGUAUUUAUAUGAAGCUUGUAAAUUUUUUUUUUUAGUACUGAUAUUUGAAUAUUAUCAAUAAAAAAAAGGGUAAUGUUCAUGCUGCAUUAUUUUUGUAGCACACAAAAGGACAACAAAGUUUAUGUUAUAAUACUAUCGCUUCUGUUAUGAUAAUAAUUUUUUGUGGCCAAAUAUCUUUUUUUUUUAAGUAAAAAAAAGUGGACAAAAUACAAAUCAGUUUUUAAUCCUCAAUCUCUCCCAAAAUAUAAAUUCGUAGGUCCAUGGGUUGUUAAAACUAUAGCUGACAAAAAGUUACUAACAAAAACAGAAUGUCCAUUUUAUAACUUUCUUAAAAAACUUUCCUUAACUUUUUUAAAAAGUUACCAACAAAAAGUUAUUUCUAAUUUUUAUUUUGUUAUAAUUUUUAUAACAAAAUUCGUAGUUAACUAAACUCUUCUUAUUCCCUUUCUCAACUACCCUAACCCUGUUCCCCAUGUCCCCACUAAACCACGCUCAAUUAAGGCCAUCAGAUUCUCCCGGGCCCACAUUAAUCCAACUGCUCACAGAGACCGACAGCCUCUCUAUCUCCAUUUCAAGCUCCCUCUUCAACUGGCUUCUGCUACCGUCCUACUCUUUCUCGGCUUCGGAGUCCGUAUUUGCUCGGCCUGUCCCACGAAACUCCCUCUCACUCCAAUUGUCGCCCCACAAGACCAAUUGCUUAAUCAAGACACCGAACAAGAAGAGGAUGAGAAGUUGAAACAAGAAUUUGAGAAUUGGAAAUAAAAAACGUACGCAUUGACCGUGCCUUUGAGAGUCGUUUCUCUUCAGAACUCAGUGCCUCAAUCUUGGGUUAAGGAUUUUAUGCGAAGUCAGGGAAAGAGAUUGAAGUUUCAGAUGAAUUUGUGUGCUAGCAUUGAUGGGAUCUUUAACAAUUUAUCUGUGCCCUUUAACAAAGUUAAGGCUAAGUCAGCUUCUUAUAUGGCUGCUGAUUUGGUUAGUGUUGGUGAUUCAUGGCUUAGUUUUGCCAUUAAAAAGAGAUUGAUUGAGCCAAUAGCUGGAGCUGAAGACCAAGAUUGGUUCAAAUGCUUAAGUCACAAAUGGAAGGUAACAUCUUUGUCUUUGAUCCUCGAGGUAAAAUAUGGGCGGCACCAUACAGGUGGGGCACAACGGUGAUAGCCUACAAGAAAAGUAAAUUUCGAAAGCAUAAUUUGGCUCCGAUUGAGGUAAUAAUUUUCUUUAAACUCAUUUAGUUUUAUAUCAAACAAAAUCAAGACUGCCUUUCUCUUCAAUAUUUUUUAUGAUAAUAUCUUUAGAAGCAUCUCAUUGACGGGUAACAAUGGCAUCCCUGAAAGAGUCUAUAAACUCAAUGAUAUUAUCUUCUACAAAUGGUUCAUUAAACUUUGUCGUUGUGCUCAAAUGUACACUCAGAGCAAUGAGAAGUUAUGCCACUUUAGCAUGUAGUGAUGGCACUUAAUAAGUGAGUUGCUAGGAUGUGAACUAGAAAAAUUAAAUAUUGUCUCCUUGGGUAUGCUAGCUCGUAAGUCAGGGUUAAUAUCAGAGCUUAAGAUAGUAUAACCGUGAGAACCUAUUGACUGCCAAUUAAAAUAUCCAUUAAAAUGUCUAGGGAGUUAUGAAGGUGGAGGUAACUUCCAAUUUCUAAGGCCACAGAGUAGACAUCAUCCAGGAUCCUAGGAAAGUCCAGUUAACCUCCUGCUCGAUGCAAUUAAUAAAUUUGGUCAAUGCCACUGAAACUUGCUAACUGACGUCACAAUGCGACAUGAGCACUUCAAAAUGGGACAGACGGUCAGUGGCACUAAAUUUUUCUUGCCUAAGAUUGAGCAAUUGGUCUAACUACUAAUCCCCCAGAUUUAAGAAUCUUUUGAUGAUAAUUUAUCACCUGCAGCUGUGCCGGAAGAUUCAAGUAGCACUGAAAAAUAUGAUAAUUUAAUUGAUAUGGACAGUUUCCAUAUCACUUUUAAAUCAUCUUAUGUAAUUGUAAUGUUAGGAAGCAUUAGUGAUCUAAAAGUGAACUAUUAUUGGUGUCAUUGGUGGUUUUAUCUUGUUAAAAUAUGGAUGACUUCCUGUUACUAUUUUAUUGUAGACAAUCUUAUUCAAUUAACAUAAGGUUUAAAACCAUUAUGUUUUAUGUAAAUCAAUCUAUUAAUUUUCAUGAUAUUUAACUGAGUUAAAACCAAGUGCACUCAAUAAAUGUCUUUUCCUUUAAAAAAACUACUACGCUUUGAUUUUAGUGCUUAAUAUUUCGUAACUACAGAUUAUCUAAUUGCGAGUUGCUGUCCAUAGCUGCUAAUUUGUAGUGAUUAUCUAAUUGACUGAGGUGACAAUAAUUCUUUUAUUUUCAAUAGCACAAUGUGGAAUUCAAUAAUUAAAUUCUCCUAUUUAAUUUGUUUCAAGUUAAAUUAUUAAUUACUUAAACUCUGUUUUAAGUCUUUAAUUUUAUGUGUUUAUGCAGAAUUGGAUUCUUGAGCGUGUUGGACACGACCAACAAUGAAAUUGAUAGUAAACAAACAUUACAACGUGUGGACUCCGGUAAGCACCAAUGAAUGUCUAGCCCCGUUGACUCCGCCAACUAAAGUUUUGUAAAAUUAAAAAAAAAAAUACAUAGAAUUCCACCAAAUGCAAAACGCGUGAAAUUUAAUUUUCGACCGUGUGGACCAAAACAUAAUUUAACAAAAAAGGAAAAAAUGAUAAGAUUUUUAAAAUGUGUGGAAGGUGAUCCAUAUUUUACUGAAACGACUUGUUAAAUUUUUCAAGGAUUUAGAAUAUUUGGUCAUAAAUUACGUGCAUGUUAAUUUUUCCGCCAUUGACUAUCAUAUUCUAGACUUAAUGGUACCUUUCUUGAUGAAGGGUACUUAGUCUCUCUUCUCCUCUUAUAAAAAUUAUAUUAAUUGAUUUCUUGUUAUAGUUAAUAGUCUUUAAGAACGGAUAGAUUUAUUGUUUUCAUGACCAAAUUAUGCAUGCCUAAGGUUGUAACUACUAAUAAAAUUAAUAUUUAAUGUUUAUGUUAAAAGAUAUAAGUUUUUAUGCAUUCAUUAAUUGUUAUUAGCUAAAGGAUGAAAUAUUUUUUCCCAAUCAGUUGAUGCAUCUGCAAGAGUUUUUUUUUUUCUUUUAUUGACCAUAAUUAUAUUCCGGGUACAAUAAAUUGUCUUUGGUGCUUGGAAAAUAUGACACCUCUCUGUCAACUUACUGGAAAUAUCUCCUCAUCUACUCUCAUUUAUCUAAUAUGAAUUGAAGAUCUCAUAUUUCCAAACUAUGACUUCCAAAUCUCAUUAUCAUUUGAGCAUUCAAAACUAAUCAAGUGUGGAAAUAAUCAAAUAUAUGCAAAAAUCGAGUCACAAUCUUUGGCCCCUCAAAAUUCUAAUUAUAUAACUUCUAUAUAUCUCAUACAUUUUCCAAAUUCCUCUUCCAUGAACAUCACUAGGAGUAUGUUCAUCUCUCACACAUUAACUUGAGUGAAGAGUUUCCAAAUUGAUUAUUAGAAAACAAUACAAAAGCUAGACACGUUUGAUCUGUCUAAUAAUUCUCUUUCGGUAAAAUUAAUUAAUUUUAGGGGAAUUCAGCCAACCUCUGUAAUUUCAGAGUGAUCAUUAAUUAAUUAAACAAUACAAAUAUCUAAAGUGAUUAGAUGUUUGCCGACAAUACAAGUUCAUGGCUUGAAAUUUGAUCUCUAUCAAUUGGUUUACAAAUGGACUCACUUGUGCCUUUGUGGUGAUAAUUGAACCAGAGAUGUGAAGCUGUAAGGAUUUGGCUGUAGUCAAUUGUUAUAAAGACAUAAAGACAACUUCCCAUGAUUAUUAUUUUUUUCCAAGAACUAUUUUACAACAAAUUCAUCUCGCCAAAAAUUCUAUUUUGCUAACUAACAAUAAUUGAGCACUUGACCGCAUUGACUCCACGUCUCCAGCUACUUUCUAAGUAAAAACAUGGAAAUGUAAUCUCCACAAAAUGCCAAACGUGUGGAAUUUAAUUUUUGGCCUUGUGGACCAAAAUGCAAAUGAAAGAAAAAGAGGGAAAAAAACAAGGCUCAAAGACUUCUAAAAGAUGUAAAAGUCUUUGGGCUUUUUUAUAAUGGUGGAUUUUUUAAAAGGAAAAAAUAACAACACUUCUAUGGUUUGUUUUAAUAAUCACAUUUACAUAUAUUCUCUAAUUUUCAAAAUGGACACAUAAAUCUUUUUUUUUCUACAAAUGUAUAUUAUUCGUAUUUUUUAUUAUUUUUAAUAUCAUAUUGUUAUUUAUUAUAAAUGUUUAAAGUAAAUUUUUAGGUUGAAAUAUAAUAAAAAGGUAUAAUCGUUCUCAUAUUAAACACCCAUACUUUUAGUUUCUAUCCAUUUGUCAUUUCAAUCUCCCUCAAUUAUUCUUUAUUGCUAGCUCAAAACGCAUCGCUGUUGAAAAUUAUAGCAAAAUGACAAAUAUGGAAAAAAAGGGAAGAAAAUUAAUGCAUGAAAGACUUGGAGAAAACAACCAAAUAAGUCAACUAUAAGCAAGCUGGGUGUAUAAAUUGUUAGAUGUGUUAUAAACAAAUACGUAUAAUGUUAAAGAUAUAGUUAGAAUGGGUGGUUCAAAAUCAAAAAUGGUGAUAAUGUUUGUUCUGCUCUUAAUAAUAUUUGAAGGUGGGUGGAGUGAGGGAUGUUUGAAUCAUGAGAGAUUUGCUCUUUUGCAACUUAAACUUUUCUUCACUGAUCCUCAUAAUUAUCUUCUCGAUUGGGUAGAUGAUGAGGGAGCUACUGAUUGUUGUCAGUGGGAAAGGGUUGAGUGCAGCAACACCACAGGUCGAGUGAUAAAACUUGACCUUGCUUUUACAAGGAAUAAUUAUUUGGAAGAGUACAGAGACUUUGUACACAAUCCGGGAGAGUAUCUGAAUGCUUCUUUGUUUACUCCCUUUCAACAACUUGAGUCACUUGAUUUAACUAACAACAACAUAGCCGGUUGUGUUGAGAAUGAAGGUGCUUCGUUUAAUUUAAUUAAUUUACUUUCUCCCCCCUAAUUUAAGUUGACUAUCAAGACCGAGCAAUUAGACGCAUAUUCAUUUAGUCGACAAUUUUCACUUUUUUUAAAUGAUUAAUUUUGAAAUUACACCAGUAUCUAUAAUCAUUUUUUUAUUUUACUUGCAGGUAUAGAGAGGCUAUCAAGAUUGAACAACUUGAAGAUGCUUAAUUUAAGUGAUAACUCGUUCAACAAUAGCAUUUUAUCAUCUCUAACCCGUCUUUCAUCAUUAAGAUCAUUAAAAUUAUCUGACAAUAGAUUGAAAGGAAGUAUUGACUUUAAAGGUACAUAAUUAAAACUUCAUCCCUUCUCCAAGCUCUUUCAUUAACUUGCUAAAAUAAGAUUCAAGGCUUUGAAUUCAAUUUUUUUAUGAUUAGUAUUAAAAAAAACAGUUUUAAGCAAUUUAUAAAUACAAGUUUUAAUGGUUAUCGUAAUUUCAUCUUGUAAUUUCAUGUCUUGAAUUUAAGAUUAAAAAAAUAACACUAACAGCGAACCAAACACCUCCACAACUUAUUAUUAUUAUUAUUAUUAUUAUUAUUAUUAUUAUUAUUAUUAUUAUUAUUAUUUUAAUUUGUUGUGAGGUUUGAAACAUUCAACUCAAUUUGUACUUACUACAGAAUUUGAUUCUUUGAGAGAUUUAGAGGAGCUAGACAUUGGCUGGAACAAGAUUGACAAAUUUGUGGUCUCAAAAGGUACUACAAAUACCAUAUAAAAAUGCUAACUUAUACAAAUUAGUUGGAUUCUUUGCCAUUUGGUUUAUUAUUUUACAGGUUUGAGUAAGUUGAAGUCUCUCGGUUUAAGUGGUAUCAAACUCAACCGUAGCAUCUUAUCUUCUCUUUCUUCAUUAAGAGAAUUAGAUAUAAGUGAUACGGGAUUCAAAGGAACAUUCGAUGUUCGAGGUAAGCCUAAGCCUUGCUUUCUCAUUUUAUAUAUGCCAACUAGAUUUGUGUAUCAUCGACAUAAUUUAAUAGUUAAUUUGAUAAGUCUGAAGGAAUUACAUGCUAAUUUAAACAUACUUUUAUUUACUUUGUCAAUUAAUUAAUUUAUUAAUUACUAUUUGGCUUGGUUUGGACGAAAUUCUCAUGAUGUUUUAAUUUCUUUAAAUUAAUUAAUUAAUUAACUCUGUUUUUAAGUCUUAAGUCUGGGCAUGUUUGCAGAAUUUGAUUCCUUCAAUAACUUAGAAGAAAAAUAGAAAAAGUCGAGCAAGAGACUCUCGCCCUAUUUUAAGAUGAGAGUAGCGAUCACUUACCUGAUCUACGACCUACUAUCUACGCGUACCAGCCUUCCUUUGUUUUGCAUCACGAGAUGGACUCUUCGCCCAUCCCCUAAGGUCUUUCAAAUUAUACCUAAUUGGGGAGAGGACCCACCAGGAGUCCAACUCCAGAUUGGUGGCUAAUGGGCCUCGCGUAUCCUGCCUUUUCGUAGAAUGCAACGCUUAUACGUUCACUGAGGAAUGAAAUCCUAUCUUUUAUCCGAGCUAGGGAUCAGAAAGCAAGAAGGUGGGGGUCAGAAAUGAGUAGCGUAGGUGAUACCGAUAGGGUGGUUGGAUACGCGACAGCAACGGCAAGGCACUCUUGACCCCGUCCGUAGAGGGUCGGUACGAAUGAGACUGUGCUAGAGAUCGCAGUGAGCAAGUAUGCCUUGUUGACUGGGUGUUGGUUUUGAAACAAGGAUGAGUCCCUCAGGGAGUCCGUCCAAGCUUCAGCUACUAAUGCCUGGGCUAACUUCUUGGGGGUGAACAAAGUGCUCUGAGUCUGAGAUCGAUACUGGUUAACGCCACAAGUGCUCUGCCAUUGGUCUACACACAGAGUCAUCAGGUAAAGUCAGAGCUUGGACUGGGAAUGAGAUCAGAAGAGGCUAGGCUACUAGGGAAGAUAGAAGCGAUCCACAAAUCAAACCACUAUCCCAUUGGCCGCUUCAUGCGCCGAACACUCUUAAUAAGAAGCUUUAUUUUAUAAGGUAUGUGUCUAUGCUCUCGAUACACGGCUUGAGAAGGCGGCUCCUUUUUAUUCUUCCUAUAGGAGCUACUCCUGAUUCAGUCAAUCAGAACAAGCCUUCGGACCUACCAACCAAUCAAACUAGCUUGAUGCGGAGGCAAAUACCCAGGGAUACUAUAGCUCAACACACGCCUGGCCGGGGGGAAGGAAGCCCUCGAAGCGAGCUCCGUACCAAAUAGCUGUGGAGAGAGAGAAGCCAAACUCUACCGCACUGAAGAGCGAGAUAAAUAACUGACAUCCUUGGUUGAUGAUCCUCGUCGGUGGAAGGGAAAGCGCGAUGAAAGGCAAGUCGGUAGUAGGUCCAAUGGAGAGAGGAAUUGAGAAGAGAUAGGGUCCGCUUUCUAGGCUGACGUUGGACAGCUGUUGGAUAGCCCCGACCUACACAAGUGGUUUUAGAAUGAACUCACAUUUUGAAAUGUUCUGUUAGGUUCUUAGUAGCAGUCGGCGAUCUUUUCUUCUUUUACUUCACAUAGCUUUUCGUCUCCUUGAUAGCUGGAAGUUCUCCAAAAGUAUGAAAAGCUGGAGGACUUUGUACCAUCCAUUCCGGUGUGGUUGGAUUCUGUUCAACAGCCCAAGGACUUGGAGCACAUCUUUUGUUAUUUCCACUGCUUGAAGUGAUUGUUACGACCACGAAGAAACGACGAAUCCCAACUACGGAUAUAUAAGAGCCAAAACUGCUAAGGGCAUUCCAUCCAGCGUAAGCAUCUGGAUAAUCUGGAAUGCGACGUGGCAUACCCGAAAGCCCUAAGAAAUGCAUGGGAAAGAAGGUCAGAUUAACCCCGAAAAAAGUGAUCCAAAAAUGGAUUUGCCCUAAAGUUUCAGGGUAUGUCCGACCAAAGAUUUUACCACCCAAUAGUGAAAUCCUGCAAAUAAAGCAAAAACGGCUCCCAUAGAAAGUACAUAAUGGAAAUGUGCAACCACAUAAUAAGUAUCAUGUAGAGCAAUGUCUAGCCCAGAAUUUGCCGGGACUAUUCCAGUGAGUCCUCCUAUAGUGAACAAAAAGAUGAACCCUACAGCAAAUAACAUGGGUGUUUUGUAUUGUAUCGAACCCCCCCACAUGGUAGCGAUCCAACUAAAGAUUUUGAUUCCAGUGGGGACAGCUAUGAUCAUGGUAGCUGCGGUGAAGUAGGCACGGGUAUCAACGUCUAAGCCCACAGUAAACAUAUGAUGAGCCCAAACAAGAAAUCCAAGAACACCUAUACUGAUCAUGGCAUAAACCAUGCCUAGAUACCCGAAGACCGGUUUUCCCGAAAAAGUCGAAACGAUAUGACUUAUGAUACCGGAUCCAGGCAGAAUGGGAAUAUACACCUCUGGAUGACCGAAAAACCAAAAGAGAUGCUGGUAUAAUAUGGGGUCUCCCCCUCCAGCGGGAUCAGAAAAGGUUGUAUUAAAGUUUCGAUCGGUUAAUAACAUGGUAAUUGCCCCCGCCAGUACCAGAAGUGAUAAUAAAAGUGGGAAUGCUGUCACUAGAACGGACCACACAAAUAGGGGUGAUCUAUGCAUAGUCAUUCCAGGUCCACGCAUGUUGGAGAUUGUUGUUAUAAAAUUGAUAGAACCUAAAAUGGAUGAAACACCAGAUAGAUGAAGACUAGAAAUUGCUGAAUCAACUGCUCCUCCAGAAUGGCUGGUAAUACCACUUAAGGGCGGAUAGACCGUCCACCCAGUGCCGCUACCCACUUCUACUAAGGCUGAGCUUAAUAGGAGCAAGAGACUUGGUGGCAACAACCAGAAUGAAAUAUUAUUUAAUCGUGGAAAUGCCAUGUCAGGUGCACCUAUCAGAAUCGGAACAGACCAAUUACCAGAUCCACCUAUCAUCGCCGGCAUAACCAUAAAAAAGAUCAUUAAAAAAGCGUGAGCCGUUAUUAAAACAUUAUAAAGUUGAUGAUUCCCACCAAGAAUUUGAUCGCCGGGAUGUGCUAAUUCCAUACGAAUCAAUACUGAGAAGCAUGUGCCCAUCACUCCAGCAAUGGCACCGAAGAUGAAAUAGAGAGUCCCUAUAUCCUUGUGGUUAGUGGAGAACAGCCAUCGAACCGGAUUUGUCAUAAAAUUGAGAUUCUUUCGUUUCCUUCCUUAUCAGAGAGGGGCCCCUUAGGGAGCGGGGCUUCUUUAUUGAAAAAGGGGGAGUGAGGGGGGAAGGAGCGAAGCGAAAGCGGGGGGGUCCGGAAAGCCCUUACUUUAUUGAUGGGACAUUUUGAUCCCCUUUUCCUCUCACCCCCCGUUCUGGUUCAGGAUUCAGGAAAGGGUCAACGCAAGGAUCUUACUUCGAAGCAAUCUCUGGAGUUUUCCCUUAUCCGAACGGGUCUUGCAAGAAAAUAGGAUUUCAUAUUGAGCUCCAAAUAUACGCUAUUGGGAUAGGAUGGCUCCUACUAUAUCUCCCCCCCCCCUAAGAACCGCACGUGCGAGUUCCCCUGCAUACGGCUCAAGUGGCGAAGGCACUUUCCUUCGCGCUUGAUAAGCGCUUCGCUGUAGCCAAGCUUACUGCUAGCCUAUCGGCUAGAGCCAAGCUUCGACCCCGACUGCUCGUCGCUUCUGGCCGCCUUAUUCCGUCACCCGAGAUCCAAGUCAGCACCGGAAAAAAGAUCUUGAUUCCUCGCGGCCGGGCCGGCUUGGAAGCAAGCUACUUGUCGCCUAUCUCACCCCCUUUCUUAUUAUUAGUAAGAUAGGGUGCCCCUUUCUCUAAUAAUAAGGUAAGCUUCUCUGAAUUCCGCUGGGUGAGCCUUCGCUUUUUGGAUCGUCUUCUGCCCAAUGCGGUACCCUCCCGUUUGUUUUUAGGUUCCCAUUGGGUUUACCUUGUUUACAGGUCGAUCCCAUGGCAGCAAGAAAAGGUGAUCUUGUGCUAUACUCCGGUGAUCUCUUUCCUACCGAGGCACGCAAACUCCCAUCGUGUCCCAGAUCAUAUUUCGUGAAUCGAAAGGGGAAGCCUCCUCAUCCAUCAGCUCCUCUCGUAGAUCAGUGCGGUUUUACGAAGCGUCUAAGCACAGUUCACUCGCGUUGAUCAAUCAAGAGCUUUGCCGCCACUCCUUAAGGUUACCUGUUGUAUCAUACACUUCUUGCAUUCUUUCCCACGCUUCAUACCCCCCUCUAGCUUCCGCACGGAGCGGUAAGGUAAAGGGCCAGGCAUGGUGGGGUCGGAGCAUCCUGUCAGCAAUCUUUUUGGCUUGACCAAGAAGUCUUAUGUCCUCCGAGUCGCGCGGCGUUUUAACCGAAAGAACUUCUUGCGCAAUUCAUGCCUUUCUGUUUUUAUGACCAGAAAUUUUUUCUUGAUUUCCAUUUCAAAUUGUUCUCUGGACUUUUUAUCAAUAUGAGGUGAUCGUAACACAGUAUAUAAGACUCGUGAUUCAGGCAAUCCAAUCUUUCGUGUGUAAGGCGGAAGAGCCUGGUUUUCCAAAAAUGGGUGAUCAAAAGAUCGAAUCACUAUGCGUAUCUUGGUGGUCGUUACUUUUGGUGGUCUUUCUUUUCUUUUUGGCUGACUCCUCCUACUCCUCCUUCUCUUAUCCUCUAUAUAGCUCGUCGUUGGUCCUUUUUUUUUACAUAACAUUCUCAGCCGCUCAAGAGUCAAGAGACUGACUAUCUCUCUCUUUACGCAAUUUCAAAAAUGAAGUAGCAGAGUGACUACUGAUUUUGGACGCGCUGAGUUAUUUAAGCAAAGCCUUUUUUGAUCUUGUUAUUCUAAAUUAUUUUAUUGUCUUUGCUCAACUUCGUCGAGCCUUGUACCCAGGUACACGGAACACUAACAGAAUCUCUGUUCAAACAAAAACGACAAGCAAACCCGAAAACUAAAGGGUCACCUUCUCUAGCAAGCAAGUAGACUUUUCUCUGAGCCCCAGGGUAGCAAAGCUAGCUCUUCGUAUCAUUGGCAUUGGGCAGGUGAACGGGAACCUGGCUACACAACUACUCUUACUCUAGCAGAGGAUCUAGUUCCACACCAAUCUGCUUAUCUUAUAUAAGAUAAAAUAGAUAAACUUAGCGUACCUACAACCGCUUGUGCCCUCUUGCUUUAGCUACUUACUCGGGAACUAGCUUCGCACCUCACCCCGGGAACUCAAGGGUGCGUAGCUUGCUUGUUGAAGGGGUGUUUCCGUUCCUCCGUUGUGGGAUAGUUUUUCCCUAGUUCGGUCCUAUAAGAAGAGUUCUCUAGAUAUCAACUCAUGGUACUCCCCGGGCCCCUAACAACAAAACUCAUAGGUUAGCUACAGCAGUUCUAGCAUCAGCUUCUCGAGGGCCUAAAAGAACCUCUUUCGUCAUUCGAAAGUGGCAUUUUAGCUCCUUUUCGUGAAACAGAUCGGAGAUCAGGUCUUAUCGAUUCAUACGAUUUUCAUACGUCUUUUUCCCACAUUAAUAAACCCCUUUUUUCUUUAACACGCUAGUGCCCAGAUCUUCUUCUUUUGUCUUUGAGCCUGCCUUUAGGUAGCGGCAUGGAAGUCCCCCUUCUUCUCAAGCAGGAAGCCCGCGUAUUCUUAUUCUAAUGUCCAUUGGAGCUUCUCUUUUCUUCCCGCUAUCUGGCUGUUCUAUUUAGACGUCUGUUCCCCAGUCUUACUUUCUCAUGCCCGCUUUCGCUUCACUCCUUUCUACUUCUGUUACAGUAGCUAUAGUUGUAAUGGCGGUUAUGCAGGUCCCCUUCUCAUUGAGUAGCCUAUACUCUGGAAUUGAAGUAGCGAAAUCGGCCUUAGCAUAGAACGUUUACCGCUUGCCUUACUAUUACUAAUAAUCGGGAAUCAGAACAGGCAACUAUGAGACUAAUUUAUCAUUGCCCCGAGCAAGUUACUGCGUACCUGAAGUGAGUGUGCCCAUCUUGGUCUCCUUUCUUUUUUCUUUGCAGCUGCCAUAAAAGUAAAGCCUUAGAUUCUAACAGGAAUCUCACCGCCUGCUCCCCUUAUAAUUAUAAGAUACUCGCUACUAAGGUUCUGAAAGAAGGCAGCUAAAUCAGCAAUAGAAGAGAACUCCAGAUCUAUGAAUAGCCAACAAAGAGCCUAGCUUUAUUACUGGAACUAAACAGCAAGCUGCUCCUACCUUACUUAUCGAGAAGGAGUACUUGGACUGAGUAGACUUCUUGUAGUUCUCUUUCCCCUAGCAACCUUUCCUGCUUUCCCGGUUGCAAGGUUUCGAGCUAACUACAGGAUUUGCUUCCUAGCUAAUAAUACUAAUUAGUAGUAUUGAACUUCGAACUAAAGAUUUUUUUUAGUUAACGGGCAGGUAAGGGCAAUGAAGGAAGCCGUUAGGCUUGAGACGAAACGGAUUCUAUGGAUUGAGUCUGGCAGUGAUGUUAGUUAAGUCCACUACCUGGGGCUUGUCUUGCUUGAGAACCCGUUUGGAACAAUCUGGAUUUUCCCCUUGUGAGUCACUCGAAUUCUUCUAUUUAUCAUUCUUUCAUGAAUAGAAAGAGAAAGAUCUCCGCUUCGUCUUUCUUCCAAGAAAAGAUCCCAAGCCAUUGAUAUUGGUCAUGCGUGGGCUUUCACUCAAUCUUUCACUAUGAUAUGAAAGGCAAGCAGGAAUUUCACCACUAAUGGGCCAGCGCUUGGCGCUUACUCUAGCCCGUGUUUCUAGGAUACACCUAUUAAUUAUAUAUAAUAGUUUCCCCGAUAUUCGUGGCUUUCCCCUUACUUAUUACUUAUAAGUAGAUCGGUUGAGAUAAGUAGAUUGGUUGAGGCCCGACCCUUUCCUUUGGGGUUGCCGACCUUGAUGCCAUAGUGUUUAGGGGGCUGAGCGGGAAACCAACACGUUGUGGAAACGGAAUAGAGCUUUUCCCUUGAUGGAUGUUAUCCAAUAAAAGCACACAAUCAGUGAGAUGAGCCUGCCAGCUCAGCCUUGGCCCUAUGCCUUUUGGCCAGCUUGACUUCUGACCGGUCGAUCCCGCCCCCUCUUGCAACGAUUCGGCGCCUCCACUUGAUGCUUGACGCCCACGCUUCGUUCAGGCAGCGCUCCUCGGAUAUGUCUUGCCAAUCGCCAGAGCGGUGCCACUUCCAGGAUUUGGUGCGGCCAGCUCGGGAACCUUCCCUGGAGUGAAAGGGUACAUGGAUCGGUUCCUCCACCAGAGGUCAGCUGAAGCGGAUUGGUCAAAAAGAAAUUUUCUGGCUUUGCCUCAUACCCGGUAUAACUACCAUUUUUACUUUGAUAUGCUUCUUACUUCCUUACAAAGUUGCAAGGAUCCCUUCUUGCAUUCCCUCCUUAUUCAAAAGGAAUUUAUUCGAAUAUCUAGUUGAUAAAUGUUCAUGAGCACGGGGUUGCCUUGCCUGAGACCUCUACUACUGCCGUGGAGGGUAAUUGAUAACAAUGGAAUAUUUUAGGUUAGUAAUGCAGACCCUUAUCCAUUCGAUCCACUUCUGAGGGAAUCACAUAGCCAGCAUGGCAGCUUCCCGGAAUCCCCAGUCAACACUGUCGAACGCUUUCCUCAGGUAAAUUUGCACACACAUCCUGGCUUUCCCUUGCGGAAGGUGGAAUUUUUUUAGCAUAUCGUGACAAAGCAAGAUGUUAUCCUGGAUGCAUCGCCUUUGUUGUUUAUACCUAGCAGGAGCAGCAAAGACGAAGGCUGAAGCAUCACUAGAGGUAUCUAUUGAGCUUUCUCCUCUUUUUGCAUUAGCCCAGUCACUUCCUUUAUGGAAUGGGUUCACCAGCACGCGGAGGUAAGUAGUUUACUGACUCAGUUCUUUUACUAAAAAAGGAGAAGGGAAGGGGGUGCUAUGAAUAGAAAUUUUGAAUUGCAUAUGCUCUCGAUCGACCUAGGCCUAAAAGGAAUCCGGCUACUCAAUCGCCAGAGAUAGAAAUAAAAGAUCUAAGCUUGCUUUAAUCAUUCGAAAGCGAUGCUCAUUCCAGGGUUUCAAGGCUUGGAAAUAGAUCUUAUUUAAGACAAAAAGAAGUGAGCAUAACCAUCUUCAAGCUCCACCCCGGGAUUUUAGGUGUGAACUCACUUUAGGGAAAUGAGGCUUAUAACCAAUCGAUUCUUCACCCACGUAAGCUCGCCCUGUCACCCUCGCUCUGGUUCGAGAAUCAUGUCACCCUCGCUUUCCGCUUCUGGAAGAUCAAUGACUAAUAGAUAAAGGGCUGUGGAACUAUAGACAAUAGGCGGUAACCUCUCUUGAUCCGCGAGUAGAGCACUUGAACUACUCAGAAAGAGCUGGUUGGCUCAAUUCAAAUAGAAAGAAAAAUAGACACCCAUCUUCUUGGCGAGCUAAUCAGGAGACAUACAAAACCAGCAAUCCAAGUUUUGAAGGGAGGCGGCUGCCUGCAGUCACUAAAGGAAGGGGCUUGGUGGUCUUAUUUUAUUAUCUAUAAAAGAUAGCAUCUCUUCCUGCUGUUCGAAUCAAAACGAUUAGGGACAACCGCUCGCUUCGAGGCAGGUUAAAAAGCAUAGGCCAUAGCUUCUACCUCUCCUGGAUCAUUAUGCUCAUCUGGAAGCGGUUUUUGCUAGGAUGAAUGCUACUUCUAUGUAUUUCCCAUCGCAUUUUCAUAAGGUUUCAUAUCCUUCUUUUUCAAUCUUUUAAUGAUGCUUGCCAAUUCUAAUCCAGGGGAGCACUUAGAUCGCAGAUUUUCGCAAAACGACCUCGCGUAGCCAGUUCAGGUAUAAAUUUGAAUAGGUUUACCAAAAGUUUUCCCUAUUUUGAGAAGAACUUCACUGUCGAAGUACUCAAUAGGGAGCUCAGGUAAACGGAUCCAAAGCGCAGUUUUAGUGACCGUUGCCAAGGAAGGCCUAAAAUCAGGGUGCUUCGAAAAGUGAGAUAAUGGUUUGCUAUCAUCCAAGGUCCCCCAGUAAGAGCUCUUUUGUAAUCCUCCCCAUCAGUUAAGGAUGGUCGUGGCCCAGGUCAAUGAAGUCAACUCCCCACUUGGUCUCCACAUUUUAAAAAUUUUCUCAUGGAUAAAUUUGUACUAAACUUUCUUACCCAGAACCUUAACUAUAAGAAAGAGACUUCCUCCAUGGUUGAAAAAUUCUCCUUUUCUUUUAGUUUCCCCAUUACCAUUAAUGUUGAUCACAAGGGGACAAUUCGAAGGGCCCUGGUUAUGGAUUUGCUGCUGCUGCUCAUCUUCUUCCUACUCGUCUGAUUUAAAGCCUUCAGACUCCGGUUCCGAGAUCUCAAGAUAGUAUGAGCCCUUGUGCUGUACCUGCAUGAGAACGAACAUCACGAAAGGACAGUGGUUGAUUACCGUCUUCCUUUGAUCGCUUCCAUGGUCCGGGACUCUUCCCAAGGUCCGGAGGUAGCUCACAAAGGUCGCCAUUAACUGUUUCAGUCGUCACAGAGGUCGCCAUUCCUUAGCCCCUCAUUGGUUGUUAGGCAUUUGUCACUUCUUCUAUUUCAUUUCCAUAGCGAUUCACUCAACAUAGAAAAGCAACUAGAGCAGAGCUCGUAUCCGGCCUAAAGCUCUUGAACUAUAGGAGGGGUCUAGCAUACUGAAACAUAAAUGUAGCUAUAAAGCCUUUUUGAGCAUCUUCCUUGCGAUCUCCUUAUCCUAUAUCAGAACACUUUUUCACUUUUUUUUGCUAUCACAAUAAAUUGCCAUAGAUCGAAAGUGAGUCCAGGCUUAGUGCUUCCGCCUAUCCGGCAGCCGUUACCAGCUGUUCACCACUCCUCCCUUCUAUGCUCCGUGGGUCUUUUGUUACCUAAUUCCCUUAAACACGGAAUUGCUCCUAGUCUUUACCCAAGAGAUGUCCCUGAGACUCAAUAAGAAAAUUGUCUCUUUGCUUAGCUUAAGCACAAGAUUCGACAGUUGUGAUUCCGUCUUGGAUUGAGCUUUCUCACUCUUUCUAUGCCUCUUCCUGAAGUGAACGAAUACAUCUCUUUCUGACGUGAAUGAACGCGAUUCUCUAAUAAGACCCAAUCUUAUUGAGUCAAGUAGAAGAUUCUUGUAGAAAUUUUUUUUGAUUGACUUACUCCAACAUCAAGGUGGAUUUAGCUUGGAUUAAUAGAGAUUAAUAGAACAGACGGGAACUAAACAGAUAGGAAUGCCCGACACAAUGCGGCUACUAGAAAAACGUAUAUUAGAUACACCAUUUCUUUGUCACGUGCAUAGCCCUGCUCCUUGUCUUUGAAAGUCCGUAGCAAUGGACACUAUAUAAUUCCUUGUCGCUCUCGUACGCACCAACCCUUGCCUUGUCUCUCGAACCCUUGCUUCUCUCUUGUGCUCCCUAGAGCUAAGUAAGCAAUUCUCUCUCCUCUCUAGCCGUGGCCGCUAGGAAUUGCUUUCGCUCUUCUCUCUCUGGGGUGCUGGUGGUCGAUAGUUGUAUGUAAUGUUGAGGAAAGAGAUUCGGAUGAAAGAGGUACGACGGGAUAUUCCUCCCCGGUUCGGAACUAAACGUUGAGCGGCGGAUCAAGUAAAAGCUGGCAAUCCUCCACCUAACAACUCCUCCUUUACAGUAUCAGCUGUUAAUAAGCUCUAAUAGACAACCAACCCCAUCUAUUCUUGAUAAACCGGGGCACCUUUCCUAUGUGUCAGUGCCAUUUUUCUCUAAGGCUUAAAGUGAAUCUGUCAUAGCUUGUUGCCAGCAGAGCUGGCCCACGGCUUCCGAAAAGGUUUGAGGUUCCCGCAUGAACACUGGCAAGAAAGGCACGAUCUUUGGGAGAAAACGAGUUAUAGGAUCCAUAGGAUUUUUCAUGCGAGAAGACCUACGUACCUCAGUAGAGGGUAGAUAGGAUCUGGAGACAAGGAAGAUGAUGUAGAGGUAGUAGGUUGGCCAGCCUGAUCCAUCUCAGAUGCCUUGCACUUUUUUAGCGCCUAGUGUAAACCGGAGUGGCAGGUCGGCUAGAAGGAGACGGCUCCUCAGUGGGACCAGAUGAAGAAAGCUCCCCUUACUAGUAAAGGGGGUCCGAGGUUCAGGAUAUGAAAUAAAGCAACUUGACGUAACAGAAAAAAGCGUAAACCGAGUUGAAUCAUAAAAUCAAGUUUCAUCCCCAACUGAGGAAAUGUAAUUGUUAAGGUCGGUAACCUGUGGCUACCUCAGGACUAUCUGACUACACUACUUGCGUUAAGGCGCUGAAGCCGGAGUUUUCUUGGUAGGGGUUAGCUUAUUCCCAGACGAACCAGCCCAGUAAGAGAGAUUCCCCCAGACACCAAUACCUGCGGGAACUAGUAGCCACACUACGGCGUAUGAGAAAUUCCCUGACGGCUUCCCUUAACCGUAGGCCACAGUUGCUUCCUUCGCUCUUGAAUCUAAAACCAUAUCUGGUUUCGCCUCCCCUUGGAGCGACCCUUCCGAAACAGCAUUCUAGCAACUUCGUUUUCAUCCAGCGUUCUCACCAACCAGUGAGCCGUCACAGAGUCUCCCGCUAACUCAUGCCAAACCCUUAUGAAGGUAUCCGACUUUUUCCAAUUCUUUGUGACUUCAUCAGUCUAGCAAUAGCAGCAUGCCAGUAUUUUGCCCUAACUACGAAGCUUGAGUCAUGUCUUCGCCCGUGAACGCAACAGGACGCGGUCGUCUAACUCGACUUCCGCAGCGAGUCUCAUUGCAGCUCUCUCCUGCAGUAGUGAAUUUUUUUUUAUUUUACUUCAAAGAUUUUUUUUCUCACAAGAUGCUUGUUUUGCAGAGGGGUGAAAGUUUUGAAGAAAUAGAAGAAGAAAGAAAGAGUAGUAGCCAUGAUCGAUUUCCUCUGCGCAGGAGCUUGGGAUUUGAGAGUAAGCAUGACUCUGAGAAGAUCUCUGAUUGUGAUCAAUUGGGUCUCACUCAAAUCUUGGUAAUAACGAAUGACUUGCUUGAUUUCUCUGCAUCGGCUCGUGAAAUCUUGGAUGAUCUUAUCAAGUUCAAUUGAACUAAGAAUGUCGAUUGCUCUGUCGUAAUAGUUUGUGGUCACUCCAAAGCUUCCAUGGCGGAAUCAGUACCCCCCUCCACUGAACUACGGAUGCCUGUACGCAACCCCAUGAAGCAACCGAAGAUCCAUUGAUCGCUUUUUCGACACCCGUAAUUUUCCUGUAAAAGAAAGAAAAUCCCGGAAACUCAGAUUCUUCAUUGUUGAAAAAUCUUAUAAAAAUAAGUAAUUUAGGAAUUUUCAUUACUGGGAACACGUCGCUAGCCUAAGGCGGGCUUCGCUAUCCUCCCGAAGCUGGUAUUUUCCAAUGUAAUGGUUUUUGACCACUCACUUAUAUGAGUACAAGGGGCUUGACUAUAUUUUUUUUACUUUAUGUAAUUAAGUUUAGCUGGAGGGUCCAUCUAGCCACCCUAAUUAACCCGGUUGAGGAUAACACAUUAUUAAAUCCGAAUGAUGAUUUCAUAAUCAAUCAUAGAGGUGUGAAAUGGCGUCUUUUCAGAAGUCAGAUAGCCCUUGAAGGUGUUAGCGCACACCCUUUUUCUAUCAUAUAAAUUUAGCUCCGAAGGCAACCCGUCGCGUCCUCGUCACGGCGUUAGCAGCCAUUGACGAUUAUUGAAGACUAAGCUAGUUGGCCUAGAAUGGAGCGCAUACUACUUCUUUGAAAUCGCGAACAUCUUACUCUUACCUUUCUUCUUAGUCUGAUCCGGGAGUGUUGGACAUGAGGUACAAUGAAAUCGACAAUCUUGUGGUUCCUCAAGGUAAACAAUUAAAAUAUUAUUCAAUUACAUUAUUUUAAUUCAUUUGAUUAGGGAAGGCCAAAAAGGUCCAAAAUAAUAAUAAUAAUAAUAAAGAAACAAAUAAUUUGUAUUAUUUAAAAAACAGAAUGUAAUAAAGAUUUGAUUCCAGUUCUUUAAUCUUUAAAGCGAUUGAAAAACAAUGUUGGACUUUUCCCAAAGCAUAAAAUACGAAUUGAAUGCCAAUUAACUUAAUCAUUCAUUUCGUUUAGCUCUAAAUUUAGACAAUGAAUUUUUAUAUUAUUUCAAAAACAGGACGUAAUAGAAUUUUUUUUAAAAACAGAUUGUAAUAAAGAUUUUAUUCCAAUUCUUUAAUCUUUACUGCGAUUGAAAAACGAUACUACUUCCCAAAGCAUAAAAUACGAAUUGACUCCCAAUUAAAUUAAUCAUUUAUUUUGUUUAGGUCUAAAUUUUAGAGGAAUGAAUUUUGAUUCUCUUCAAUCUUUUCUUAAUUAUUAUUAAUAAACAGGUUACAGAGGUUUGAGGAAGCUGAAAAGCCUUGAUCUAUCGGGAGUUGAAAUUAGAGAUGGAAGCAAGUUGUUACAGUCAAUGGGAUCAUUCCCAUCCCUCAACACUCUUUACCUGAAGGAUAAUAAUUUUACCGAUAUAGCGACAACUACUACUCAAGGUAAGUAAAAGGUACAGAUGUGGCCAAAUUUAUAAAUAAAUUGUUAAUUAAUUAAUUUUUCCAUAUUAUUAAUUAAGCUAAAUUUGCUAAAUAUAAACAAACAGAGUUGGACAAUUUCACCAACAUGGAAUAUUUGAGAUUGGACUUUUCCUCUCUCCAUAUAAGCCUUCUGCAAAGCAUUGCAUCAUUAUUCCCUUCGUUAAAAAAUCUGUCGAUGUCUUUCUGUGAAGUCAAUGGUGUCGUACGCGGUCAAGGUAAAAGAAAAGUGUUGAUUGUGAACUCACUCACUGGUGUCCUAUGUGUUCAACAUUUUUAUUUAUUUAUUUUAUUGUUUAAUGUUUCUGCUAGGUUUUCCUUAUUUCAAGAGUUUGGAACAUUUUGACAUGGAUGACACGCCCAUUGCACUCAACACCAGUUUUCUUCAAAUCAUUGGUGUAUCGAUGCCUUCUCUUAAGUACUUAUCACUGUCAGAUUCUACUCUUGGCACUAACAGCAGCAGGAUUCUUGAUCAAGGUUAAUCAGAUGCUCCCACCCUCCCUUCUUAAUCUAUAAUAUUAAUUUUCAAUUAAAUAUUUAAUUACACAAACGAAUCACUUAUUAUAAAAGAAUAAUACUCAUUCAUUAAUUUUUAUAUUGUAUUAAUAAUUGAUGAAUUUAAUAAAUUUUUAGGCCUCUGUUCGUUGAUGCAUCUGCAAGAGUUGUACAUUUAUAAUAAUGAUUUGAGAGGCAGCUUGCCUUGGUGCUUGGCAAAUAUGACAUCCCUCCGAAUAUUAGAUGUUUCUUCCAAUCAACUUACUGGAAGCAUCUCCUCAUCUCCCCUCGUUCAUUUGACAUCCAUUGAAGAGUUGUAUCUUUCAAACAAUCACUUCCAGAUCCCAAUUUCACUUGAACCACUUUUCAAUCAUUCAAGACUCAAGAUUUUUUAUGCUGACAACAACGAACUAAAUGCAGAAAUAACUCAGUCACAUUCUUUGACCGCCCCAAACUUCCAAUUAUCACAUCUCUCAUUGUCUUCCGGUUAUGAAGAUGGCGUCACAUUCCCCAAAUUCCUUGACCAUCAACAUGACCUGGAGUAUGUUGAUCUCUCACACAUAAAGAUGAAUGGAGAAUUUCCAACUUGGUUGUUGGAAAACAACACAAAGUUGAGACAACUUUCUCUCGUCAAUGAUUCUCUUGCAGGACCUUUUCGGUUGCCAAUUCAUUCACACAAAUGGUUAAGAAUGUUGGAUAUAUCCAACAACAACUUCCGAGGCCACAUUCCAGUAGAAAUUGGA